AAGAGGCCAUUUAUAUUAAAGCUCAUUAAUUCCUUCUCCUAAUUGCCAUUACCGAACUUAUUCUCAAGAUCUUUCACUACCUUUGGGUCCAACUGGAAUGCCUUGGCAAGAAAAUCGGGUUUGAUUCGAGGAUGGGCUCCAAAGAUCGUGUCGGCUAUGGUAAUUUCACCGGGGAACUGGCUGUUUAGACCAGAAUAGGCAACUGCAUUUGUGUUUCCAAUGUUGACAUGGAAGUGAAUCAAACCAAUUGGAAACACAAAAACAUCUCCCUCAUGCAGAACUUUUGUGAUGAGUGUGUUAUUUAGGUUGUCUGAUGUCACAAAACCAGAAUAAAGAGUUCCUUCCAGGACCAACAGGAUUUCGCUGGCACGGGGGUGAAUGUGAGGCGGGCUUUGCCCAUUCGGCGCAUAGUCAAUACGGAAUGCUGAUACGCCAAGGGUGUUGUCCUGGAAUUUGCUCAACAUUUGCAUGUGUUUCAUUAACACCAAGUCGAUUUGUUGUGUUUCCAGGCUUGUCUAGCCCUGACAAGAAGAAAUCUUCAGCUGUCGCAAGCUUGGGGUCCUUGCAGAACUUCCCAUUCACGAACACUACAAGAACACACACACACAUACACACACAAAGGGGGAAAAAAAGAAUAAUUAAGUAGCAGCACAAAUUAUAUUGAAAAUUAUAUGUUUCAUCAGUUCAGCUUACGUACCACCAUCCUUCGGGUCAUCGAUGGCUACACAGAUAUCUUGAAGACGGCUAGGGUCAUAGGCAGGGGCCAAAGAAGAAGCCAAAGCCAAGUGAGCAAAACCUAUAAGAAAUUGAAUUGCCUUCAUGGUGAUUAAUUAACAGGAUGUACUUAUAUCUCAAACUAUAAUCAAGUGUUGUGAUUUGAGAAUAAUGCGAGGGAAACUAGCCUAUUUAUAGAAGGGAGUCCGUGAACGAGUCUGUGUCAAUUUCUUAGUACUCGAAGCAGGUCAAGACUUACUGAGUCCCAAUUGGUUAUCUUUCUUUUAAUUUAUAUUUUGAAGACAAUAUGUUUAAUCAAUGUACACAAUUGCCAUAUUUGACUAUAAUAAAUUAAAUUUUUGCCUACUUGGUCUAUGACAUAGUUUUUAACAUGGACAUAAUCAUUGCCCCCUUUAAGAGAAGAUUAUUCCAUUUGAUACUCAUUUUUUUAGCAGCAAUGUUACUGCAUAAAAUUUUAUACCAUCUUCGAAAAAUUGUUGAUACUGUGCGUGUGUAUUACACUCUCUAUAAAUUGUUUUAACCAUAUGAAGGCCUUGAUUGGUUGUUAUCGUGGUUAGGCCUUUGUAGCUUAAGAGCUAUAUAUUUUAUCUUAUACUUUAUGAUGAAAAUCAUAUAAUAUUUUUAUUAUUUUUUGUUAAAAUUAUUAUUUAAAAGUUAUUUGUUAUAUACUAUCAAUUUUUAUUUGAUACUUAUAAUUUUUUUUAUAACAACUAUAACAUUUUUGAACUACAAUAUCUCAAUAUCAAACAAAACAUGAAUUAAAACAUAAUAUAGAGAACGAAGACAUGAAUUAAAAAGUUCCAAUCAAGAGUGUCAAAAGCAUUUUUAAUGUCAAUCUUCAAGGCAACAUUCCCUCCAUGACUCUUGCGAUUGAGCAGAUUAAUUCAUUCAGAAAUAGAGCUGAGACACUCAUGAAUGUCUGUCCUUGAUGAAAACCGUUUGUUGAGACGAGAUAAUGUUAGGAAGCAAAGAACUUAAUAUGUCAGCAAGAAUUUUAAAAAGUACACAUCCAACGAAAGUUUUCGUAGUAUGAUAGUUUUGUGCAGUAACAUUAGUUUUAUAUGUAACUAUGACACCAAACAUCACUCAUUUAUCUUAAUUACCUUGUACAUGUGGUAUAAAAUCUUUAAAAACUCAAGAGAAAUUAAAUUAAAAACUCUAGGAUAAAUUAAAAAAAUUAAAAACUAGGGAUAAAUUAAAUUAAAAGAGGAUCCUAUUUUCUUGAUCUGAAUUCUCAUGAUCUUUUAAAGAUUUGUACCGCAUAUCCCUUAGUGCUGGUAUAUAAUUAUGUUUUAACUACUUUUAUUUUUUAAUUUAUUAACCACCAGUAAAUUGAGUACAUUUAAAUUUUUAACUUAGGAACAUAUCAGAUUAUGAAAGGAUUCUAAUCCCUCAAAAAAACAUAAAAUACAGUUGUCCAGUAAUUUUUAUAAAAUUAUUUUCCUGUAGGACUAAUAUCUGCAAAAUAUUGAAGUAUAUGCAAUUGGACAAUUAAGGGCUGUUCGGAAUGUCUUGCAGCCCUCGUUUUCAUUUUUGUUUUCAAAAUUUACGUGUACAACUUGUUCGGUGGGUCACAUCUUAGAUGCAAAUUGUAAAACAUACAAAACAAAGCCUGGCUGACUGUAAUAAAACCCAAAACAGGUUAUACACGUUUCCGCUAAUCUUCUAAACGAACCAUAAAAUAAAAUAAGAAACAAUAUUUUAACGCCUUUUCGAAAGCAUAAUUAAAGUAUAAUUUUUUCCUCUCAUCUUCUUCCUUUCUCUCCCUUACCAAGUUAUACAUGUCACUGCUUUUUCCAUUUUUAUCCAUCAUUUUUUCAAUUGACUUUGUACUUUUCUUCAAUUUACUCAACUCAUUUGAGAAAACGAGUUAAAGAAUUUAUGAAAAUGGGUGAGAAAGAAAUUCAUAUCUCUGGCAACAGACUAACAGUUGGGAGUCAUGUUCCGUGGAUAUCGAUGUUACCGGACUUGAUUGGUUUGUUGUUGGACUUAAUGGAGAGCCACUAUUAGCCUUUUUGUUUUUCCUUUUCAUAGCAAUUUUGGUAGCUGCUUUGAGCAUUCUUAGUUCUAUAAAUGCUUUACCACGUCAAUGAUGCGCAUGUUUUUUUUCAUUGCGCGUUGAAGUCAUCAAAUCAUCUGCUUCAAGAAAAAACGUGAAUACUGGGAUCAGAAGGAACCAAAAUUCUUCCAUCUUAUUUUCAGUGGUCAGGUUAAUUCGAAGCUGGAGCCGGAACUUUUUGUUAGAGGUAGUGAUAUCCUUUUACAAUGACAAUUGGUAUAUAUAUAAUUUAAAGUUUAAAAGUUAAUUUUAAUGUUUGCUAAAUUUUUUAAAAAAUUUAUUUUUAAUAAAAUCAUCUUAUCUUACACCAGAUUUUAAAAAAUAAAAAAAGUAGUUUUUUAAAAUCUGAUUUCGAGAAUCACUUUUAUAAUUGUUAUCAAUUAUAUUGAGAUAAUAAAAUAAAAAAUACGAUUAAUAAUAUAAAAUAUUUAUUUUAGUUAUCAAUUAUUAUAUAUACACAACUAAAAAUAUUUUAUUUAUAUGUUUAUAAAUGUGUAAAUAAAUUUUAUUUAACAAUAUAUUCAAUUCAUUCAUUUACAUUCCUACAACAUUUUAAUAUUAACAUUUACCAAACACAUGAUUAAUUGAUUCUUUAUAUAGCUAAUUAUUUUUAUAGUGUGACUAACAUUAAUUAUUUUAAAAGUUAUAACAUUAUUUUUAUAGUGCAACUUAAUUGAUUAAAAUUAAGUUAUUUAAAUCAUUAAGUUAGGAAAACAGACAACCCUUUAGUAAAUUUCUUAAUGUAAAUAUUAGUAAAUUAUAAUGCAAACAAAAAUAAUAAUCUCUUAUGUCUUCACUUUUUUAAUUAAAAUUAGUUUCAUUAUCUAUUUUGAAUAACAAACUGAAUUGAUCACGAAAUAAUAAUCUCUUCUUCCAAUCAUAUGAGUGGGUUUGAGUCACUCAGGUAUAGAGAUGGCCAAUGGGUCGGGCCGGCAGCAAGGCCUAUGCAUGCUUGUGCCCAUGUUGUGUCAUGCCCACUAUAUGUUUCGUGUUGUGCCAUGUCCACUCGUGUUGUGCCCACACGUGUCGUGCUUAAAAAAAAAAAGCCCAAUAAGCUUUUUUUCUUUUUUUUCUUAAAUUUUUUAAGAGCGCAUGCCAAGCUAUUAGCAUACUUUUUUCAAGUCUAUAUACUUUUUUUAGGUAUAUGCCUUUAUUCAAAUUUAAUAGAAUCAAAAUUCAAAACUCAAGUCCAUAUUCAAUAAAAAUAAAUUAAUAAUCGUAAGAGAACGUAAUAUUAAUUACUAAAUUUGACUUCAUAGUAUUAGAUUUUUUUUAAUACUUAACAACAACAACAACAACAACAACAAUAAUAAUAAUACUGAUAAAUUUUUCUUAAGUGUUAACUUAAAUGUUAACUUGGACUUACAUGGAGUUAUAGAUCAUAGUUCACAAUAAUAUUAAUGCAUAUUUAUAAAAUCAUGAUAUUUAUAAUUUUAUUCAUUAAAAAAAUAUUUAUUUAAUAAAUUAUAAAUAUAAACCAAUUAUAGUAUUUUUUUAAACUAAGAAUUAAAUGAAUUUAAAAAUUCAAUUUCAAGUUAUUUGUAAAAUCAUAAAAUUUUAAGUGUAUUUUUAUUAAAAAAAUAAAACGUGCUUAUUGUGAGCUUUUUCAUUAUGCCGUACUUAGCCCAUCUCUAAUCGUGUCGUGCUUUUAAGGCUCGCAUGCCUAAAAUUCUAAGCCCGGCCCAACCCACGUGCAUGCCGUGCUGUGCCGCGUGCCCCACAGAAGCGUGCUCGUGUUGUGCUAUGCUAUACGGACAUGUGUCGUGUCACGUGCCCAUUGGCCAUCUCUACUCAGGUAGUCGUGGGAAUUUGUUUUCUUUGAUUUCUACGCUUGGCUUUUUAGAAUUAUUUGUAAGGGCAUUAAUUGUGUAUUUUUAAUGGGUUUAUAUGUUAAUUAUAUUGUAUGUAGUAUUAAAGUUAAAGGUUUGUCAACCAAACUAGCAACCAUUUAAUUAGUUAAAAUGCAUUCAUGUCAGUAUUUAAGAUACGUAUCACUUUCCGACAACCAUGUUAAUAUAUGUUUCCGUUCGAACUUUCCACUCGCUGCUUGACCCAUGUAAGUUAUAAAAAAGUUUCUGAGAAAAUGAAAAAAUAAUCCAUGGCCAUGGAAAUAAUAAAACGCCGCCAGGAGUAUUGUAUAAUUCUAGGAGCGAUUUAUCAUUUCUUUUUCCUUUUUGCUUUUUAUUUCAACAAUUUAUUAUUGACUAGUGUAUUGCAGGCUUGCGGCAAUUAAGUGUUUGGAUCAUUUAUCCCCCUUUUUUUCAAAUAUAAGCCAGAUAUAACUCCAGAUUAUGCUGGUAGAAACAUCGUCUCAAAGAUUCUAUUGGGUCAUCAAUAGCUGUAUAUGAGUGUAUCUUGAAGAGGGCUAAUUUUUCUAGGAUAUGCUGCUAGAAAAUUUUGCAGCACGUAACUACUAUGAAUUAGUCUUUGUUGUUUAAUUAAGACUCUAAUCUUCCUUUCUAGAAUGCAAGAUAAAAAAUUAAGCUAGAAACAUUAUAUCAAAGUAAUGAAUAGUUACACAUUUUUGUUAAAUAUAAUUCUAGACUUUCCGGUCACACAUUUUACCGUUUAGUCCAUAAUUUUUCAAAAUACCUAUUGCAUUUCUAAUAUUAUACUUUUAUGUUCGAAUUACUCUGUUGAAGUAUACAUGAGACUUUUUACCAUAUAGCACCCUCCAUACCUUUUAGCGGGGGAAUUAAAAAAAAAAAAAAAAAAGAGCGCAUCAUAUUAGACAAAGUGCAUGUUUGUAUGACUUAUUUAAUGGUCAUAAGUACUUAUUUAAUAUCAUAAGUUCCUUUUUAAAUUAGGGUGUUCGCGGAUCGAAUUUUACAAAUUGGAUAUCAAUCCAUAUCCGAUCUAUGAUUUUGUGAAUUAUAAAUUUUUAAUCCAAUACGAUCCACGGAUUGAUGAACUCAAUCCAAAUUCAAUCAAUACGUCUGAGGAUCAGAUGCGGAUUUGACUCAAUUAUCCAUAUCCAAUCCACAAUUUUACGGAUUGGUUUGCAGAUUAAAAAUUUUUAAUUAUGUCUUAUCUACGAACUAACUAAAUAAAAAAAUUAAUAUAAAAAUAAGUUUACUACUGAUCAAAUUCAAAAUUAAAUAAGAUUUAAAUAAAUUAAUUGUUUAAAUAAAGUUAGAAAAUACUUUUAAAGUUUCAAAAUAUAAUACGUCAAAAAGAAAAAAAUCAUUUGUUUAUAUCAGUAUAUAAAAAUUAACUACUUAGUAAGCUAUAUUUUUUUAUUUAAUUAUUUUUAUUUUAUAUUAUUAUUGGAUAAGAUAUAAUUUGAUGUUAAUGUAACUAUAUUUUAACUUAUUUAUUUAUUAGUAAGUAUAAUGCCAUAUUCACAAGCCUAAUUUUUUUUAUUAAAUAAAUAAAUAUAUAUAUAUUGCGGAUUCACAGAUUUUUUACGGAUUUAUAGAAGUAAAUCCAUAUCCAAUCCACCGAUUACAGAUUUCCAAAUUUUCAAUCCAAUCUAAUCCAUCAAUCCACGAAUCACAUUUUUUACGGAUCAGAUUUCUACGGAUUAGAUGGAUUGAGCGGAUCGGAUUGGAUUCUGAACACCCUAUUUAAAAUUAUUGUUGUUAUUUGAUUGUAUUUUAAGUAGAGUUUUUAAGAAUUAAGUAAACUCUUUUGUCUCAACUAGUAAAAACUUAAAUUUUGAGCUUUAAGACGUAAAGGUUGGAGGGCCCUUUUCAAAAGUUAAAUUGACUAAAAUGUUCCGUUAUUUAUUUCACAAUAUAAUGACAUCCCUUUCAUAACUUUAAAACUUGUCUAUUAAAAUGAUUUUAUAUAAUUUUUAAUAAUGCUCUCAGUGACAACUAAACAAUUAAAUUUUUUUGAUAACAUUCUACUUGUAAAACUUUUAUUAAUAAAAGCUUUAUUUGAAUAAGCCUUAUCAUAAAACUUUACCAAACAAAGCCUAACAAUAAGAUUAUAAUAGUAGAAGAAUUCAAAAAAUGUAUUCUUAAUAUUACAAGUUUACAAUUAUUAAGUUGGGAAUGAAAUAGGUAUGUUUAAAAUUACAUUGAUUACUUGGUCACUGAUGAGGUGAGGAUUGGAUGGCCACAUUUAACUUUUGAUGAAUUGUGUCAUUACUACUUUUCUAACAUGUCUCUAUUGAAAAGUCAAAAUAGCUUUUUGACAUGCAUAACCUUCUAGCCGCAAUAUUGGAAAUAUUGAUGAAGCAUGUGGAUGGAAUCAUGGAAAAUGAAGCCAAAUGAGUUGGUGAAGCAUGUGACAGUUUGAUAAAUUCGCAACAACUUUAACAAUUUGGCAAAUUGUUGGUGAGCGCCGAAUUUGUAAUAGUGCAAAAUACUUCCUAUAAAUAGAGGGAGUUUUUUAUUUGUUAAGCAUCCCAAAAAUUUGUUAAGCUUAUAAGUUUCUAAGCUUUUGAGAGUCCUGAGAGUGUGAGCAAUUGGAGAGUGUGUGUGAGAGUACUGGGUGUAUUUGGGUUCUCGAAAAGUGAGGUUUCUUUACUCAAAUUUGUACUCAAAAGAUAAUUGUUAAUAAUACAAUUAUUUUUCUCUUGCUCCCGCGGACGUAGGCAUAUUGCCGAACCACGUAAUUCUUGUGUCCUUUAUUUUUCUAUGAUUAUUCGGUGCGCUUGAUUCUCAUUCCGCGCACAACAAGUGAUAUCAGAGCCAACGGUUCGUACUUAGGGGAUACGACACUGUUCACGUAUACGGUACUGUUCACGAAUACGGUGGAGACGACCAUUUAUACUUGGGAGACAAUCUAUUGCAAGUAGUGUGUAUUUUUGCAUGUCUAGGAAAGUUCUAUCAACAAGGCGAUAAGAGUCUAAGGAUUCUGGUUUUUAAUUGGGAUCAAGUUCCCGUCCAGUUUCCUGGGAACUUUCCUAGUGCAUUUAUUCAAGCAAAAUUAACAUCAUAGUGACUGUUUUUCAAGUGAAAAUAGUUCGUUGAGAAAAUGAUAGAAGGUAAAACUUCCAAAAUUGGGGAGAGAUCUACCGAUACUAUUUCAAGAGACACUUCAGGUGGGAGGCGAGAUUUGUCAAAUCGCUAUUCUAUUUAGCACUUGUUAUAGGAGGCCAGAAAAUCGAUGUUGAAAAGUUUGAUGGGAAAAUCAACUUCGGCAUGUGGAGGCGCGAAGUUAUGGAUGCCCUUAUUCAAAUCGACCUCGAUGUUGUUAUGAAAAAUAAAAGACAUAUGUAUAAUGAAGAAAUUUAGGAUCGUAUGAACAAGAAAGCUUGUGGUCAAAUCAAAUCUUGUUUGACCAAAGAGGUGAAAUACUUAGUGAAAGAUGAGGAGUGUACGAUGACUUUGUGGUGUACAUUGGAGGAGAAGUGCCUGCUGAAAAGUCCUGAAAAUCGUCUUCAUGUAAUGAGCCAAGUAUAUGGCUUUCGAAUGAAGCCUGAGGUGUCAAUGCAUGAUCAUGUCUCAAGAUUGAAAAGUUACUUGCUGAUUUGAAAAAUUUUGAUGAAAAUAUUAAGGAUGAAGUCAAGGCUAUAAUUUUGUUACACUUACUAUCAGAAGAAUAUAGUCAUUUUGUGACUACCUUGAUAUAUGAGAAGAGUGUGAUCGUCUUCGAAGAUGUUUGCACAACAUUGACUAACUUGGAGAUUCAGAAUAAUGAUAAAAUUUCUAAACGAGCAUCGUCUGAAGCUUUGGUGAGCAGAGAUUGGGCAAUGGAGAAAAAGAAGAAGCGUGGUGGAAAGAAUUCUCGAUCCAAAUCGAGAAGCAGAAAUAUAGCUCGAGAUGAGUGUGUCUUUUGUCAUGAAAAGGGCCAUUGGAGGAAAGAUUGUCCAAAGGCUCAAAAGAGAGAUGGAAAGAAACCAGCAGCAGUAAACAUGACACGUAAAGAUGAGAACUCUGAUUAUUCACGAAGCAUUACUCCUGUAGCAUACGUGGCUAGUUCGAGUGAGUGGAUACUUGAUACUGGAGCAACCUAUCAUUUGUGUCAUAUUAAGGAAUGGUUUACGAAUUUUCAUAAUUUGGAAUCUGGUACAGUUGUGAUGAGGAAUGAUCAACCUUGUCGCAUAAUAGGGAUAUGAACAAUUCGGCUCAAAAUGUUUGAUGGAAUGGUCAGAAAACUGAAAAAUGUUAGAUAUUUUCUAACUUUAAAGAAAAAUCUAAUUUCGGUGGGUGCUCUAGAAGCUAAAGGCUACAAGGUUACUAUUGAAAAUAACAUAAUGAAGUUCACGAAUGGGGCUAUGGUGAUUGUGCAAGGGAUUCGGCAUCACAAUUUGUACUAUUUGAAGGGAGAUACAACUGAUGAAGUAAAUGUUGCUGAGGCGUACAGUGACACCACCAAGCUAUGGCAUGUACGACUGGAACAUAUUGGAGAGAAGUUUUUACAAACUCUAAUGAAGCAAAGACUCUUAAAAGGUACCAAAACCUGUAAAUUAAAUUUCUGUGAGUAUUGUGUAGUACGCUAGAAAACAAGGGUCAAGUUUGGUACAGCUAAUCACGAUACUCGUGAGAUCCUUGAAUAUGUUCACAGUGAUGUAUGGGGACCAACCAAGACUGCAUCAAUUGGUGGAAGCUAUUAUUUUGUUACAUUUCUCUAGACAUGUGUGGGUGUACACCAUGCGAGCAAAGGAUGAGGUUCUAGAGAUUUUCGUGAAAUGGAAGAAAUUGGUGAAGACUCAAACUGGUAGAAAGAUCAAAGUAUUACGAUCUGAUAAUGGAGGUGAAUAUACUUCUAAUCCAUUCUUGUAAAUAUGCAGAACGAGGGUAUUAAAAAAUAUUUCACGGUGAGACAUACUCCGCAACAUAACGGUGUGGCUGAGCGUAUGAAUCAUACUUUGCUGGAGAAAGUACGAUGUAUGUUAUCUAAUGCUGGUUUAGAUAAAAAGUUUUAAGCUGAGGCUGUGAGUUACGCAAGUCACUUAAUAAAUUGAUUGCCUUCUGUUGUAAUUGGAGGUAAAACUCCUAUGGAAAUGUGUUCUAGAAAGCAUGAACAAGACUAUGAUUCCCUUCGUAUAUUCAGGUGUUCAGCUUAUUAUCACGUCAAAGAUGGUAAAUUGGAUCCUCGUGCUAGAAAAGCUAUCUUUGUGGGAUUCAAAAGUGGAGUAAAAGGCUUCAAGCUUUGGGAUAUCGAAGACAAAAAGUUUGUGCGUAGCAGAGAUGUUACGUUUGAUGAAGCUUCAAUGAUGAAAACUUCAAGUUCUCAAUAAGUGGAGAACAAGACCACAUAGGUAUUGUAGCGAGUGGAGUUUGAUGCAACUCCAUAUGUACCAGUUAGUUCUACAUCAGAGAAUGGUUUAAUUAUGGAGGUGACACCUAGAGUUGAAAAAGAGAUUGUUUCUUCUGGUGUCCCACAAAAUGAAGAAACAAUUGAUGAUGUAAAUAAUGAUGAUUCUUGACACGACUUAAAAGUGUUUGAUUUUCUCCCAAGUAUAAGAGUGCCUAGUUCUAAUAUAUCUCGGUAAGUCCGAGGUCGAACUACAGAGAAAAGAUUUAAUUUGUUUACUUAAGUUUAUCCAAAAAAAAAAUUUAUAAAUAUGUAAUUUAUUUAAGAAAAAGUAUAAAAUUGAAUUAGUUAGGGUUAUGGAUCCACUCUUAGUAAUAAAUACAAUUUAACAAAUUCUUUUUAUUUUUAUUUUAUUUCCCAAAAGAUUAAUUGUAUAAAUUAAAAUCAUUUUCCCAUUUAUUUUAUUGUGGAUUAAGAAUUUAAUGUGCCAAAACUUAAUUUGUCUGCACUAAAUCAAAAUACAAUUUUUCCAUAUUUUAUACUAAGAUAUUAAGAAUUUAUUGUGCCAAAUUCCUAUUUUUGUCUACACUAAAUCAAAAUUUCAAAAUAUAAAAUAUGGAUAAAAUUAAAUAGAAACAAUUUAAUUUAUAAAAUUAAAAAUAGAAUUUGAUUAAACCAUAUUUUUUACUAAGAGUUUCACCUUCCCCUAACUAUGAAUAUUUAGUUAAACAUUUUUGAAAUAAAGGAAAUUAUUACAAUUGAAAAACACAUAAAAAAUGGAAUUUGAAAAUUGAAAUAAAACUAAUUUUAUUGAUUGAAAAUAUAUUACAAGAGAGAUGAGAAGAAGAAUUUGAGGGGAAAGAAGGGAAGAGAAGGUGUGUAGAGGUGUGUUCAUCCCCCCCCCCCCCCCCCCCUCUCUAUUUAUACUAAUACAUGAUAAAUCCACACCACACAAAUAAAAAAAUCUAAUUACAUAUUAACCUUACAUUUGUCCCACUAAUAAUUCCACUAAUAAAACAUAAACCUAACUUAUCCACUCAAGCAUAUACAACACAUUCAACUAAAAAUUACCAUACCUAACAUGAUAAAAACUUAUAAUUUUACAAUUACCACAUUUACCGUGGUAAAAACGUAAAAAUUUACAACAAAAGUCUCAGCUCCUCCUCGACAAUGACAUAAUUUCUUGAACUUCCGGAAUUCAAAUUUGACAUCCAUACAUUUGUUCGGAGCCUCAAAAUGCAUGAAAUUAUUAUUUUUACCUAAUAAACACACAAAAAUACACAAAAUCAAAUAUUUAGAAAAAUAAUUAGAAAUUCACAAUAUGUUAGACAAUUACAAAUAUAAAUUACAUUAAUAGCACAAAAUAACAUUUUUAUCCCUUAAUAAAUAUACAAUUUUUAACACUAAUCAAUUCUAUAGCAAUAAGGAGGCUAAGUAGAGAGAUAAAGAAACUCGGAUGGCUUACUAAAGACAUGGUGGUAACCUAUACACUUCCAGUUAUUGAUAACGACAUUCCUAGCACUUUCGGUGAAGCAUUACACAGUAGUGAAGGUGAUCAAUGGAAGUUAGCCAUGGAAGAAGAGAUGAAAUCUCUCCAUCAAAACUAGACUUGGGAACUUACCAAAGGGGAAAAGGGCUAUUGGCAAUAAAUGGGUCUACACCAAGAAGCAGGGAUCUCCGAAUCAAUCAACUCCUCGAUAUAAGGCAAGACUCGUUGCAAAAAAUUUUGCUUAGAAGGAAGGUACUGACUACAAUGAAGUUUUCUCUCCAGUUGUAAAACAUACUUCCAUUCAUAUCCUACUUGCCUUAGUUGCACAAUAUGAGUUAGAGUUGGCUCAAUUGGAUGUUAAGACGACGUUCUUACAUAGAGAUUUGGAGGAGAAAAUCUAUAUGACUCAGCCUUGUGGUUUCAAAGUUGCUGGAAAGGAGAAUCGUGUGUGCAGAUUGAGUAAAUCUUUAUACAGAUUGAAACUAAUUAUUCGAAUGCGUUGAGUUUGGAGAAUUAUGAACUACGGUUGGCUUGAUCCCAUAUUUUGGGCACGUAGGCAGUCGAAGCGACACAUCCCUUUUGGAUCCUUAUUGAAGGAUUACAUUAGGGAUGAUGGUUCGUUUGUAGUUUGCUCAAAUUUGGACAACUUUUCGCCGAUGUGGAGAAUUGUUGAAAAGUCAAAACAACUUUUUGACAUGCAUAACUUUCUAGCCGCAAUAUUGGAAAUAUUGAUGAAGCAUGUGGAUGGAAUCAUGCAAAAAUGAAGCCAAAUGAGUUGGUGAAGCAUGUGAUAGUUUGACAAUUUCACAACAACUUUGACAAUUUGGCAAAUUGUUGGUGAGCGCUGAAUUUGUAUUAGUGCAAAAUACUUCCUAUAAAUAGAGGAGUUUUUCAUUUGUUAAGCAUCCUAAAAAUUUGUUAAGCUUAUAAGUUUCUAAGCUUUUGAGAGUUCUGAGAGUGUGAGCAAUUAGAGAGUGUGUGUGAGAGUACUGGGUGUAUUUGGGUUCUGGGAAAGUGAGGUUUCUUUAAUCAAAUUUGUACUCAAAUAUUUGUUAAUAAUACAAUUAUUUUUCUCUUGCUCCCGUGGACGUAGGCAUAUUGCUGAAUCACGUAAUUCUUGUGUCCUUUAUUUUUCUAUGAUUAUUCGGUGCGCUUGAUUCCGCAUUCCGCACACAACAGUCUCUUUAUUACAGUUUGUUUCACCUUUGCGCUAUGCCCAUAUUUAUUCGGAAAAGCUUGUGCUUGUCCCUCAUUGCUACUCUGUUAAGGAUUAUAAACAGGUAUAUCUUUGAUAUAUUUGGUAACAGUAAAUCCUUAUAUGGCUUUAUAUCAUCUUUUUUUAAUCCUCCUUCAAAAGCAGGGGAAGUUAUCUUCGUAACAAUCUGCAUUCCGUGGAUUGUUUCCUUUUGUCCAUGAAAUAUUUAGUUCAAUUUAUUUAGCACUUUAGUUUGAAUGAAGCUUGUUGGGGAAUUAAUGUAGAAAUGAAGAUCUUGCUUGUUUUUUCAAUUAUGUGGAUGAAGCUUUGACCUAGGAACUUCUACUGUAGUCUAGAGAAUAUUGUUUCUUCUAUAUCGAUGUGAUGAACUGGGUAAUUUUUGUCAAAGGUGUUUGAAAGUUUUAUGUUUGCUGUAAUCUUUCUGUUCAUUUGUUGCAUAAAGCAUGUUGGAGAUUCAAUGUAGAAAAAGGAAUCUUGAUUCUUUCUUUAGUUAUGUGGAUAAAGCUUUGAUUUAGGAACUUCUUCUCUAGUCUGAAUAAUAUUAUCUUCUUCUAUAUGGAUAUGAUUAACUGGGUGAUUUUUGACAAAAGCUUUUGAAAGUUUUCUGUUUCUGAAAUCUUUCGGUUUUAUUUGUUGCAGAUGACAAACCUCUAUUUAUUCUUUUGCCCAAACAACUUCGGGUAGUUAGGAAGAAUAUUUUUGUGGGACUAAAAUCCAUAAAUAUAUGGAGCAUCACCUCUGUAUAUUGGAGAGCUAUGAGAGAUCAACUAGUCAGAGGUUAAAACGGUUUGGGAUCCUGUUACAAUGUAUUUAGGUUUUGUUUGGGAAGUUGUGCUGUUUCAACUUUGUUAUUUAGCUUUGCUUCUUCAGUUAUCUGUUGCUCUGUGUACGUCGGUUGCUUAUUUAUAAGCACUUCUCAUUGCUUCAUUUCUAAUAUAGAAUGAACCCACAAUUAUGUAUGACAGAACCAAUGUUACAAAGAUAGUUCUGGCCAUUUUUGUAGAGGUGGCCAUUUUAGUUCUCAUUUAGUUUGCUUACAAUGAUUUUUGGACUUCUGUUUUAUGGCAGAAAUCCACAAAGGCAGUCUUUUGAAACAGCAAUUGCAUACUCUUGGCGUGAAUGCAUUGAUGUCUCUUCAGCAUUUUCACAUCUUUUUAUGCUAUAGCCGAGAAUUGGGCCAGAAGUAAAUCCUUGAUUAUGCGUAAACUGAUAACCAUCAAAAGCCAAUUAAAUUGCCUUUCCUAACCCAAAAGUAUCCUAAUCCAAUGUUUGCUAUAUGAUUUCAAACCAAGUUCAAUUUGUUCAAUUCAUAAUUAAAUGGCGAAGAGAAUAUUUUAAUGAGUUCAAAUAGUUCCACUUUAUUAAUAACUUGGUAGAAACCUAAUGAAAGUGAGGGUAUUGGAGUCUCUUUAUUUGAGAGUAUUUUCUCUUAUUUAUUUAUUAUUUUAGAUUUCUAUGCUGUAUUUUUCUGGUUUAUUAAAAAACAAAUCCUCCUUCAAAACAUUUCAUAAUUUUAUGAGCAUUAUAAAAUUAUAUCUUUAAACCAUACGGUUUAAGAGCUUUCUCAAUUUUUACUGCAUUUUAAAAUUCCUGAUUGGAAUGAAUAUAUAUAUAUAUAUAUAUAUAUAUAUAUAUAUAGUAACUAAACUAUGUCUCCAUGCAACUAGUUGGCCCCGAACUUUGCUUGAAGGGAUUUCACUACGCUUGAAGAGUUUUCACUACAUAUGGAUCAAGUUGGAAUGCCCUGGCGAGAGCAUAAGGAUCAAUUGGUGGAUCAAAUCCGAAGACUGCAUCUGCAAUUGUAAUAAUGCUAGGAUUCUGGCUGCUCAAAGCAGCAAUGGCAAACAGCAUUGGUUGUUCCAAUAUUCACUUUGAAAUGAAUGAGCCCAAUUGGAAACAUAAAUACAUCUCCUUUGUUCAGGGCUCUGGCGAAGAGUGCGUUAUUAAGCUGGUUUGAUGUCACAAAGCCAACAAAGAGAGUGUCCUCCUGGACUACUGGGAUUUUUGUGGCACGAGGCUGAGUGUGAGGUGGGUUUGGCCGCCGUUUGCCGCGUAGUCAAUACAAACUACGGAUAUGCCGAGUAGUGUUGAGCCCUAGAAUCUGUUCUACAUUUACAGUUGUGACUAUUGAGCCCACUGGAUUUGCUGUACUUUUAGGGAUAUUGUGCCCUGAAAAUCAAUCAAAACUACUUGUUAAAAAGAUUCUGUUUCGUUUUUAUUUUUUGUGUCUUUUACUAUUUUAUCCCCAUAAUUAGACUUAUGAUACACAAAGGUCAACAAUUAAUCAAUAAAAGGAAAAAAUUAAUCAUAAGUCUGAUAUUAAUGGUAAAAUAAAAAUAGACAAAAAAUUAGAAAGUUCAUUUAAUCAUUUUAAUGCCAAAGAGUUUUAAUGAGUUUUGAAACGUAAGGAGAGAAAUAGUAGAUUUACUUGAACAAUAAGAGGAUUUUAUCAUUUUCCCACUCAUAUACAGAAAAAAGAUACACCCCACAUGUCUUGAACUUGAAAUCAUUGAUGGCAACACAAAAAUCCUGGAGAUGGCUAGGGACAGAGGCAGUGGCCAAUGAACAAGCCAAAACCAUGAGGACAGAAGCUACAAGAAAUUGAACUCCUUUGAUGUUGAUUACGCUAGGUAUGUGUCUAUCUCAAAUUCUUUCCAACUCUAGGGGGUGAGAAAUGAAUUAUGGCAUAAGUAGCCUUUCAUAGUCGGAUUGAAUUAUAACGAUCCAAAGACUUACCAAGUUUAUUGGUUCUUUUUUUUCAUGCUUUAUAAAUGAAGAUUAGUGAAUUCUCCACGAGUAUGUACAUAACUGUCCUUAGAUUAUUUAUUUUGCUAAUUUGUUAAUGUUCAACAGAUAAUUUUUUAAUUGUGUAUUUGUUGUAAGUGCUUAUUUUUCCUACAUCUAAUUUUCAUAUGUGGGCUGCUGCUAUUGUAUAUCGAUAAGACUGACACCAAUACUAGAAAUUGUUUAUGAUCAAUGAAGUAAAAAAGUGGUGCUUUGGUAAUAUUGGGGAUUGCGGGCGUUCCAUUCAAAUAAUCUUGUAAAUUUAAAGUGUUGUUUGAUGAUCCAUAUCUAUGUCACAUAGAUUUGGUCAUUUAUAAUAUUUUAUAUAAUAUACAGUACAUGGAACUAGAAUGUGUGGAUAAUCUAUCUCGAACGAUCUAUCCCUAUGUCUCAAAUUAAUCUUCAAUCUGCAAAUGUACAUAUGCACGCUUAAGAUAUUAAAAAACGUUUCAACAUAUUUUCAUAUUUAUCUGAUCAUAUCAUUUUUUUUUUCGUUCCAAGUGGGAAAAUAUUUCAUGGUCUUGGAUAGACAUCCACACCUCUUUGUGGGUGUGCAUGAGUCUAUUAUUUUAGCAAACUAGGGAAGGAUGAUGGAUGAGGAGAAAAAGAUUAUUUAUGAAUUGACUGCUGUAAUAUUGAUAUGGUCACAAAUUUAAAGGAGUAACGUUACCCAAACAAAGUCUGCACCUCAACAAACAUGAGACCAUUUAAUUCAAAUCUACCAGAUGAUUAUGUGAAAUGAUAGUUAAUAAAUCAAGAAAAAUGAUAGUUUCCCCGAGUCAAACCCCGGGUCAAACCCUGAAAACUCAAAACCUGCCGUUUCACAACUAAAGCCAAAAACGACGCAUUUUGCUUGCCAAAUAUUUCCCCUUUCCUCCAUUGUUUCCCCUUUCCUGUUUCUUUUUCUUUAGCUGCUUAAGAAGAAACAACGAAUUUGCUCACAUCAAGCUCAAAUCAUCAUCUUCUUCAAAGAUGCCAAGAUCCUUGGCUUCUCUUUUCUCCCGCAAGAAAUCGCAAACACUUGCCUUCAAAGAUAACUACACAAACUAGUUCAACACUUCGUAAAAAACCCUCCUCCCUCUCAUUCACAAAUCUCUUUCUUCAUCUUCUUCGUAAACCCUCCUCUACUCUCACGUCAACCUCCUCCUCAGCCAUUUUCUUUUCUAUUACGACGCAUUAGACAUCGCGGCCACCCAAGAAAACCCACCCAAGCUUCUCUUCCCGUCUUGGUGCAACAGUCUUGAAAUCCCAUUCCUCUUUCUUCGCGAUCUCCACCCUUGUGUCUUCACCAACCUCGUUAGAUCACUUCUUGAUGAAGAAAGUGAAGAAGAAAAAGAAGACGAUGAUGAUGAAUUUUUUGAUAAUAGGCUGUGGCAUGUGUUCAUGGCAUGGAGGAAUAUGUCCAAGAAUUUGAUGUCACAGAUUGAGCAAAUUGAAUGUGGGUUGAGGCUGAUGGUGCUGGCGUUGAUUGGUAGAAUCAAGAAGGUGCAAAGUCGUUUUGUGGGGAGGAUCGCUGAUACAAUGGUUUUGUGGCAUUGAUUGGUAAAUCCUUUUGGUUAUCCAGUGCUGAUACAGAGAUGAGAAGCAUAGCAAACGGUGCCAUUUUGAUGCCGAUAAAAAAAAAAAAACAUGAAACGGCGUCGUUUGCAUUAGUUUCGAGGUUUGACCCAGGAAAAACAUCAGCACUGAUCAAUCAAAUAUUAUGAAUAUACUAUAUGAUUUUAAAUGUCAUGUCAAUUUAUCUCUAACUACAUAAGUAAAAUAUUAUUGUAUGAUGAGAUAUGUUUAUAUAGAUAUAAGAUUUUCUACCUACUCAUAGUUUAUGUUCCUCGACAAAGUGUUCAGAUCUUUCUUUUUUUUUUAAUUAUCAUUAUUAUUAUUUUUUUGGUGGUAAAUUUGUAAAAAUAAAAUUAAAAGACUUGUUCAUGCUAAAAAAUUCUUUCAACAAGGAUAAGCUGGUCAUUAGCUUCAACUGUUUUAUAGAGAAGGUUAGAAAAAAACAAAAGUAGAGUUAUUGAAAAUUAGAUAGGUCAUAAAGGGAUAUUGACAUGGCUUGAAAGUAAGUUAAUGCUUCUUUUUCUUCUCUUCUUGUUACGUGCACAUAAUGACAUAAUUAAUUGAUUGAUUGCAUGUUUAAACAAGUCAGUACAUUAAAAUUUCAUUGAUUGCAUGUGUUUUUGACCAAAAUAACUCCAACAAGUAAGAACCCUCUCACUGAAAAUUGUAAAUCAUUGUAAUUAAAACUUUUUAAGUCCUAUGUUAUAUUCUUCUUACAAGAAAUUUUAUAAUGCAUUAAAGGAAAUUCAACUGAAUAAUACAUGUAUAAUAUGUAUAGUUAAAUUUUAUAUAAUUACAUUUGCAUAGUAAUUUUUUAAAAUAAAUUUACAAACGUUAUAAUUUCAUUUAUUUGUUGUAUGAUUGCCAUGAUAUUUUAAAAUUACUUUAAAUUUUCUCUCUCCUUAGGGUUUUGUCCAGUAAUUUUUUAGUAGCUUUAUUAUUUGACAAGCCAUCCAAAGCGGCUUUUUUUCUCGUAUUACAUGUUUCUUUAAGAAAAAUCUAAUUUUUUUUUGCUCUUUUUUAACAGUUUUAGUUUAAAUAAAAAUGUUGGAUUUUUAAUUCGAAUUCAUGAUCCAGUUUGAUUGCUUUUGGCGGGAAAGGUUGUUAUGCAUCAAGCACACUAACAGAAGUUAGUUAUGGGACUGCUACUUUGACUUUUGGUUGACCUGAGCUGUUAUAUAGGCUGAUAAGGAGAGUAGGUUUAGGAGCUUGUAGUUAAUUCAUUUCACUGAGUUAGAAAACACUUGAUGACUCAUUAGAAAUCUGGUUGUAAUCUCUUUAAAUAUGGGCCCUUUACUCUUAAUGAAAAAGAGCUUGAAGAUGGCUUGUUGUGCAUAAUCAUUGGUGGUUAGUUUUGAUCAUCUCUUGCCUAUGUGCUAUGCAUUCUACUUACUAGCUGUGUUUGUAUUAAUUAUUGGGGCAAAUUUUGGUUAUACGUUAGGAAAUUGAUGGGUGAAACAGACAUAUAAUUAAAAUGAAAUUGAGAAAUAAUGAUCACACAAGGACACCAGGAUUUACAUGGUUUGACUUUUAGCCUACGUCCAUAGUGUUGUAUAAAUUUUAUUGUACUCGCAACUACAAAAAUCUAUUAUAGUAUAGAUUUAUAGUGACGAGUGUCGAUCCCACGAGAAGGUAGAUUUAAUCACAUGUAGGCUUAAUUAAUCCAAGUUCAUAUGUUUAUUGGUUGGAAAUGAUUUCUUUAUCUUAAUAUUUAAAAUAAAAUGGCAAGAAUGAAUUAAAGAUAAAACUAUGCAAAUGAGGUUCUUGAGUCUUUAAAUUCACACUCAACACUUCACCAUGGGCUUACUAUUCCUUUUUUAGUUCCAAUUAAUAUAUGAGGGAGUAUUUCCACUCCUUAUAAGCCUCAUUCUAAUAAAUACGGUAUCAAGCACUCAUUGUGCGAGAGAAUAAUGAUCUUCCACUAAUGUGUUAUUAAGCACACGUUGUGCCAGACGAUAAAAAUCCUUUUGUCGACAAUAUGGCAAGAUCGUCUACUAAAAAGUUUAGAUGCGCUCUCUGUCGACAAUAAGUCAAGACGACCAACGAAAUACUAAAGGGGAGUUUUCUCUUUAAUAUAUGGUGCUAAGUACUCAUCAUGCUAAACAGUAACUAUCUUUUACUAGAGAGCUGGUAUGUCAUACAAAAUCUAGUUAAGAUACACCGUUUGUCGAUGACGAGUCAAAACAACUACUUAAAUAAGAAAGAUAGAGCAAAUAAACUUACCAAAUUAAGCCUAUAGAUCAUAUUGAGGCUUCACUUUCAAUCCAAUCUUAAAACUAAAUUAGCUAUUUCUUUUUGAACUAGGGGUAAAAUGAAAAUUCUAUUAAAAUAUGUAGAAAAUAUAAGAUGGGGAGAGAGUUAUAAAAAAUGGAGCUAAAAAUUGGAUUACGAGCUGCUCAAUUGGGGGGGGGGGGGGGAGUGGGGAGCCCCCUACUCAUAGGUACGAUGAGUAAAUUAUAGCUAUCGGAUAAAAACAAUUCAGAUGCUCAGGAUUGCGUCACGUGGCAAGCUUUGAUUAGUUAGAAUACAUCAUCAGUCAACACCACAUUAGCAUUUCGAUCUAAUAAUAUGCUGCCACGUCAUUGGUCUACGCUACAUCAUCAGUCAACGUCACAUAAUCAAUAAAUGCCACAUCAUUGGCCUAAUAGGAUGAUGCCACAUCAUCGGUCAAUGCCACAUCAUCACAUCGCACACGUGAACAGUUCCAUACAUGUGAAUAGUAACAUAUACACGAACAAUACUGUAUAUGUCAGUAGUAUCAUAAAUGUAAAUGGUGCCAUAUACCCCUUUAUGCUCCUCUUAAGGAUUUCAAUUGUUCCGAGCUAAAAAAUGCCAUCCGUUUUUUUGUCCAACUUCUCUUUAAUUAUGAAAUAAUCAAAACACUAUUCAAAUACAUAAAAUACUCAAAUUAUAACAAAACACACACAAUCAAAUUUUAAAGGACUUAAACAUAUAAAAGUAGAAAUGUUAGUGAGACUUGGAGUACAAAAUGAUAAUUGUAUCCUUUAUAAAUACGCAUUCUCCAGUACUUAACACAUGUGCGAAGAAAUAAGGAAAUAUUUUACUAGUAAGAAGGAGUUACAAGUAUUGUAGUAUUUUUGUCUUACAACCCAAAAAACUCAAUACACCUAAACUCUUAAAACACUAGAACAAAUGCUUAAAGCUCUCAGGGCACUCUCUUCUAACUCUUGACUUCUCUCAACUGAAUUGAAAAAUGGGAUGAUUGAAGAUGGUAAAUGAAGCCUCUAUUUUAUAGGCUUCAUGUUCCCUCUUUCUUUAAUUUUUAUUAUUAUACAAAACUUAGUGGAUAUCGAAAGUUACACUAAUAAUGUGUUACUUACUCAUGUCUCCUACUUAUCUCAACAAAUUAUGCCAAAAGUCAAAAUGUUGCAUGAUAACCACAUGCAAUUACUUGCUACAUGCAUGCAUAUGUUCAACAUUAUGUGUGUUUGCUCUUAUUAAACGACAUCAACUAGUCAUCUACCUAUUGAUCUUGGGGCUUAAUAUUAUAUGUUUCAUACCAGAAUUUGCAUAACAAAAAGUAAUGAAGAGAUUAAUUAAUAUGUAUGUGUCUCAGUGUGUGUACGGACAAAAUAUAUGCAUAAAGAGAGGCAUGGAAAAGGCUUAGCUGCUAAAUAAAAACAAUAACAAUUAUGUUUAUUACAUGGCCACAGUCAGCCUGGAGAGACGUUCAUGAGAGACCUCUUUUAUUACAUUAAUUAAGAUAUGAUAAUCUGGAGAUAAAGUAAUACAGCCACUAGUGAAGAGGCCAUUUAUAUUAAAGCUCAUUAAUUCCUUCUCCUAAUUGCCAUUAAUGAACUUAUUUUGAAGAUCUUUCACUAUCUUUGGGUCCAACUGGAAUGCCUUGCCAAGAAAAUCGGGAUUGAUUGAAGGAUUGGCUCCAAAGACUGUGUCGGCUAUGGUAACUUCACCCGGGAAUUGGCUGUUUAGAGCAGAAUAGGCAGCUGCAUUUGUUUUUCCAAUGUUGAAUUGGAAGUGAAUCAAACCUUGUGGAAACACAAAAACAUCUCCCUUAUUUAGAACUUUUGCGAUGAGUGUGUUAUUCAGUUGGUCUGAUGUCACAAAACCGACAUAAAGAGUUCCUUCCAGGACUAAGAAGAUUUCGCUGGCACGGGGGUGAAUGUGAGGUGGCCUUUGGCCAUAUGGUGCAUAGUCAAUACGGAAUGCUGAUAUGCCAAGGGUGUUGAGUCCUGGAAUUUGCUCAACAUUUGCAUCUGUUUCAUCAACACCAAGUCGAUUUGCUGUGUUUCCAGGCUUGCCUAGCCCUGAGAAGAAGAAAUCUUCUGCUCUCGCAAGCUUGGGGUCCUUGCAGAACUUCCCAUUCACAAACACUACAAGAACACACACAUACACGCACAAAGGGGGGGGGGGGGGGGGGGGGGUGAGAAUAAUGAAGUACCCGCACAAAUUAUAUUGAAAAUUAUAUGUUUCAUCAGUUCAGUUUACGUACCACCAUCCUUGGGGUCAUUGAUGGCUACACAGACAUCUUGAAGAUGGCCAGGGUCAGUGGCAGAGGCCAAAGAAGAAGCCAAAGCCAAGAGGGCAAAACCUAUAAGAAAUUGAAUUACCUUCAUGGUGAUUAAGUCACAGGAUGUGCCUAUCUCAAACUUUAAUCAAGUGUUGUGAUUUGAGAAUCUUGUGAGGAACUAGACUAUUUAUAGAACCAAGUCCAUGAACGAGUUUGUGUGUUCAAUUAUUAGUCCUCGAAGCAAGUCAAGACUUAUUGGGUCCUUAAUAAUAUAACUUUGUAAUGUUUUGCAUCCCUCGUUUUCAUUUGUUUUUCAAAAUUUACAUCUAGAACUUGAUUGAUGGUACACAUCUUAAAUAUAAAUUGUAAAACAUAAAAAAUAAUGUUUGGCUGACAAUGAUAUAACUUUGUAAUGUUUUGCAGCUCUCAUUUUCAUUUUUGUUUGUUUGCCGGUACACAUAUUAAAUGUAAAUUGGAAAACAUACAAAUCAAAGUCUGGCUACAAUGAUAAAUGAACCGACCCGCUUCGAAUUUUUCUGGGUAAAUCAAUCUAGUCUCAUCAAAACUGACUUGAUAUUAAUCUAAUUAAUGAAAAUUCUGUUAAAAAUUCAGCACUUUUUUAUAAAUAUAACACUCUCAAUAUACAAAUAUGAAUAUAACACUCCCCAAAAUAAUUUAAUAUACAACCAACUCUAAUGAUCAACAUUCUCAAUAAAAAUACUAAAUUUUAGUAUUUGACUCAAAAUAUCUAUAGGGUAUCAAAAGAUUAUAUUAUAACUAAGAGAAAUUAUCAUUGCACCACCUUUAUUUUGUCUUAUGUUUAUCCAACUACUACAAAAUUUUAACAUGUACUUUGCACCACUUUUCUUUUCACAUUUGUAUCAACUAGUCACUUUACAUUAACACUAUUAAAUAAUUUUAAUAAAAUGAUAAUUUUACCCUAAAUAAAUUAAAAGACCAUUUUAUUUUAUAAAAAAUUUAAAAAAUAAAAAAAUAUAAUGAUAAAAAUAUCCCUAAAUUUAAUAAAAAUAAAUCCCAAAAUUAGAAUUUUUAUUUUUAAUAAAAAUUAUUUUAAUAUAAAAUUAUAAUUAUAAAAAUAAUUACAAAAUUUUAGGAUUUAAUAAAAAUCUCCUAAAUUAUUAAAAUUUUAAAAUUUAUUCUUUUAAGAAAUAAAUUAAGUUAUUUUAAUAAAAUUUUACAAAUUAUAAUUUUUAAUAAAUAAAUUUAUUUAUUUUUAUUAAAAUUUUUAAUAAAAAUAAUUAUUAAAAUUUUGUAAAAUCUAAAUUUAGUAAAAAUCAGUUGAACACCUCUAUUUGAGAUUUAUUUUUUUAUUAAAUUUAGGGAUAUUUUUAUGAUUAUAAUUUUUAAUAUUAAAAAUUUUUAUAAGAUAAAAUAAUCUUUUAAUUUAUUUGGGGUAAAAUUAUCAUUUUAUUAAAAUUAUUUAAUAGUGUUAAUGCAAAAGUGACUAAUUGAUACAAAUGUGAAAAGAAAGGUUGUGCAAAAUACAUGUUAAAAUUUUGUGGUGGCUGAAUGAACAUAAGGCAAAAUAAAAGUGGUGCAAUGAUAAUUUCCCUAUAACUAAUAUUAACAUAUUUGUUUAUUCUUAAUCCCAAAAGAAUAAUAUAACAAAAUUAUACAAUCCCAAAAGGGUGAGAUGAUCCGGAUGUCCUAACAAAAAAAUCAUUUAUAUCUUCUAAUAUCAUCACGUGGCCAAAACUCAAAAUAUAUUUACAGCCGCUGGGUCGGUUUGGUGUACCUGCAACCUCCUGUUGAGGGGAGGAAAAUAUAAUAAAAACCGGAUGAGUAUAAAACUCAGUGAGCUUAGUGAGUGUAUAGUAAUUUUUGAAAACAAAUUUUUACUUUAAAAGAAAUAAUCAUAUCAUUUCCAAACACAGUUUCAUCAAACCAUAUGCGAGAAACCAGUAAUAAAUCAUUUAACAUUUAAAUCAUAUUACCAACCUUGAAAAGCAUAUAUAAUAUCGUAGCUAAUAACCAUGGAAAUCAUAUCACAAUAUCAUAUAGAAUACACAAAUAUGAAAAUCAUCACUAAACAAGUACCAAGGGGAAUAAUCUCAUCGUAUCCGGACCUCAACGGAUGGGCAAUGACGUACUAUUUAGAUAUUGUCACACCCUGGAGCUACACGGAUAGACAAGAAAAUAUCAUCUCAUAUCUCAUGAUAUAUGUGCAUGUAUAAUCUAGUCCCCAAAUGACAAAAGCGCCCAAGCACAUGGUCCAAAGCCUCUAUGUGUACUUAGACGAGCCCACAAUGCAUGUAUCUCAUAUGUAUCAUCUGUAUAUGUAUCACUGUUAUCAUCAUAUCACAUGCAUAUGCCCCCAAAAGGCAGAAGUGCCUAAACACACGGCCCAAAGCCUCUAUGUGUGUUCAGACUGGCCCCAAAGACCUCUCAUCUCUAUACUUAUAAAAGAGAAAUGUAUUGUCCAAUGAUUUUAAAAACAAUCUCUAUACUCAUAUUCAUAUAAAUUAUAAUCAUACAUUUCUUUUUAUUAUCACAUCUAAAUUCACUUUUCUCAUCUUUAAAAUACCAUAAUAUUUUAUUCAAAGUCGAUACGAAAAAUUAUUAACGAAACAUUUUAAUAUAAUAUCAAUGCGUGAAUAAAAUCCAUUUCAAGAAAAUCAUUAAAUCAGAACAUUUAAAAUACUUAUUUCACAAACAUACUUUACUAUCAUAAUUAAUUAUGAAAAUAAAUUUUGUAUAUUCCACUCACAGUGACGAUGUUUACGCUCGGUUAUCGUCCACAUCCGCGGACUGGCUCUCACUUGCGGAUCCUCCUAAAUCAAGAAAACGACAUAAUUAUUUUCUAUAAAUCAGAAUUAGGACUAAAUUUAUGCAACAAACUCGAAACAAACAUCUAUCCAUAAUUUACAACUCCCGUAUCGAUAAAAUUACUAAAAUACCCUUGAAUAUGUAAAUCAUUAAGAUACUUCGAAAUUAUAAAUCACCGAAUUACCCUCGGAAUCAUAAUUACACCCAAUCCUCAAUUUCAGGAAUUACUGAAAUAUCCACAGGCUCAGAAAUUACAAAACCGCUAUCAAAAUGUGAAAUUACCGAAUUGCCCUUACCGGUCAACGGUGGCCGGAAUUCAAGCAACGGUGACCGGGAAGCUCAGGUCAGACGCUUCUCGCUGAGCUGAGUUCAAUGAUACCGGCAGUGUGCUCCCACGCGUGGCGACGGCACCAGAAUCUAGCUCGACAGUCGUGUUACUACAACGGCUGAACCACGACGAAUCGACGGCUCUUGGUGGGUGUGGAUGGUCAGAAAAUUAAAAGGGAGUCGUGGGGAACAAAAUGCAGCCGGUGCUGUCACCCAAAACCGGUGAAAAUCUCAACAGAGCAAGGUGGAAAAAUAGCGGGUUUUUCAAGAUUUGGUCACCGACGUUCUAGCUGUUUUCCGGCGACGUGGACGAUUGGGGCAUGAUGGCCGGUCUGCAAGCUUCAGAUUGGUACCAAACUUGACCGGUUGGGUGGCCGGAAUCACAAGAUAUCGCCGGGUCGAAUUUCAGGUCAAACGGGUCGGGUUUCGGGUCGGUUUACAGCUUCUCUCACUCUCUCGCACGUGUGUGUCUGUUUCCCUGUGUCAAACUUCUUCUUUUACUUUUAUUUACUUUUUAACCGCCUCAUCUUUUUUUUUUUUUUUUUUCCACGUGUGUUACAAUAAAACCCAAAACAGGUUAGACACGUUUCCACCAAUCUUCAAAACGAACAUAAAAUAUAAUAAGAAACAAUAUUUUAACGCGUUUCCAAAGCAUAAUUAAAAUAUAAUUUUUUCAUUGGAAAGAAACGAGUUGAAGAAUUUAUGAAAAUGGGUGAGAAACAAAUUCAAGUCUCUGGCCACAGGCUAACAGUUGAGAGUCAUGUUCUGUAAAUAUCGAUGUUACCGGACUUGAUUGGUUUGUUGUUGGACUUAAUGAAGAUGCAUUAUUAGCCAUUUUUUCUUUUUCAUAUCAAUUUUCAUAGCUGCUUUAAUCAUUUUUAGUUAUGAAUGCAUUACCAAUGAUGCACUUGUUUUUUUCAUUACGUGUUAAAAUAUUGUUUUCUGUAAAUAUCGAUGUUACCGGACUUGAUUGGUUUGUUGUUGGACUUAAUGAAGGUGCAUUAUUAGCCAUUUUUUUCUUUUUCGUGGCUGCUUUAGCCAUUUUUUCUUUUUCGUGGCUGCUUUAACCAUUUUUAGUUCUAUGAUUGCUUUACCAAGUCAAUGAUGCACUUGUUUUUUUUCAUUAAGUGUUAAAAUACUGUUUUCAGUGGUCACGUUAAUUGAUAUAUAUCAUUUUCCAUCUUAUUUUCAGUGAUCACAAAUCAAAAUGUGAAUAAGCUGGUGUCGGCACGUUUGGUUAGAGAUAGUGAUAUCAUUUUCCAAUGUCAAGUGAUAUAUAUCAUUUCAACUUUAAAAGCUAAUUUUAAUAUUUAAUAAAUAUUUUUACAAAUAACUUUUAGUAAAAUCAUGUAAAUUUUGAAAAAUAGAAAAAAAUAGUUUUUUAAAAUCUGAUUUCGAGAAUCACUUUUAUACUUAAUAUAUAAUUUAUAUAUAUCCUCAUAUAUAAGACAAAAAUUCAAAAUCAUCCUUAUUAAUUAGAAAAUAAAAUUAUUAAUUUAAAAAAAUUAUUAUUAUUAUCAAUUAUAUUGAGAUAACAAAAUAAAAAAUAAAAUUGAUAAUAUAAAAUAUUUAUUUUAGUUAUCAAUUAUUAUAUAUACACAACUAAAAAUAUUUUAUUUACAUGUUUAUAAAUGUGUAAUUAAAUUUUAUUCAACAAAUGUUCACUUCACUUAUUUAUAUUCUUACAACAUUUUAACAUUAAGAUUUACCAAAUACAUACAACCGCUUUUAAAACUCACAACAUUUUUAAAAAUAAAUUUUACUAAACUUUUAAUUGGUUCUCUAUUAUAGCUGAUUAUUUCUACAGUAUGACUAACAAUAAUUAUUUUAAAAGAUAUAACAUUAUUAACUUAGCCCUUAGUGACUCAAUUGAUUAAAAUUAAGUCAAUUAAAUCACUAAGUUAGGAAAACAAACCGCCCUUUAGUUACUUUCUUAAUGUAAAUAUUAGUAAAUUAUAAUGCAAAUAAAGAUAAUAAUCUCUUCCUUUGUUCACUUUUUUAAUUAAAAUUAGUUGCAUUAGCUAUUUUGAAUAACAAAUUGAAUUGAUCACGAAAUAAUAAUCUCUUCUUCCAAUCAUAUGAGUGGGUUUGAGUGACUCAGGUAGUCAUGGGAAUUUGUUUUCUUUGAUUUCUACACUUGGCUUUUUAGGAUUAUUUGUAAGGACAUUAAUUAUGUAUUUUUAAUGGGUUUAUAUGUUAAUUAUAUUGCAUGUAAUAUUAAAGGUUUGUCAACAAGUUGGCAACCAUUUAAGAGUAUCUCCAAAAAUCUUUAUAAAUUUUAUUCUUUAAAUAUCUAUUUACUUACCUAUGUGACAAAUAGAAUGAUGAAAAAAUAUGAUAUUCUCUAAAAGUCUCUUCAAAUAGAAAUAGGUUAAUAUUAUUUUAAUCAAAUAAUAAUUUUUUUAAAGGAAAAGUCAAUAUCAAUUAAAGCACUUAUCUCUCUUUCUCCAAUGAAAAGUAAGAAAACAUAAAUUGAAGAUGGAGAAAUCAAAUCUCCAAAUUUAAAAAGAGAUAAUCAUUUUUUAUUUAAAAAAUCUUAAUUGAAGUGUCUUUUGAAGUCGUAAAUAUUGAUGUGGCUCUUUAAAUAAGUAAUACAAGCUUAUUUGAAGAGCGUUUUGGUGAUGCUCUAAUUAGUUAAAAUGCAUUCAUGUCAGUAUUUAAGAUACGUAUCACUUUCUGGCAACAAUGUUAAUAUAUGUUUCCGUUCGAACUUUCCACUUGCUGCUUGACCCAUGUAAGUUAUGAAAAAGUUUCCGAGAAUUGACUUACAAAAGGAUGCUAAUCUCUUUUCUUUUUCUCUUUUUUCCGGGGGAAAUUGCAGGUCAAGAAUCUGGAGAGGUCAUAUUUCAAAAUGUCAAGGCUCCAUUGUUCUGGGCAGAAGCCCCAACACUUCAAAGUAACUGAGAAUGACUUGGACUUCCCUUGCGAUAGAUAGGUAGACGGGAAGGGAAACGGGAUUGCAGAUAAAAGCAAAGAGAAAUAAUAGAACGAUGAUUAUUGUAUUCAGAAGAAAUUGUUUCACCUUAUUCAAAUGACGCCAUGGCUGUGUUUGUGAUGUCAGUGCUGACGAUGGAUUGUAGUUUGUGUCCAAAUGUACCUUUUUCUUUUUUUAGGUCUGAACCAUCUGGUAUCCGGCGAUCACAUUGGGCCCCGACUACUCCGGAUUCGGGACGGGUGCCAAUAAAGCCCUCCCAACGAGAGCGACUCCCAGAGAACUCGAACUGAAGAGCUAACCCAAUCGACCCACCUAAGGAGUUCAGCCGGCGCCAGCUGAACCAACACCUCGUUGGUUCCAAAUGUACUUUUCUAUGUAUAAGGAUUCGUAAAAAACGUUGGAGAUUAGAAAAGAAAAUAAAUAGAUCCUUCCUCAAGCUGUCGGUGCUCUUCUAUUAGAGUUGGGACCAGUGGCACCUCUUUAAUCUCAUCAUGAAAUUCCUUUUUCAGUUAUAUUUACUUUAUUUGUGAUAAUGUCUUUUUUUUCCUUUUUUUAUUUUAAGAACACUUUUAAUUUUUUAUUUAAUUUUUUUAGUUAAAACUUUAAAAGUAGUAGUGUUAUUCAUUUUUUAUUUCUUUUGUAAUCUUAUUAUUAUCUUACGCAUAAAUUAAAAGAUUUAAAAAAAAUUUUAGGUGAUGAAUUUUUUAAUGUUAAUUAUUUAAUUAAAUUAUACAUAUGUUAAACUAUAAUUUAAAAAUAAUUUUUAAGUACACAAAUAUUUAAUUAAUAAGAAAUAUGAAAAGAAUAAUAGAUUAUUUCAAAUUUUGUAUGGUUUAUUUUAGUUAGAUAAGAAGUAACCGGCAAAAAAUUUAAAAAAAGAUUGAUUAUAAUUAUAAGUAAUUUUUUUUAAAGAUAGAUUAUGAAUAUAAGUGAUUUAUUAAAAAAAAAUUAUGUAUGAUUAAUUUUAUUUGAAGCAGGGUUUUGAAGGAUAAUGAAGGGGUCCCAAACGCUGUGGGUUUGUUGGCUCUUCCGCUGUCAAAAGUCACGUAUGCUUGGAAGCUUUUAAAAAGCAUGAUGGUAAUGUAAUACUGCAAUUGGAUCAUGGAUUUUUCAUUUAAGAAGAUAGCCACCUGGCGGCAACUCUGAUAUACAAAACAUGUAUUUCAGAAUACGGAAUCUAUCCAAACAUAUAGCAUGCAAGUGCGAUUGCCAGCACGAGCAGUUUUUAUUGCGGAAUUCUUUCAAACACAUAGCACGCAUGUGAAGUUCCCGCAUUGAACCUUCCAAGAUGUUAGUUUCUCUAUUCAGAAACUGAACUCAAUGCCUCAUCCCCUCCUUCAAAGCCAUGACCCUCGUGGCCGCGGUUAACACCUCAUAUUGGGAAAGGGACUAUCACAACCAGUUGUAAAUUAAGCGGAAACAAAACUUUUUCUCUCUUUGUAUGAUUAAAAUAUGAUGUGUACCACAAAUAAAUAGGCAGAAAAAUAAACUAAUAAAUCUAAAGUAAAAAUCAACCACAAGAGACACAAAUUUUUAUGUGAAAAACUCAAAGCGAAAAAAACUAUGGGACCGUAAUCCGAUAUAAUCUUUCAAUAUAUUAAUGAGAUUACAACACAAAUUCUUCUCUAGAUAAUACUAAAAGCUACCAACAUCAAGAAUCUCAAUAUUCUUGGCUUACAGUAACAGUCUAAUAAACAGUUUCUCUAAUAAAUAGGUAUCUUAAAUAAUAGCCAACGAGAGAAUAAAAUAAAAAUCAAGACCAAUAAAAUUAUAGAAGGCGGUGUCAGGAACUUACCCUCAAAAUUUGAGAGAAAAUAAAGUUAAAAUCACCUUCCGAUCAUCUAAUUAAAGAUUGAAAAUCUUACCCCCAAAUAAUCUCAACUCUACUGUCUAUUCUUUUCCCUCCCGUCUUUCUCUUCUCUCAAAAGGUUACUGCCGCCUCCGCUUAUGCUUGUUUAUAUAGCCAAAUUUCAUGAAAAUUUUCAUUUGCCCCCUUUAAGUUUUCUUUAAUUACUUAAUUAUCCAAACUUAUUAAACUUUGAGCUUGGGCCAACCAAAUAAGAUGGACCCAACAAAUCUCCCUCUUCAGAUCAUAUGGGGGGCACCACUAAACCCGCUUUCUAUAUACAACUUUACAGCUUUUCCUUGGACAAUGAUUUUGUCAUCAUAUCUGACCCAUUCUCCAUUAUGUGUAUCUUUUCAACCUACAACUGUUUCUUCUCAAGCACAUCUCGUAUCCAAUUAUACCUCACAUCAAUAUACUUGGAUUUUGAAUGGUAUGUCGAAUUCUUUGCCAAGUGAAUGAUACUCUGACUAUCGCAGUACACAACAAAAUUAUCUUGCUUCACACCCAACUCUUGCAGGAAAUUCUUCAUCUACAAGGUUUCUUUGCAACCUUCAGUGAUUGCAAUAUACUCUGCUUUUGUGGUAGACAAGGCAACACAUUGCUGAAGUUUGGACUGCCAUGAGACUGCUCUCCUUGCAAAGGUGAGCAAAUAUUCUGAUAGAGAUUUUCUGGAAUCAACAUCUCCUGCCAUGUCUGCAUCAAUGUACACUUAUAACACAAGUUUAUCACCAUCAAACAUAAACAUGCAUUGGAAGUGCCUCUAAGGUAUAUGAGAAUCUACUUUACUACAGUCCAGUGUUCUUUGCCCAGAUUAGAGAGAAACCGACUGACUACACUAACUGCAUGAGCAAUAUCUGGUCUUGUACAAACCAUGGUGUACAUCUAACUACCAACUGCUGAAGUAUAAGAAACUCAUUUCAUCUUUUGCUUCUAUUUCUCACUUGUAGGAGAAUGCUUGGAAGUAAGCUUGAAAUGGCCUGCAAGUGGAGAACAAACUGGUUUUGUCUUGCUUAUGUUAAAUCUUUCAAGAACCUUUUCAACAUAUAUUUCUUGAGAUAACCAUAACUUCCCAGAUUUUUUAUCGCAGGAAAUCUUCAUGCUAAGAAUCUGUUUCACCGGUCUUAAGUCCUUUAUUUGCAAAAGACUUGCUAAGCUCCCUCUUCAGAUUGUCAAUCUUACUAGCAUCUCAGCCAACAAUCAACAUAGCAUCCACAUAAAGCAAAAGAAUAAUGAAAUAAUUAUCACCAAAUUUCUUCACAAAAAUACAAUAGUCACACAUAGUCUUAUUGAAACCAUGAUUCUCCAUAAAAGAAUCAAACUUCUUGUACCACUGCCUUGGUGCCUGUUUUAGCCCAUACAAACUUUGGCUCCUCCCCCGCCUUUCUUUCUUUUCUGAAAUAAGUGCAUCUGACUUAGAGGGAACCGCUUCAACACUUUUUCUUCUAGAUUCUUCAUUCUGCAGCCUAUCUGUAACCAUAUUCAAGGUUAAUUUCCCGUUCGACACUGAAUUAUUUACCGACACCACUAAUGUCUCCCAAUUAUCAGGCAAAGAACUAAGCAACAACAAUACUUGUAACUCAUCAUCUAGAAUAUUUUUCAUAGUAGUCAACUGAUCAACCAAGCCUUGAAACUCACUAAUGUAUUCAGUUGUACUGCGCCCUUCCUUGUAUUUCAAAUUAACAAGUCUUUUCAUCAGAUUGACUUUAUUCUGUGCUGUCGGCUGCUCAUAAAUCGUCUCUAAUUUUCUCCAAAUAACAUCAACCUUGGAUUCUUUCGCGUCACGGUGAUACACACUUUGAUCAAUCCAUGAUCUAAUAGUACCCACAGUCUUCUAGUUUAAUUGAGCCCAUUUCUUAUCAUCUAAAUCUGCGGGUCUAUCUUAUUCGCCUUCAAUGGGUUCAUGUAAGUCUUUUAUGUACAACAAAUCUUCCAUCCUAGACAUCCAAAUACCAUAAUUUCAUGAUUUUAAUUUAAUCAUGCAUGCCAAGGACUCCUCCAUCUCAACCACAUAAGUAAUAAAAAUACAAAACCUAACGCUCUGAUACAACUCUGUUAGGAAAAUGCACUACCACAACCAGUUGCAAGUUAAGCGGAAACAAAAUUUUUUCCCUUUUUGUGCGUUUAAAAUAGGAUGUAUACCACAAAUAAAUAGACAGAAAAAUAAACCAAUAAAUGCAAAGCAAAAACCAACCACAAGAGACAUUGAUUUUUACGUGGAAAAUCCAAUAUGGGAAAAACCACGGGACCGUAGUCUAAUAUAAUCUUCCACUAUAUUAAUGGGAUUACAGUACAAAUUCUUCUCUAGAUAAUACUAGAGGUUACCAACAUCAAGAAUCUCAAUAUUCUUAGCUUAUAGUAAUAAUUUAAUAACAGUUUCUCUAACACGUGGGUAUCUCAAAUAGUAGCCAACGAGAGAAUAAAAUAAAAAUUAAGACCAAUAGAAUUAUAGAGGGCAAUGCCAGGAACUUACCCUCAAAAUUUGAGAGAAAACAAAGUUAGAAUCACCUUCCGAUUGUCUAAUUAGAGAUUGAAAAUCUUGCCCCCAAAUAAUCUCAAAUCCACUGUCUUUUCUUUUCUCUCCCGUCUUUUUUUUGUCGCAAAAGGUUGUUGUCACCUCCACUUAUGCUUGCUUAUAUAGCCAAAUUUCAUAACAAAUUUUAUUUGCCCCUUCAAUUUUCCUUUAAUUGUUUAAUUACCCAAACUUAUUAAACUUUGAGCUUAGGCCACCAAAAUGAGAUUGACUAACACCUCAAAAGACGAUUACUACGCAGCCGUAAACCACAUCGCCAACAUAGUCCGUCACGAAAUAUAUCCAGAACGCACCCUCAACAGACUCAACCUCACCCUCACCUUAGAGAUUGUCUACUGCGUCCUCCGCAUCUGCCACAUUACUUCCCCUUCUGAAUCCCUCCGCUUCUUCACCUAGGCCUGCUCCCAGCCCUAAUACUCCCCCACCUCCCUCGAAUUCGAACAGCUCAUUUGACCCUUGCCCACCACAAACUCUACCAGUCCAUGUGGAAUCUACAUUCUUUUGGCAUUUGAUUGCGUUACGCCCAAGCACGUUGUUAUUUAUUUUUAAGCAACAAUGGUGUUUGUAAUUAUUGCCUUUUCUGGCUUUAUCUAGUGUUUAUCUGAGUAAUAAACAAUACUAAAUAGUUUGGUUGAUGGACACUUGGACUUGGAGAAGAAACGUGUUUUCAUUUCUUAAAUAAAACAUUAUACACUGAGAGUUAUUUAUAGAUGCAGAUGCUACAUUUUUUCAAAGAUUACAUAUGUGAAUACGGAAGGAAAUGUGUCAAUCCGUUCGGCGCGGAUCUUGUCUUUGACAAGUGCAGAUUAUCCUUUUGACAAGUGCGGAUUCUGUCUUUGAAAGCUUCAUUCAAUGCCGUUUUAUUUGAUUCUCAACACUCCCCCUCAAGCUGGUGCAUAGAUGUCUUGCAUACCCAACUUGUCUAGGAAUUUUGUAAAUGCCCUGCUUGAAAUGGCCUUCGUUAAAAUAUCUGCAAGUUGAUAUUCUGAUCGAAUUUUUGGCAGUUCUAAGAUUUUUUCAUCUAAUUUCUCAUUGAUGAAAAAUCUAUCUACCUCGACAUGUUUUGUUCGAUCGUGUUGAACUGAGUUAUGAGCAAUAUCUCGUGCAGCUUUAUUGUCACAGUAUAGUUGUAUUGGUUGUUGUGACGGAUAGCCCAAAUCGUUUAAGAUAAAACUUAUCAAUAGCCCUUCACAUACCCCAAGGGCCAUGCCUCGAUAUUCUGCUUCAGCGCUCGAACGGGCAACGACAUGUUGUUUCUUGCUUCUUCAUGUGACAAGGUUGCCUCCCACAAAAGUAAAGUAUCAUAAAGUAGAGCGUCUAUCACUAAUUGACCCGGCCCAAUCUGCAUCAGUAUAAACUUCUAUGUUGCUGUAAUCUUCAUUUUUGGAAAAUAGGAUUCCUUUUCCUGGAUUUGUCUUCAUGUACCUCAGGAUCCGCAUUACUGCUUUCAUGUGUUGUUCUCCGGGAUUAUGCAUAAACUGACGUACAACACUCAAUGCAUAAGCAAGAUCUGGCCUUGUGUGGGACAAGUACAUCAAUCUUCCAAUCAACCUUUGAUAUCUUCCUUUGUCUACUGGAACUUGGUCUGAGGUAAUACAAAACUUCAGUCCUUCUUCUAUUGGGGUGUCAAUAGGCUGACAAGCUGUCAUUCCUGUUUCGUGCAAUAGAUAUAAGGCAUAUUUCCUUUGAGACAGAAAGAUUCCUCCCUUAGAUCGAGAAACCUCAAUUCCAAGAAAGUAUUUUAAGGCACCUAAAUCCUUCAUCUUAAACUCUCUUGACAAGUACUUCUGAAGAACCUCUAUUUCUUCCUCGUCGUUGCCUGUAACUACCUUAUCAUCCACAUAGACAAUAAGGGCAGUGAUUUUACCUUGUCAUUUUUUAAUGAAUAAGGUAUGAUCUGAAUUGCUUGUCAUUUUACUUUGGUUAUACCCAAAACGAACCAUAGCCUUUGUGAAUUUCUCGAACCAUGCUCUUGGGGAUUGCUUCAACCCAUACAAUGAUUUCUUCAAUUUGCAUACUUUUUGAUUGAGUCGUUCUGGUCCACUGCAUCCUGGUGGCAGAUCCAUAUAAAUUUCUUCACACAGGUCUCCAUAGAGGAAAUCAUUUUUUACAUCGAACUGUUGCACUGGCCAAUCCAAGUUGACUGCUAAUGAUAAUAAGAUACGAAUAGUAUUAAUUUUUGCUGUCGGUGCAAACAUAUCAGUAUAAUCAAUCCCGUAGGUUUGGGUGUAACCCUUAGCUACGAGUCUUGCUUUGUAUCGUUCAAUAGAGCCAUCUGCUUUGUACUUUAUAGUGUAGAUCCAUCGACAACCCACUAGUUUCUUUUCUGGUGGAAGAUCAACUAGUUCCCAUGUUUGAUUUUUCUGAAGAGAUCUCAUUUCAUCAUUCAUAGCCGCUUCCCACUUUGGGUCUUUUAAAGCUUCUUGCACACUGUUAGGAAUAGAUACAGCAGAUAAUUGAUUCACAAAUGACUGAUUUGAUUCUGACAAGCGAUGGUUAGACACAAAAUGACUCAUAGGGUAUUUAACUAUACUAGAGAAGUCAGGCUCGUAUGUGGGUUUAGGGAUACCUCUAUUUUGACGUUGGGAAAGAAUUCUUUUGAUUGGACUUGUGGUAGGAACAUCCUCUACAGACGAUUGGUUAGGUAUUUUUUCAUGUGACUCAUUCUCGAUUGCAGUUGUGUCUGAAUUAUUGUGCUCCCCAAAUGUGUCUUCACUUAUCUCAGCCUGAGAAUCAUCACCAUUUGCUUUUCCAGUAUCUUGAAGGUUUACUAUCUCAAUGGAAUAUUGACUUUCUUCAGGUGGAAGAUAUGUAAGAGUAUGGAUUUCCUUUUUAUUAUGCUCCCCCUGAAAUUCAGACUCUGACAAGUAGUACAUGAUAUCUUCAUGAAAAACGACAUCCAUGGUGAUGUAUAUUUUUCUUGAUGGUGGAUGAUAGCAUCGGUAUCCCUUUUGAUGUAAGGCAUACCCUACAAACACACAACGUAGUGCUCGAGGAGAUAAUUUGUCUUGUUGCGGCAAAUGAACGAAGGCAACACAGCCAAACACGUGGGGGCAGAUUCGGCACAUUUGGUGACAUAAUUGCAUUAUUCAGAACUUGAAAAGGAGUCUGGAAUCCAAGGGAGCUUGAAGGUGUUCGAUUGAUCAAGUAUGCUGCGGAUGCCAGUGUUUCUCCCCAAUAAGAUAGUGGCAUGUGGGCUUGGAUUAGUGAUGCUCGAACAACUUCUAGUAAAUGUCUGUUUUUUCGUUCAGCAACGCCAUUUUUUUGGGGUGUCCCCACAUAAGUGGUUUGAUGGACAGAUCCUUGUGAUUUCAGAAACUGUUGAAUUGUUGUGCUCAUAUACUCGCCUCCAUUAUCAGUAUGUAGAACUCGAAUUUGUGUCAUAUGAUCAAAAGUCAUAUGAUCAGUUGCCCCAAAAUCAAUUAUCCAUGUACUAUUAAUAACAGGUGUAAGAGUUUUAAGGGCCAUACCUGGACUAACAGAGGUUGCGAUUUGCACUGAAGAUUCUUUUCUAAGAUCUGUAGUGGAUAUGGAUUCAGCUACUGCAGUUUUUUAUCCAUACUUGGUGUUCUUCUUUCGAGUAUCCCACCAGUCAGGAUAUCCAAUGAUUUCAAAACAUUGUUCUUUCGUAUGACCCUUCUUUCUACAAUGAGUGCAAUUGAGUGAUGACUUGUCAACAAACUUCCUUUGAGGCUGCUGUCGUGCUAUCAUAGCAGACGUUUCUGAGUCGACCUUCUUGUUUAGUUUGCUUUGCCGCACAUCUUCUCUUUAGAUCAGAGAAUAACAUUAUUCUAAGUCUGGAAUAAUUUCUUUUCGUAGAAUUUCUCCACGAACUUGGUCAAAUUCUUCAUCUAGCCCAGCAAGAAAAAUGUGCACUCUCAAUCUUUCAACAGACCUUCUGUAUAUUACAACAUCUUCUGAAUCCUUCACGACCACUUUAUCUCGGUGAUCAAGUUCUCGAAAUAUUUUGAUCAAUUCUCCAUAGAAUUUAGAGAGUGGUUGUCCAUUUUGCUUGGUAGAGAAUGCCUUCUGGUUUAGAGUGAAAACUUGUAAUUCAUCGCUUCCAUCAUAGAAGGCUUUUGAUAAUGCAUCCCAAAUUUCGUAGGCUGUAGGAAUUCGUAAAUAUCGCUUCAUGAUCUCCGGAGACAUGGAUAUGAGUAACCAUCUUUUUGCUUUUUGGUUCUCACUAUACCAUUUCUCAUAUUCUUUUGAAUAUUCCUCAGAUGGCUUUGUACUACUACGAAUAUAUGAGAGUUUUUCUCUUUCUGUAAGAUGCAUCUCCAUUAUUUGAGACCAAACAUCGUAGUUUGUCUCAGUGAGGAUAAUUCUAGCAUUAAAUACUCUAUCAGAUUGAACAGAUUGAAUGACAACAGGACUAGAUUCAGUUGGAGUUUUCUCCAUUUUUUUUGUUUUUUUUUUCGUCUAGAUUGAAAGAAGAAAAAAAAAUAACCUUUUUAGAUAACAAAACGACAAGUCGUUUGGCCACUGCUUGAAAAACUGACAUGUCGGUUAUGGUGGAAUAUAAACGACAUGUCGUUUUAAUCCUGCUGCACUUCUGGAGACUAAACGUCACGUCGUUUUAUCUCUAAUUUAAAAACGACAUGUCGGUUUUAAUAUAAUAAAAACAACACGUCUUUUUUACUGCUGCACACCGGAGAUAAAAAAUGACAUGUCGGUUGACGUCUUCUUCAACCUCUGGAGCGCGUGAGAGCGCGUGAAUGAUGACAGAGGCGCGUGGUUGACUGGCCGUGGCUUCGGGUGGCGCGUGUGAGCGCGUGGAAAUGUGUUUAAAUGCGAAAUUUUUACAGUUUCCUCACUGGAAACUGAGAAAUGUGAUGGUAUUCUUGGUUUUUUUAGGAACACACUCUUGGAAAAUUGAUGGGAUUGUUGAUAAAUUUGUUAACUCAAGUUUUUUACGUAUGAGUGGCUUGUUUCUUGAUCGGCAUGGAUAUCUGUAAUGGUAGGAAUGGGUUUAAGAAAGAAAAUGGUGGGAAAAAUGGUUGUGGGAGGAAUUUGGUUUCCUCUGUUUUUGUUACAAACAGAGCAGCAGAACUUGAAGAAACUUGAGAGUAUUCAUGGCUCUGAUACCAUGAAGAAACGUGUUUUCAUUUCUUAAAUAAAACAUUAUACACUAAGAGUUAUUUAUAUAUGCAGAGGCUACAUUUUUUCAAAGAUUACAUAUGUGAAUACAAAAGAAAAUGUGUCAAUCCGUUCGGCAUGGAUCUUGUCUUUGACAAGUGCAGAUUAUCCUUUUGAUAAGUGCGGAUUCUGUCUUUGAAAGCUUCAUUCAAUGCCGUUUUAUUUGAUUCUCAACACUUGGUAUUGGACUUUGAAUUGACACAGAGGCGGUUGACUCGGAGAAAUGAUUACUUUGAACAUUUUUCGCAUGCAUCAUUUGCUCAUAACUUUUUUGUUCAUCCACAUGAAAUCAAAUACUCAUUUGGUAUGAUAGAAUCAAUGGGCAAUCAUUUUUAUAUUAGCUUAAAAACUAGGUUAUCUUUGCAUAACUAUAGUUUUAGAGUUUCUGUUUAUGUACUUUAUGCUUUCAACUUCUGAUGAUGAAUCGAGUGUUGAGCCCAGAGCAAGCUUUCCUGUUGAAGGAUAUUAAUUUGCAACUAAUUCAUCGGUUACACAUACAGUUAGAAAAAUGUGUACCCGAAUGCCAUGUUAUUGCAUUUACUAAUGUAUAGUUCAUAAGCAUGUCUCUCAUUGUAUACACGAUUAAGGGUGGGUCUGCCUACUACUUUAUAACAAUUAGAGAUGUUCAAAAUUCAAUUCGAUCUGCUCAAUCCGUCUGAUCCGUAGAAAUCCAAUCUGUAAAAUUUUGAUUCGCAAAUUGGUGGAUUGGAUUGAAAAUUUGAUAAUCUGCAAUCGGUGGAUUGGAUAUGGAUCUACUUCUAUAAAUCCGCAAACAAAUAAUAAGUAGUUAUUUAAUUAAAAAAUAAAACUUAUAAAUAUGACAUUAGUACUUACUAGUAAAUAAAUAAGUUAAAAUAUAGUUACAUUAACACUAUAUUAUAUAUUAUCAAAUAAUAAUAUAACAUAAAAAAUAAUUAAAUAAACAAAUAUAGCUUCCUAAAUAGUUAAUUUCAUAUAUUGAUCUAAACAAAUAAGAUUUUUUUCUUUUUAAUGUGUUAUAUUUUGAAACUUUAAAUUUAUUUUCUAGCUUUAUUUAAAUAAUUAAUUAAUUUAAAUCUUAUUUAAUUUUAAAUUUGAUUGGUAUUAAAAUUAGUUUUAUAUUUAAUUUUUUUAUUUAUUUAGUUCGUGCAUUUGACAGAAUUAAGAAUUUUCAGUCCGUAAACCAACCUGCAAAAUGGUGGAUUGGAUAUAGAUCGGGUCAAAUUCGCAUCCGAUCCGUAAACGUAUGAAUUGGAUUUGAAUUUCACCAAUCCAUGGAUUGAAUUAGAUUGAAAAUUUAUAAUCCGCAAAAUCGUGGAUCGAAUAUGAAUUGAUGUCCAAUCCGUAAAAUCCAAUCAGCGAACACCGCUAAUAACAAUUUAUGUUAUACUGACAAUAUUUUCCGUACUGAUCACAAGUUUAAAGUUUUGCUUCUCGAAAUGGCUCCUUUCAUUUAUUUAUUUAUUUAUUAAAAUUGACAUUUUUUAUUUUUUUUGUUUUUGACAAGGAAGGUAAUUGAGGUGUUUAACGAGGGGAUGAUGUUUUCCUUUAAAAGAAUAAAUAAAUAAAAGACAAAUUUUUAUGCUAUGGGGACAAAAUGCCAAUUGAGAAGAAUUGUGUCCCACUAAAAUUGGGUUAAGUAUUUAAUUUGAAUUGGCAUCUAAAACAGUUGUAGGCUAACCAAUAUUUCUACGAAAAAAAAAAGUCAGAAUUAUUGCUAGCUUCUUGUCUUUAAUUUUCUAAACUCUGCGCAGUUGGUGUAGUAGUUUUUGCUGCUCUUCUCUUUGCGGCUAUAGAGGCUAUAGCCGAACGUGAACUAGGAAAGUGGAAACGUUGCACCUUAACAUACGUCGUCAACUACGACUACAAAUCUAUUUCAUGGUCCCAAAAUAUCAAUCAGUGCCAUUGUAAUUAUCAAAACUAAAAAAUUAUGGUUUUUACUAAGUUACAGUUACUAUCCAUGCAAAAAUAUGCAAAACGUAGUAACAUAAUAGUGAGCCAUUUAAUUUUUAUAUGGGUUGUAUGUUAUACAAAUUGUAAUUUAGCGAAACUCAAAAAUUAUACGAAAGAAAAAAUUUAUUAAUUUUCUUUUUAACUAAAUGAUUAGAAUACAUUUACUCAUAAUUACCAAAGCAAAAAUUAAGUCAUAAUUAAGGGCUUGUAAAACACUUAAUUUCAAACCACUAAUUUUGAGAGCUACAACAAUAAGAGGAGUUAAGUAACAAUUAAGUGCUUAUAAAUGAUAACUUUUAGUAUUCAAAAACUAACCACAAGCUCAAGCCCAUCUCAUAUGAAUAACGCUGUUGUGCGAUAGGGAUUACAAUUGUGUGACAAAUGACCCUUGAUAAAUUUAGACAACUAGUAGAAAUUAGAAUUUAAAUUCUUUAUUUUUAAGUUUUUCCAAUAUUUCAAUGUUAUUCUCACACAUUUAAUUAAAAUUAAAUAAAUCUUAAGAACAUAUAGAGACAUGUUUUUGUAAUAUAUAAAAGAUUACAUGUCUCUUCUUCUUUCUAUUUAAAUUCAACAAUAUGUAACCAUUAAUAAUAAAUUAAUUAUAGUUUUGAAACAUUCAUUUAUUUUAUUAAGCCAACAACUAAACUUUAGUGGUUUAAAAUACAUCAACUAACUAAUAUAGAAAAAAAGGUUCUUUCAUCUCCCCUCACCAAUACCACUAGAACCUAAUUUUAAUGUCAUAAUUUCAUAUUUAAUUAUGCAACCUUUUAUUUAGUGUCUUUUGACUUCUUCAAACUAUAUAAAUAUUAAGUAUUUAAGAUUUAUUAUGUUUGAGUUUUUUUUAUUAUUUAACCAACAUCCUCUUUAGAAAUGUUCUUGUGUUUUUAUUUUUUGACUUAUUUAAAUUUUUUGUAUUGUGUGCUUCAUGGAGUAUUCUUUUCUUCAUGAGUUAAACAAUGAUAAAGAUAUUUGGAUGAUAAGGGUUAGGCUUUGUAAAAUGUGGGAGUCUGUUAAUACCAAGAAAAAUGGAGAGUUGAUUAGUGUGAACAUAAUUUUUAUUGAUGAAAAAAUUGUGUACACUUAACUAUACACAUUAAUAUAUAUUUUUAAAGUUAACAAAAAAAUAAUUAACUUUCAUAAAUAACAUUAGUUUUAUAAGGCUGCGUCAUCUUUAAAAAAAAUCAAUUCAUAUUUUUUAUCAAUUUUAUCAAGUGUAAAGUAAUAAAAAAAUAAUACUAAAUUUUUUUUUUAAAACCGCACGAAGUGCGGUUCUAUUUCCUAGUAAGAUUAUAAUAGUAAAAGAAUUCAAUAAUUGCACUCUUAAUGUUACCAUUUAAAAAUUAUUAAGUUAAGAAUGAAAUAGGUAAUUUGGGAAACCCAGCUGGAGGGAUUUGCUUAACAUCCUUUAAAAUUUUUUCCCAGCUGGAAGUAAUUGCUGAACAUCCUUUUCAAUUCCCGAGUAUUAUCUAAUCAGCUUAUUUUGUCAUUUUUAGGUGUUUGCAAAGGCUUUUGGCAAGGAUACUGGGUUGGCUUACGUGUAGUGGACUGAUCAUGUUGACUUUGUUCGGUAGCACAUUUUAUUUUACGCGUGUCUAGUUGUAACCAUGUCUCUCACUGUAUACACCAGUGUGAGUGGGUCCGCCUACUAUUUUAUGACAAUUUAUGUUAUACUGACAAUAUUUUUCGUGCUGAUCACAAGUUUGAAGUUUUGCUUCUCUCGAAGAGCUGGCUCCUUUCAUUUAUUUAUUUAUUAAAAUUUACAUUUUUUUUCCGUUUCCUUGCAAGAAAGGUAAUUAGAUUAAGUUUAACGGGGCGAUGAUGUUUUCCAUUAAAUAAGUAAAACACAAUUUUAUGCCAGAGUAGAAAUGGCCAAUCAAAACAAGGGUUAUCCAUGUUCGUGCCAUGCCGUCGUGUGCUUAAUUUUUUUUUCUCGUACCUUGCCCAUAUGUGUUGUGUUGUGUCUAAAAAAAAGUUCAAUAAUUUUUUUUAGUUUUUUAAAAGCACGUACUAAGUAAUUGGUAUAUUUUUUUUAAGUUUAUAUUUUUUUUAGGUCUAUACAUUUAUUCAAAUUUAAUAGAAUUGAAAAUUUAAAACUCAAGUCUAUAUUUUAUAAUAAUAAACUAAUAAUAAUAAGAUAAUGUAAUAUUAAUUUUUAAGUUUGACCUUUUAACAUUAUUUUUUUUUAUACUUAACAACAACAACAAUAAUAAAUUUUUCUUAAGGGUUAACUUAAUUGUUAACUUAGACUUACAUAGAGUCAUAGAUCAUAAUUCACAAUAAUAUUAAUGGAUAUUUAUAAAAUCAUAAUAAUUAUAAUUUUAUUUAUUAAAAUCAUGAUAUCAAUUAUAUAUUUAAUAAAUUAUAAAUAUAAAUCAAUUAUAGUACUUUUUAAACUAAGAAUUAAAUGAAUUUAAAAAAUUUAUUUUCAAGUUAUUUGUAAAACUAUAAAAUUUUAAGUUUACUUUCAUUAAAAAAUAAAAUGUGCUUAUUGUGAACUUUUUUAUCGUGCUAUACUUAGUCCAUUUCUAAUCAUGCAGUGCUUUUAAUGCUCGCGUGCUUAAAAUUUUAAGUCUGGCCCAGUCCACGUGCGUACUGUACCAUACCACAUACCCUACCAAAACGUGCUCGUAUUGUGCCGUGCCACACGAAUACAUGUCGUGCCAUGUGUCAUCCACUCCAUUGGCCAUCUCUACGCCAGAGUGACAAUAUGCCACAUUGAGAAGAAUUGUGUGCCCCUAAAGCUGGAUUAAUAAUUUAAUUUGAAUUAAAUCUAUAACAGUUGUAGGCUAACCAAUAUUUCCACAGAAAAAAGCAGUUCAAAAUUAUUGGUCGCAUCUUGUCAUAAAUUUUUUAACUCUGCGCAGUUGGUGUAAUAGUUUCGGCUGCUAUUCUCUUUACUACUAGAGCCUAGAGAUGGAGUGAAGCAUGAUGGGAAUUAGGAAAAGAGAGUUGCUUCCUUAUAACCGUAACUUAGCGCCCACACACAGCAACAGUACCGCUGGUGGGGCCUGGUACUAUUGCUACGUAAGUUACAUUAAACGUAACUUAGGCCCUCCCUUACAAUUAACGUAAUGUUCUAGGUUAACAUAUCUAAUCAACUACGACUACAAUUCUAUUUCAUGGUCCCAACACAUCAUAUCAAUCAAUGUCAUUAUCGUUAUCAAAGCUAAAAAAUCACAAGAAAGAAAAAAGUUUUUGUUUUAGCUGAAUGAUUAGAUAUUACAUUUACUCGUAAUUAGGGGUGUUCAGAAUCCAAUUCAAUCUACUCAAUCCAUUUGAUCCGUAGAAAUCCGAUCUGUAAAAAUUCGAUAUGCGGAUUGGUGGAUUGGAUUGAAAAUUUGAUAAUCCACAAUCAGUGGAUUAGAUAUGAAUCUACUUAUGUAAAUCUGUAAAAAUCUGUAAAUCCGCAAAAAAAAAAAAAAUUUAUUUAAUUAAAAAAUAAAACUUGUAAAUAUGAUAUUAGUACUUACUAGUAAAUAAAUAAGUUAAAAUAUAGUUACAUUAACACUAUAUUAUAUCUAAUCUGAUAAUAAUAUAAAAUAAAAAAAUUAAAUAAACAAAUAUAGCUUCCUAAAUAGUUAAUUUUCAUAUAUUGAUCUAAACAAAUGAGAUUUUGUUUUCUUUUUGAAUUGUUAUAGUUUGAAACUUUCUAGUUUUAUUUAAACAAUUAAUUUAUUUAAAUCUUAUUUAAUUUUAAAUUUGAUCGGUAGUAAAAUUAUUUUUAUAUUAAAUUUUUUUAUUUAGUUAGUUCGUGUAUUAGACAAAAUUAAAAAUUUUCAGUCUGUAAACUAAUCAGCAAAAUGGUGGAUUGGAUAUGAAUUGAGUCAAAUUCAUAUCUGAUCCGUAGACGUAUGAAUUGGGUUUGAAUUAAAUUUUAUCAAUCCGUGGAUUGGAUUAGAUUGAAAAUUUAUAAUCUAAAAAAUCGUAGAUCGGAUAUAGAUUGAUGUCCAAUCUAUAAAAUUCGAUCCGCGCCCUACUCGUAAUUAAAAAAGCAGAAAUUAAGCAAUAAUUAAGGGUUUAUAAAACAUUUAAUUUCAUACCACUAAAUAUGAGAGUUAUAACAGCGAGAGAAGUUAGGUAAUAAUUAAGCGCUUAUAACCGACAACUUUUACUCGAGGUAAAAGACUUAUGUGUUCUAUAACUAACCACACACUAAUCACAUAUGAAUAACACUACGUGUUUACUGUGCCGUACCGCAUAUCUUACCUAAACGUACUCAUAUGGUGUCGUACUAUACCGAUACAUGCCGUGGCAUGUGUCAUCCACUCCAUUGGCCAUCUCUACCCCAAAGUGACAAUAUGCCGCACAAGAAUUGCGUGCCCCUAAAGCUGGAUUAAUAAUUUAAUUUGAAUUGACAUCUAUAACAGUUGUAGGCUAAUCAAUAUUUCUACAGAAAAAAGUGGUUCAGAAUUACUGGUCGCGUCUUGUCAUAAAUUGUUUAACUCUGCGCAGGCGGUGUAAUAGUUUCGGCUGCUAUUCUCUUUACCGCUAGAGCCUAGAGAUGGAGUGAAGCAGAAUGGGAAUUAGGAAAAUGGUAAUGUUCUACGUUAACAUACCUAGUCAACUACGACAACAAUUCUAUUUCAUGGUCCCAACACAUCAUAUCAAUCAAUGAACAUCAUAUCAAUCAAUGCUAUUAUGGUUAUCAAAGCUAAAAAUUCACGGGAAAGAAAAAAAAAAUUUUUUUUUUUAGCUGGAUGAUUAGAUUACAUUUUCUCGUAAUUAAGAAAGCAUAAAUUAAGUAAUAAUUAAGGGUUUAUUAAACACUUAAUUUCAUACCACUAAAUAUGAGAGUUAUAACAGUGAGAGAAGUUAGGUAAUAAUUAAGAGCUUAUAACCGAAAACUUUUACUAUAGAUAAAAGACUUAUGUGUUCUAUAAGACUAUAACUAACCACAAACUCAUCACAUAUGAAUAACACUAUUGUGCAAUAGACAUUACAAUUGUGUGACAAAUGACCAUGAAUAACACUAUUAUGCGAUAGGGAUUAUAAUUGCGUGAUAAAUGAUUCUUGAUAAAUUUAAACAACUAAUAGAUAUUAAAAUUUAAAAUUUUUAUUUUUAAGUAUUUCCAAUAUCUCAAUGUUAUUCUCACACAUUUAAUUAAAACUAAAUAAAUUUUAAGAACGUAGAAGAACAUAUCUCACUUACGAGUUUAGAUAGGCCUAAAACCAAACUUUAGAAAACACAUUUUUAUGUUAAUUUCUUUCAUAAAUUUUGCGUUUGACAAGAUAAAAAUAUAUAACAGAUAACCAAACCAAAACUUUUCACGAAAUAAAUAAUUAAUUAGUUAAUCCAAAAGUACUUUGGUUAAUGUGUAGAAUGGGUUGAAUAAAGUAAUUUUUAUUUUUGAACAAAAUUUAGUCCAUUCUAAUUUCACUCCUCAAUGGAAGUUCUUUCCACCUUUCGGCUAAUGGACUCUCGCAAUUUAGCGUUAUUAUUAUUAUUACUAUUAUUAUUAGUUAUAAUUUUAAAAUUUAUUGGGAAUUUUGCGGAAGAGUAUGGCGAUUUGAACCCAAAAUUUUGCUUUCUACACCCAUUUUCUCAACACACCCACAACAUAAAUUUGAAAAAUAAAAUUAUACUCUAUGAAUCCUUCAUAAAUCCAAAAAUAACCUUAUAUUAUCUUCACUUUUUUCUUCCCUCCCCCUUCUUAUACAGUAUUGAAUGGUGACAGCAACUUUGAUUCACCUUGCUAAUAUUAAAAACUAUCCUAAUUGACAAAUCCAUGAAGAAAUAAACUUUGAUGACGUGCACCAAUAAAUUGAAAAUUUUGAGCCAACAACAAAAUACUGAAUAUAUUACGGAUGGCUUUACAUUGAAAUUGUCCAUUUCUUUUUCAUCCAUUGCCUUUCACGAAAAUCUUUAUAAUUUCAUAUUAUAACUGCAAGAUGCAAAAAAUUCUUCAUGUUUUUUCAUCUAUCGCCAUAAUUGCCAUAGAGUUCAUUAGCUUAAUUAACUAUUAGUUAUACAUAUCAAGGAGUCUAUUUUUCCUUUUAAGUCUUGAAUCAUCAAAUUCAAAUAUUUCUAUUGUUCGAUUUUUCUAUCUGAUUGUGUAUUUUCAUGAGAUGCAGAAAAUUAUUUUUAGCUUAUGCAGAAUUUUCAUUUUCUCAGCAACUAAGUUUUUUUUUUUUUUUUUUUUGGUCUGUCCUUAAUGGUAAUUGUCAUAAAGGGUAAUUUGACAAUAAAAGUUUUUGUGAAAUUAUGGGUGUAAAGAGUUGUUUUGUGGGUUUAAAUAGUCCCACCCUUUGCGGAAUUAUAUAUUAAACAUCUAAAUUAAUCGUAUGUAUGAAAUAAAUGGCAUCCAACACAAAUAUAAAUAAUGGCAUCCCACACAAAUAUAAAUAAUAAUUUUACUUGAAUUAAACACCCAAAUCCUAUAUUAUAAUAUUAUGCGUAAGGAAAUUUACGCACACUAUCAUUUUAUUAAAAUUUGGACUAGCUGAAGAAUAUUAUUCAUUCAGAUUUAUCAACCAUAAGUCACUUUGUUAAACCAUGAUUAUUGUAGAAUGAAAAAUCAUUCUUGUCAAGUAUAAAUGGACGAACUGUUUAUUGUCAACCUUUAUAUAGUUGUAUAAAUAAUUAAUCUUUGUAUAACUUAAAAUUAUUGUUUAUUCUAUCAGUCUUAAUGAAUUGGAAGUAGAUGAUUUUAAUUUGCAAAUGGUUUGGCUUCCAUCUUUGUAACUAUUUUACUAUUUAAAAAAAAAAAAGCUCACUAAACAAAUAAAGUUGACCAAAGUAUUCUCAAAAUGCCGACUGCUUUAGUUAACAAAGCUCAAAAACUUUUAAGAAGAAUUGGGCCUGAAGUAAAUCCUUGAUUAUAGGCAAACUGUUAACCUUCAAAAACCAUUUAAAUUGCCUUUCUUAACCCAAAAGUAUCCUAAUCCAAUGUUUGCCAAAUGAUCUCGAACCAAGUCAAAUUAUCCAACUCAUAACUAAAUAGAGGAGAGAAUAUUUUAACGAGGUCAAAUAGUUUCACUUUAUUAAUAAUUUAGUAGAAACCUAAUGAAAGUGAGGGUAUUGGAGUCUCUGGCUUUCUUUGCAUUUGAGAGUAUUUUUAUUUAUUUAUUUAUUGUUUUAGAUUUCUGUGCUGUAUUUAUCUUCUUUUUUUUCAAAAAAAAAAAUCCUCUAAAACAUUUUACAAAUUCCAUGCGAAUUAUGGAAGAACUUCGGCAUUCUUUAUUUUCUAUAUAUGCGGAUACAAGUAACAUGGAGAGAGGUUCACAAAAACCUCUUUGAUUAUUGUUAUUAUUAUUACAUAUAUAUAUAUAUAUAUUUAGCUCCGAACUUUGCAUGAAGAGCCUUCACUACAUAUGGAUAUGGAUCAAGUUGGAAUGCCCUGGCAAGAGAAAAAAGGAUCAGUUAGUGGAUCGGAUCUAAAGACUGCAUUGGAAUAAUUUUCAAAGUAAAUGAUGUAUUAUUAUAAAGACAUGUCUAAUUAAUUAUGCUUUAUAGAAGAGCUAGCUUUUCACCUAAGGACACAUCCAUUAAUGGUGGCACUUCAUUUGGAAUGGUGAUGGUUUAAUUUGAACUGUUGAUUAAGAUCAAAUCUUGAUCCAAUGGCCAUAAAUAAAAUGUUAUCAUGAAAGGUGACUACCUAAAUGGAAGGGCACAAGUACAUCUAUAAAUAUAGGCCAUGUUUAGGUCAUUUAAACAUGAAAUUAAUGAUCAUAUACCAAUCUGUUCUUAGCCCUCUUUCCUAAAACGAAUUUUAUCAUAUAACAUCUAUUUUUACGCAUCAAAUGUUUAAUAUAUUGUUUACUGCAGGAACAUUAUAUUGAUUCUUGAUAGUCUUGCAACAUUCAAAAGUUUUCAGAUUUGCUUUUGUCAAUGCACAAUGCAAACAAACAAAUAACGCUUCAUUAUAUCCUAGACGCGUGUUUGCUUAAUCCAUGUAUAUCACUCACUCAAUUGGUGGGGCAAAUAACAUCUUAAGAAAAACAACAUUUAUAAUGUGCAUUGAAGUACAAAUUUUUUUUUCUGCAAUUUUACAUGUUACUAUUAUUUUCUUUGCACCUAUAAAGUUGUACACACAUUACUUUAUUAUAAUAAAAUCUACCAUUAUUACUGCAAUUCUCUACAUUUGCCAUUUCACACAAAUAUAUACUGCAACAAUCUUAAGACGCCAUUUGUUCAGCAAUGGCACCAAGUUUAUCUCUUCGACAAUUUGCAAUUCAUUUUGUCAAAUAAGAGCGAUUCGACGGUGGCAACUUUGCACAUCAAUAGAAAAAUUUGCAUUUCUUGUUGACAAGCCUUAAUGUGGUUUAUGUUCUCACAAUACCAAAGCCUCAAGAAUGUGAGGAUGAGAUAUUAGCAGAAGCUAGAGCACGAUAGAAGUAGGAGCAAGAUGACUACAUAUGCAAGGGACAAAUUUGCAACGCCAUAUCUAAUAUUGUAUCACAACAAACCCACAAUAAAAGAAAUAUGCGACUUAUUGGAGAUUAAGUACAUGAUGGAAGAUGCCACAAGUAUGAAAUCCUUGGCUUCUAAAUUUUUUAAUUAUAAAAUGGUUGAUAAUGGACUUGUGGUUGAAUAAUAUAUUGAGAUUUUGCAUAUUCUUUAUCAAUUCAACCAAGACAACAUGAAGAUGGACGAGCCUUUUAUUGUUUCUUCAAUUAUUGAUAAACUCCCUCCCUAUUAGUAAGACAUUUAAAAGUCUUAAACAUAAUAAAGAGAAAAUUAGCCUGAAAGGUUUAAGCUAAAGUUUUUGUAUUGAAAAUGAACUCAAACUAUAUAAUCUUGAGGAAUAAGCUGCUACGUCCUCUAAAAUUAAUGUUGUGGAGGAGGGGAAGAAGCUUAAGCAUUCUAAUUACCCUAAGAAUAACCAAAAGAGAAAGUUUGAUUCUAAAGAGAAUCAAAAUAAUAAGAAGAAAAAAAAAGGUACAUGUCAUUACUGUAAAAAGCUUGGCCACUUCAAAAAAUAUUAUCAACUUCUUAAGAAACAAAAAGAAGUUUCGAACACAAUUUUGCGGCCAUGAUAUUGAGAUUCAUGUUCUUGAAGAUGAUAAUGCAUGGUGGAUAGAUUCUAAUGCAACCAAGCAUGUGUGCAAAGAUCAUAGCCUUUUCACAUCUUACAAAGUAAUGGAUGAUAGGAAUGUUCUUUACGUUCGGAAAUUCCUUCAUGCAGCAAUUAAAAAAAAAGGCAAUGUACAACUAGAGUAUAUUUAUGGAAAAAUCUUAACUCUUACUGAUGUUUAUCAUAUACCUAAAGUUAAGAAGAAUCUUGCAUUUGGUUGCCUCAAUAAAUUUGGCUUCAAACAUGUAUUUGAGUAAAAAAUAAUUUAUAUUGUCUAAGGAUUGUACCUUUGUUGGGAAAGGAUACAUGUAUGAGGGAAAGUUUAAACUCAUUAAUAAAAUGAAUGUUUCUUCUACUUACAUGAUUGACUCAUUAUUUUUGUGGCAUAAUUGUUUAGGACAUGUGAAUAUUAGAAGAUUGCAUGAUAUAGCUAAUUUAGAAUUAAUUCCUAAACAUGAAAAUGAUAUGCAUGAAAAAUGUAAAGUGCGUGCAUAGACUAAAAUCACAAGAACUCCUUUUCUAACAAUUGAAAAAACAUAUUCUUUGACGCAUUUAAUUCAUAGUGAUAUAUGUGACAUGCAUAGUAAUCCUACUAAAGGUGAUAAAAAAUAUUUUGUAAUGUUUAUUGAUGAUUUUUCAAAAAUAUUGCCUAUAUUUAUUACCUUCUAAAGAUCAAGUGUUAGCCAAAUCUAAAAUUUAUAAAAAUUAAGUUGAGAAUUUUUAUGACAUUAAAAUUAAAUGCAUCAGAAGUGAUAAAGGAGAUGAAUAUGCAUUUUCUGAAUUUUGUGAAUCUAUUGGCAUUGUGCAUGAAACUAGUAUUGGAUAUACACGACAACAAAAUGACAUAUCUAAAAGGAAGAAUAGGACGCUAAUAGAAAUGGUUAAUGUUAUGAUUUUUAAUGUUGGGCUUGGUAAAGAUUUUUGCAAUGAAGCUCUUUUAACUGAAUGUCAUAUCUUGAAUAGUGUGCCUAAUUAGAAAACAAAAGCGAUCCCUUAUGAAUUGUGGAAAAAUAGAAAGCCUAAUCUUUCACUACUACAAAAUUAGUCAAUAAUGACGGUUCUAAACGACAUAAAAUGACGGUUUUAAAACCGUCAUCUUAGGCAACGACAUUAAAAGGAGUAUACUUUUUAUGACAGUUCAAUAACCGUCAUUAAAUGUAUAUUUUUAAUGACGGUUAUUUUCUAAAACAGUCAUUAUUUAUAGUAACUAUGUAUGUUUUCAUGAUGGUUAUUUCGUAUAUCCGUCAUUAAAUAUAUACAUUUAAUGACGGUUAUAUGAAAUAAUCAUUAUUAAAUAUACUUUUUCAUUAAUUUUUUAUGACGGUUCUUUUAAAAAAAACCAUCAUUAAAUCCAUCAUUUUAAUGACAGUUUAUUGUAAAAACGUCAUUAAAUAUUAAAAUAACAUUUAAUGAUGGUUUAAAAAAAGAACUGUCAUCUUUGUUGUUGAAGACUACAUUUAACGACGGUUCUUUUCAAAUAACCGUUAUCAUUGUUGUUAAUUAUUAAAAAAAAAAAUGACAAUUUCAGAACCAUUUGAAGCCCCUAUUUUAAUUCUAAUUUCCUGUUAAAUUAUUUACAAUUUUUUUCCACAAAUGUUUCAUAUACAAAAAGAUAGCUCUACAAAAAUCUCUAAUAGUCAUUGAAUUUCAACAAAAUAUCAAUUAGCUUUAACAUCAAAAUUCUCACAACUCUUUAAUACCUACUAAUGAAUCUACUCACAACCAACAAAAUUGGCAUGUGUGAGUACAUCUAAUUUCUCAUCAAGUUUUCAAUUGCAAACGAAUCUCACCACCUUUAGCAAUCUACAUCAUUCUUACAAAGAAUAAAUCAAAAUUAAGAUAAAUUCAUAGAUUAUAAGUCAUAAUAAUUAAAUCAUUUUUAGUGACUUAAGUUGCAAACAAAACUUUAAAGUACCAAAUCAUUAUUAAUUAAUAGACUUACAUUAAAUUUAUCAACCAUGUGUUUAUGUAGUAACAAGUUGCUAUGUAUACAUGUAGGCCACUCGCAUUUAACUUUAUCAAUUUCUCCUUGAGUGUAAAUUUCAAUUCUGUAAAAAUAAAAAUUAAGAAGUAUAUUACUCUAGUUCCAAACUACAAAAAUAAGUAUUUGAUAAUAAACGACAUACAUUUUCCAAAAUAGAGAAAAUCACAAAGCUUUUAAGCUUCUAAAUCACAAAUUAUAGGUAAAGCAAUUUAGAAUUGAAAUAUACUAUAGCAAUGAUGACUUACAUCCGCUAUUUGCAUAGACUAUCACUCAAAUCUAGUGAUUCGAUAUUCUCAAUUGAUGAAAAUAUGCAACAUGUCUAAAAUAAAUCUUGCAUGCUAACACAAUAAUAAAUAUUGAAAAAAGAAUUUGUACCUUUGCCCCUGGUCAAUUUGAUAAUGAUCUCAAAAAUUUUGAUGGCCAUGAGAAAAUUAACUAACGACCAACGCUUUAUUAUUGAUGUUGUCGGAGGAUUACCAAAUUGAGAAGGAAAUGCUAAAUUCUUGAAUGGCGUUGAGAACUUAAAAAUCUGAAAUGGAACAUUUAAAAUAGAAAGUAAAUAUAAUUAUCAAUACUCAAAGAUAGUCCACGCUUUAUUGCUUAAAAACUUGAGUGGAAAACCCAGCAAAAAAGAAAAGCAAAAACAGUGCAAUUUCACUGGUAUUUUUGCUGCUGUCAUGCAGUAAAAACAUAGUAGUCUUACUGCAAAGUUUUUGCAGCUGUUUUGACUGUAUAACAGCGGGCAAAAACAGCAAAAGAAACUACAAUUUGGCUGCUGUUUUUACUGUUGUCAUGCAGUAAAAUAGAGCAGUCUUGCUGCAAAGAUUUUGCAGCUGUUUUGACUGUACAACAACAGCAAAAAGAACUAUAAUUUGGCUGCUGUUUUUACCGCUGUCAUGCGGUAAAGCAGAGCUGCUGUUUUGACUGUAUAACAGCAGGUAAAACAGAAAAAAAAACUGUAAUUUGGCUGCAGUAAAAACAACAGAAAAACUAUAAUUUGGCUGCUGUUUUUACUGUUAUCAUGCAGCGAAAAUACAGCAGUCUCACUGCAAAAAUUUUACUGCUGUUCUUACUGUAUAAAAAUAGCAAUACAUCACCUUAAAUAAGAGAAAAAAAUUCUUUCAGCUACUACACAUUUAAUUUAAUUUAACUUAAAUCCUUCAUAUUGUAGAGAGUGAGAGAUUGAUUCUAUAGAAUAAAGAGAAAUUAAGAUAAUUCAUAUAUUAUAAGCCAGUAUCUUCACCAUGACUGGCAACUUCCACAAGCAAUUCAUUUGCUCUUUUCCAUGAGGACUCAUCAGAACUGAAUAAGCAAACAACACCAUUAUAAAAGAAUGAAUAUAUGUCUGAUAUGAAAUGAGCAAAACCUAGGUUAUGAGCAGCACAUAAAUGCAAAAAGAAAAAGGGAAUGUCUUUCUCUGUAAAUACAUGUAGAUAGAUGUUUGCAGAUGCAUGCAAGGGAAAAAAGAAUGUCUUUCUACAUUCUCAAGGCUCCAAUUGAAGCACUAACAGGUACAUUUAUGCAAAAAUAUAAGAAGAAAAAUAAUGUAUGAUACCUGUAGUCCCUGAGGAGUAAGCAAAUGUAUUUCGAUACGUGUACAUUUCCUGAAAGAAGAUUGAACUAUAAAUAGACUGCCAAUGGAUCAAAAUGCACUUUCAACACAAAAUCCAAUUAAAUUUGAAGAUGGCGCAAAACAAUUAGUUGAAAAUUGUACUCGUGACACCGGAAUGAAUCGCAUAACAAUUCUUUCACAGAGCUUUCAGCAACCAUAUAGCUCAAAAAUCAGAUAGCAGCAUACACUAAAUGGGAACAAUUUUUUUUAUCAAUUACAUUAGUAUAAGUCCAAUGCAGGGAAAAAAAUGCACUUUCAAAAUGAAUUACAACUUAAUAACAACAACAAUCAACUAAAAAGUAAGCAAGAAUCAUAGACAAACAAUUUAUAAACCAAAUGAGAUGAAAAUUUCUUUAUUAAAUUAAUAGAAGGUCAGUUGACAGGAAAUAAAGAGAACAAACAAUAAUUAGAUGAAUCAAAACCCUAGAGCAAGAAAAUACAAUAAGAAGGAAGCAUCUGAAACAAGAAAAUGAAAUCAACAGCUCACUGUCUCCCGCGGCCGGCGCGAUGGCUACGGUUGAACGAGCUACAAUGACAACUGCUGUCGAUGAGGUAGCUGAAUCACGAUCAUUGCCGCGAACUAGCUAGGACUCUGAAUCACGACCACGAUCUGCCCUACGAGCUAAUAAAAAAAAUUGAAUCGAUUGGCAGCAGUGGAUGGUGCGUGACUGAUGGGCUGACGAUAGUGAAAUUGACAGAGUGAGACGAUGAGACUGGAGAGGGAGAUGGUGAGACCGUGAGAAAGAGAGAGGGAGACCAACGAUGCAGAGAGUGAAAGUGAGCAUGAAAGAGAGAGAGACCGGAGAUGGAGAGAAUGAGAGUGAGCGUAAGAGACAGACAGACCGAAGAUGGAGAGGAGAGUAAGCGGGUGAGAGAGGGGGGCGUGGCUGCUGCUGUGCUUGUAGAAUUAGAAAGGGGGAUUGCCACUUUCCCCCAACAUAAAUUAACAUAUAUCAUUUAUUCUUCUAUUAUUUUUAUAAUGGUUAAAAAUUAUUAUAAUAGAAUAAAUUUAUAAUAUUACUUUUAUUUUUAAUUACUCUUUUAUUUAUAUUUAUUAUAAAUUAAAUAGAUUACAUGAAUAGAAACUAAAUAAAAAAUUAAGAAUUAAAAACAAGAAAUAUAUGUUUUGAUAUGAGCAAAAAAAUUAAUAAUAACUUUUUUUUUAUAAUUAUUUAUUUUGUGAAUAUUUUCUUAUAAUAAAUAUUUUGUAAUAUUUUAAAAUUAAAUGUAAAAAGUAUAGGUAAAAUAUUUUAUUAUUUAUCUUAUAAUAAAUUUUUAUUUGUCAUUCAAAUUUUAUUAUAAUAAUUUUUUUAUCAUUUUAUAAUAACUUUCUUAUAUAUUUAUUAUAAAAAAAAUUUCACAAAAUAAAUAAGUACAAGAAAAAAAUUUUAUUAUUAAUUUUUUUCUUAUAUCAAAACAUAUAUUUCUUUUUUUUAAUGCUUAAUUUUUUAUUUAGUUUCUAUUAAUAUGAUUUAUUUAAUUUAUAAUAAAUAUAAAUAAAAGAGUGGUUGAAAAUAAGGGUAAUAUUAUAAACUUAUAUUGUCAUGGAGGUUUUUGGCUAUUAUAAAAACAACAUGGGUGAAAAUGGUAUAUGUUCAUUACUGUAGGGGAGAAAUUGGCAAUCUCCCAAUUAGAAAUUAGGUCAUGAUUUUUUUUUAGCCGAUUAAGAUUUUUUAUAUAAAUGUUUUACAUAUAAUGACGGUUACAUCCAAAACCGUCAUUGUUAUUUUUUACUUAAAUGGCGGUUCUUUACAACCGUCAUUAAUACUUUAAUAAGACAUAUAAUGUCAGAUUUUUAUAUAUAAUCGUAGUUAAAAAUCAGGUUAUAUUUUAUUUUGAUGUUUAAUGACAGUUAUAUAAUAGAACCGUUAUUAUAAAUAUUAUAUUUUUAAUGACAGUUUUUACACAAAAUCGUCAUUAAAAGUAACUAAAAGUAAAACUAUAUUUUAACUUGACACUUAAUGAUUGUUAUAUAAUUUAACCGUCGUUGUAAAUAUUACACAUUAAUGACUAUUUUUAUACAGAAUUGUCAUUAAAAGUAAUUUUACCUAGACAUUUAAUAAUUGUUAUAUAAUAAAAUGGUCAUUGUAAAUAUUAGAUAUUAUGACGGUUCAUAUAAUAACGGUUAUCAAAUACUUUUAAUGACGGUUGUAAAGAAAAACCGUCAUAAUAUAUGGGCAUUGUUUUGCAUUUUUGUAUUCGUGUUUUUACCCAAGGGUUUGGGGUUAAUUCACUAUAAGAAAACAAGUAAUAGAUGACAGACAUUUUGUGACAGAUUCGUAAAAAAUUUAUUUAUAUUAUAAAAAUAUGAUAGACUCGUGAUAUAAUUUCAGUUCUGGAUUAAUGAUGAUUUUAUGAUAAAAUUAUUGUCUAUCAAGAAUUCAUUUAUACAAAUUUAUUCCAUCAAGAAAUUAUGGUAAUUUCAAUAUAAUUUGUGCUGCUACUUAAUUAUUCAUUUUUUUUCCCACUUUGUGUCUGUAUGUGUGUGUGUUCUUGUAGUGUUUGUGAACGGGAAGUUCUGCAAGGACCCCAAGCUUGCGAGAGCUGAAGAUUUCUUCUUCUCAGGGCUAGACAAGCCUGGCAACACAGCAAAUCGACUUGGUGUUGAUGAAACAGAUGCAAAUGUUGAGCAGAUUCCAGGACUCAACACCCUUGGCAUAUCAGCAUUCCGCGUUGACUAUGCGCCAUACGGCCAAAGGCCACCUCACAUUCACCCCCGGGCCAGUGAAAUCCUGCUGGUCCUGGAAGGAACUCUUCAUGUCGGUUUUGUGACAUCAGACCAGCUAAAUAACAAACUCAUCGCAAAAGUUCUGAAUAAGGGAGAUGUUUUUGUGUUUCCAAAAGGUUUGAUUUACUUCCAAUUUAACAUUGGAAAAACAAAAGCAGUUGCCUAUUCUGCUCUAAACAGCCAGUUCCCCGGUGAAAUUACCAUAGCCGACACGGUCUUUGGAACUUUUGCGAUGAGUUUGUUAUUUAGCUGGUCUGAUGUCACAAAACCGACAUGAAGAGUUCCUUCCAGGACCAGCAGGAUUUCACUGGCAUGGGGGUGAAUGUGAGGUGGCCUUUGGCCGUAUGGCGCAUAGUCAAUGCGGAAUGCUGAUAUGCCAAGGGUGUUGAGUCCUGGAAUCUGCUCAACAUUUGCAUCUGUUUCAUCAACACCAAGUCGAUUUGCUGUGUUGCCAGGCUUGUCUAGCCCUGAGAAGAAGAAAUCUUCAGCUCUCGCAAGCUUGGGGUCCUUGCAGAACUUCCCGUUCACAAACACUACAAGAACACACACACAUACAGACACAAAGUGGGAAAAAAAUGAAUAAUUAAGUAGCAGCACAAAUUAUAUUGAAAAUUAUAUGUUUCAUCAGUUCAGCUUACGUACCACCAUCCUUGGGGUCAUUGAUGGCUACAAAGAUAUCUUGAAGCGGGCUGGGGUCAGAGGCUGAGGCCAAAGAAGAAGCCAAAGCUAAGAGAGCAAAACCUAUAAGAAAUUGAAUUGCCUUCAUGGUGAUUAAUUAACAGGAUGUACCUAUCUCAAAACUUUAAUCAAGUGUUGUGAUUUGAGAAUCUUGCGAGGGAAACUAGACUAUUUAUAGAACGGAGUCCAUGAACGAGUUUGUGUGUUCAAUUAAUAGUCCUCGAAGCAGGUCAAGACUUGCUGAGUCCUCAGUGCUUAUCUUUGUAAUGUUUUGCGGUCCUCAUUUUCGUUUUUGUUUUUAAAAUUUACGUGUAGAACUUGUUCGGUGGUACACAUCUUAAAUAUAAAUUGCAAACAUACGAAACAAAGUCUGGCUGAUAGUGAUAAAAUCCAAAACAGGUUAGACACGUUUGGGCCAAUCUUCAAAACGAACCGUAAAAUAUAAUAAGAAACAAUAUUUUAACGCAUUUUCCAAAGCAUAAUUAAAAUAUAAUUUUUUUCAUUGGAAAGAAACGAGUUGAAGAAUUUAUGAAAAUGGGUGAGAAAGAAAUUCAUGUCUCUGGCAAGCAGACUAGCAGUUGGACGUCGUGUUCUGUAGAUAUCGAUGUUACCGGACUUGAUUGGUUUGUUGUUGGGCUUAAUGAAGAAGCAUUAUUAGCCUUUUUUCCUUUUUCAUAGCAAUUUUCGUAGCUGCUUUAACCAUUUUUAGUUCUAUAAAUGCUUUACGAAGUCAACGAUGCACAUGUUUUUUUCAUUACGUGUUAAAGACACAGAUCAUCUGCUUCAAAACGUUAAGACUAGGAUCAGGAGGAACCAAAUUCUUCCAUCUUAUUUUCAGCGGUCACGUUAAUUAGAGCCUGGAGUCGGCACGUUUCGUUAGUGAUAUCCUUUUACAAUGUCAAUUGAUAUAUAUCAUUUCAACUUUAAAAGCUAAUUUUAAUAUUGAAUAAUUUUUUUUAAAAAUCCCUUUUAGUAAAAUCAUGUAGAUUUUGAAAAGUAAAAAAAGAGUAGUUUUUUAAAAUUUUAUUUUGAUAAACACUUUUAUACUUAAUACAAUUUCAUAUAUAUCCUUAUAUAUAAGAGAAAAAUCCAAAAUCAUCCUUAUUAAUUAAAAAUAAAAUUAUUAAUUUGAAAGAGAUUAUUAUUAUUAUUACCAAUUAUAUUGAGAUAAUAAAAUAAAAAUAAAAUUAAUAAUAUAAAACAUUUAUUUUAGUUAUCAAUUAUUAUAUAGACACAACUAAAAAUAUUUUAUUUACAUGUUUAUAAAUGUGUAAAUAAAUUUUAUUCAACAAAUUUUCUCUUCAAUCAUUUACAUUCUUACAUCAUUUUAAUAGUAAGAUUUACCAAAUAAAUACGACUACUUUUAGAACUCACAACAUUGUAGCAAAUGGCUAACCGAUUGUUGAAAACGACAAACUAAUAAUUUCCAGAAAGCAUGUUCUACAAAGGGUUGUUAAAAUGAUGAUUCUGGAAAAUAACGAUGAAUCGUUUACUGAAAACGGUGAUUCGAUAAUUUUUAGAUUGUAACUGUGAGCCAUUUAGCAAGAACGGAUAGCCAAAAUUUAUUUUGCAAGUCUCUGGAAAUAAACAGCUAACCGAUAACUUCAAACGGUGAACCGAUUAUUUAAAAUCUUAGCUUAACGGUCAUUUGGACUAGUCAAAAUGGUUAGCCGAUAGCAGUUAAUGACGAUCCGAUUUCUCCCAGAAAGUCAACAACGGCUUGUUUUCAGCUUCAACUAUAAAAUGACUCAAUCAAAUUCAAAUGAGAGGUGAUCCAAGAGUUAUCAUUGAGCUUACUGUUGAGUAUUAGAAAAUGUAUAUUUAUAAAGGAGAAAACCAUCAUUUUACAUUUCAAGUCUUACUAACAACUCUUACUUUUAUGUAUUUAACCUUCUUGUGAUGUAAUUACGUGUGUGUUAUUUUAAUUAAGUAUUUUAUGUAUUUUAGGGGCAUUAUAGUCAUUUCACAAUAAAGAAGAGAUCAGACGGCAAAACGGACAUCACUUUUGAACUCAGGACGGUCGAAAACCUUAGGAGGAGCAUAAAAGGAAAAAUGGCACUAUUCACAUGUACGGUACUAUUCACGUAUACGGUACUGUAUAUGUUACUGUUCAUGACACUGUUCACAUAGACGGAUCGAUGACGUGGCAUUGACCGAUGAUGUGGCAUUGACUGAUGAGGUGUCACGAUCCUGUUGGACUAAAAUUCUUAUGUACUGUUGAUGGUGACGUGGCAGCAUAUCAGUGGACGAAAAAUCUCGCGUACGGUGCAUGCAUCACACAGGAUUAUUUUCAACCAAACCAUGUUACUGUUCAUCCGGGUCAACCCGUGUUACUGUUCAUCCGUGUGGUCAAACCGUGGACUGUUGACUGAUGACGUGGCGCAAUCCUGAGCGUCCAAACUGUUUUUAAUCCGAUGGCCAUGAUUUACUCCAUGUAUCUAUAAAAAAGGGGCCUUCCCCCCCUAAUUUGAUAGCUCUGAAUCCAUUUUUGGGAUCCAUUUUCUAUAAUUCCUUCUCCAUCUUGUAUUUUCUUCGUAUUUUAAUAAAUUCCCAUUUUGCCCCUAGUUCAGUUAUGUGUGGCUAAUUUUCUUUCAAGCUUGGGUUGAAGGUGAAGUCUCAACAUGUGUCAUGGGCUUUAUUUGGUAAAUUUAUUUUCUCUUCCCCUCUAGUUUUUGUGGAUGUUUUGACUUCUCGUCGACAAAUAAUACUAAUCUUGUCUAAUACCGCCUUGGUUUCACCGGCCCUCUAGUACAAGGUUAUUAUUAUUUGGCACGAUAAGCCCUUAGCACCAUAUUGAUUAGAGCGUGGUUCAUGAGGUGUGGAUUCCCCCUCAUGAUUUAAUUGGCAUUAAUACGGAUUAUUUAGCCCAUGAUGCAUGUUGAUACUGAUCCAGAUAUCCAAGUACGUCAUUUCAAUAGAUUUCGCUUCAAUUUAUUCUCGCCAUUGCAAUUCCAAUUUUAGAAUUUAUUAUCGCCAUCUCAAUUCCAAUUUUAGGAUAAUUUAAAUCACUUCCACCACAAUUUCAACCACCCAUUUACAAAAUUAAUUCUACAUAUAAUUAAAAUCCACCUCCUCGUGGGAUCGACACUCAUCACCAUUGAUCCAUACUACAAUAGAUUCGUGCGCUUGCGAGUACAUUAAAAUUUGCACAACAAGUUUUUGGCGCCGUUGCCGGGGAGGUAAGUAAUUUUAAUUCAUAGAAUUAAUUUUUGUGAAUAAUUUUUUUUAAUUGUUUUCUUGUAUUUUUUUAAUUAAAAAAAAGAAGAAAAAAAAAGUGAAUCUACAUUUAAAGGUUAGUAUUUCUUUUCUUUUUCUCUUCUUUAAAAUUCUGUAAUUUAAUUUUUAAUUUAUUUUUCUUUGUAAUUUUUGUUUAUCUUAUUAAUUUAAUUUUUAGUUAAUUUAUUUCACGUAUUUAUUUUUGUAUAUUUUUAUAGUAAGGUUGUAAUAGUGCAAUAAGGUUAGUAUCGUAAUUUCUCCCUCUUCUUUAUUUUUAUUUGUUUUGUUCCCAUCUUAAUUUUUUAUUUUAUUUGUUUUGCAUGCAUGGUCGAAGGUCAUUAUUACCUAAUCUUGAACUUAUAGACCUUGAACUUGAGAAAACACUUCGCACAUACAAGAACGUUAAAAAUAAAUUUGAAAUGGAUUUACAAGCACCACAGGAGAGGCCAUUUAAGGAUUAUUUUAGUCCUUUAGCUAAUUUGAGCACAUCAUGCAUAAAAUACCCAAAUGUAGCUGCUAGGAGUUUUGAACUAAAACCUAGUGUGCUAAAUUGUCUCCCCACAUUUUAUGGCCUAGAAAAUGAGGAUCCAUAUAAUCAUCUAAAUGAUUUUCAUGCCAUAUGUCAAACUUUUAAAUACGAGAAUUUUUCAGACGAUGAUGUAAAACUUAGACUAUUCCCAUUUUCUUUAAAGGAUAGAGCUCGUUCAUGGUUAAAUACUUUACCUGCUAAUAGCAUUUCAUCAUGGGAACAAAUGGUAACGAAAUUUUUGAAUAAAUAUUUCCCAGUGCAUAAAACCAAUGCUAUUCGCAGGGAAAUUUCAGAGUUUACCCAAAGAGAUGACGAGCAAUUUUUCGAAACGUGGGAGCGAUUCAAUGGGCUACUCUUGAAGUGUCCACAUCAUGGGUACGAAAAAUGGCACCAAUGCCAAUAAUUUUUGGAGGGAUUAUUGCCGAAUGUGCAAGAAUGACUAAUGGCAACAAGUGGAGGAGAGCUAAUGUCAAAAAGUGCAUCAGAGAUUUGGGAAUUUUUCCAGCGACAAGCAGAUAAUUCCCAACAACGGAGUUGAUCACUCAGGAAUACUAGAAGAAUUAAGGGAGUAAAUGAGGUUCAAAUUGGCGAGUCAACUUCGGGAAUCAAAGAAGUCAAGGAGAUGGUUGAAGAUCUUGCUCGACAAAUAGCAUCGUUAUCGACUGCUAAAUCAACAGAACCACAUGACCAUGACUCAUACCCAGAUCAAGCCAAUGUCAUAGGUGUAAUGAGAAAGCCAUCAAAUUACAACCCAUACUCCAACACAUAUAAUCCUGGAUGGAGAGACCACCCCAAUUUUUCAUGGUCUCAAGAAUUCCAACAGAAUGGACCAGCAGCUCCAACUCCACCAAUGCAACAAAUUUCUCAAAAUCCUCAAGCCUCUCAGCCCCCAUUUAGACCAUACAAUCAGAACCAGAACUACUCUCAACCCAGACCAUGGGAGGAUUCAUUCCAGAAUCUCAAGAAUGUUACUUACUCCACGAUUGAGCAACAGAACCGCACCAUUGAUGGACUACGAAAUGAGUUGAGAGUAGGCUUCAACUCACAAGCUCAAUUAGUUUCAAGCCUCGAGAAGAUGAUGGGACAACUUGCUUCUUCAGUUCAGACCUUGGCAAUGACUGUUGAGAAAAGAAAAUUUCCAAGUUAACCAGUGCCUAAUCCUAAAGGGGUACAUGAAGCAAGUACCAGUUCACCACAGCAGCAUGGAGAGGUCAAAGCAGUCAUGACCUUGCGAAAAGGAAAAGAAGUCGACAACAAAGUAGAGAUACCGGUGACAAAAGAAAAUCAAAUUGUACCUAUGAAUGUUGAGGAAUCAUCACCGGAGGAGAAAGAAGAAACCAACCCGCGAGAAUACGUUCCCAAAGCUCCAUUCCCCCAGAGGUUAGCUAAAGGAAAGAAGGGAAAAUCCACAGGUGAGAUUCUCGAAAUCUUCAAACAGGUAAGUGUUAAUAUCCCUUUAAUUGAUGCUAUUAAGCAAGUUCCAUCUUAUGCCAAGUUUCUUAAAGACCUUUGUACUAAAAAGAGAAAUAUGCAUGUUCAAAAGAAGACAUUUUUAACAGAAAACGUUAGUUCUAUACUCCAACAUAAAAUUCCUUUAAAAUGCAAAGACCCAGACUCCCCCACUAUCUCAUGUAGUAUAGGGAACCACACAAUUGAGAAUGUUUUGUUGGAUUUAGGAGCUAGUGUAAAUCUUUUGCCUUACUCUGUAUUCGUGAAACUUAGACUGGGAGAAUUACACCCAACUCCAGUGGUGUUACAGCUUGCAGAUCGGUCCACGAAAAUACCUCGUGGUAUUGUGGAGGACGUGCUUAUCCAGGUAGACAAGUUUUAUUUUCCUGUUGAUUUCAUUAUAAUUGACACUAAACCAAUAUAGGAUUCAAGAAAGCACAUCCCUAUUAUUCUAGGCCGACCUUUCUUGGCGACUGCGGAUGCUCACAUUCAAUGCAGGACUGGAAAUAUGCAGUUGUCCUUCGGCAACAUGACUAUGGAGCUAAAUAUUUUCAACAUUGCCAAACAACCUCACAGUGUAGAUGAUGGAAUUGUUGAUGUGGAUUUAAUAGAAACAAUAGUUGAUAAUACUUUUCUUUCAAACCUUAGUGAUGAUCCUUUACAAACAUGUUUAACUCACUUUGGUUUGAAUUUUGAUAUUGACAGAUCGGUCGAUAAGGUCAACGCCCUACUUGACUCAGCACCAUCUAUGGACACUAAUAAAUGGAAGUCAAGAGUAGAACAACUAGCACCAUCAGAAAAGAAACUCAUCCCAUCAUCAGAAUCACCACCGAAACUCGAGCUCAAACCAUUGCCCAACACAUUGGAACAUGCAUUUUUGGGAGAAGAAAGUACUUUGCCGGUAAUCAUCUCAUCAUCCCUAAAUGACGAACAAAAAGGUAAGUUGUUGGAUGUUUUAAAAGAGCACAAAGGAGCAUUAGGAUGGACCAUAGCAGACAUAAAAUGUAUAAACCCAGUAGACUGCAUGCAUUACAUUCAUCUUGAUGAAAAUGCUAAAUCUACUAGGGAAAUGCAACGUCGGUUAAAUCCUAAUAUGAAAGAAGUUGUUAGAACAGAAGUCCUUAAGCUAUUAGACGCAGGUAUCAUUUACCCAAUUUCUGAUAGUUCAUGAGUCAGUUCUGUACAAGUUGUCUCCAAAAAGUCAGGAGUCACAGUAGUUACCAAUGCUGAUAAGGAAUUGAUACCAACUAGAGUAACUACAGGAUGGCGUGUAUGCAUUGAUUAUAGAAAGUUGAAUUCUGUCACACGUAAAGACCAUUUUCCUUUACCAUUUAUUGAUCAAAUGCUUGAUAGAUUAGCAGGCCAUGAAUUUUAUUGUUUUCUAGAUGGCUACUCAGGAUAUAAUCAGAUUCUCAUAGCACCAAAAGAUCAUGAGAAAACUACUUUCACUUGCCCUUUUGGCACUUUUGCAUAUAGGAAAAUGCCAUUUGGAUUAUGUAAUGCACCUGCUACAUUCCAACGAUGCAUGUUGAGCAUUUUUUCUGAUAUGGUUGAACGAUUCCUUGAAGUCUUUAUGGAUGAUUUUUCUGUCUUUGGUGAUUCGUUUGAUCAAUGUUUACAUCAUCUAACGCUAGUUCUGCAGAGAUGUACCGAGAAGAACUUAGUCUUGAAUUGGGAGAAGUGUCAUUUUAUGGUAAAACAAGGUAUUGUUCUCGGUCACAUCAUUUCAAGCAAAGGUAUUGAGGUUGACAAAGCCAAGGUGGAUCUCAUUUCUAAUCUUCCUCCACCCAAAACAGUCAGAGAAGUAAGAUCUUUCCUUGGGCAUGCUGGUUUCUAUAGACGUUUCAUUAAAGAUUUUAGCAAAGUUUCUAGACCCUUAUGCAAUCUACUUGCUAAGGAUGUACCUUUUAUCUUUAAUGAUUCAUGUCUUGUGGCAUUUGAAAAAUUAAAGCAGUUGUUGACAUCAUCACCCAUCAUUCAGACCCCAAACUGGAGCUUACCAUUUGAGCUCAUGUGUGAUGCAUCUGAUUAUGCAGUAGGAGCAGUAUUAGGACAAAGAGUUGAUCGAAUUCCCCACGUUAUUUACUAUGCUAGUAUGACAUUGAAUGAUGCACAGUUGAAUUAUUCAACUACUGAAAGAGAAAUGCUAGCAGUAGUGUUUGCAUUAGAGAAAUUUCGAUCUUAUCUCAUUGGUUGUAAAAUAAUUAUAUUCACAGAUCAUGCUGCUCUUAAAUAUCUUCUCACAAAGAAAGAUGCAAAAGCUAGACUAAUUCGUUGGGUGUUACUUUUGCAAGAAUUUGACUUGGAAUUUAAAGAUAAGAAAGGCACAGAAAAUGUUGUGGCGGACCAUCUCUCUCGUCUCCAUUUUGACACAAUUACAGAGCCAUUACCAUUAAAUGAGUCAUUCCUAGAUGAACAAUUGAUGAAUGUGGAAGUAUUACCUUGGUAUGCUAAUAUAGUUAAUUAUCUUGUUACAGGUAAACUUCCAGAGCAUUGGACCAAGCAAGACAAGGCUAAAUUCUUUGCAGAAAUAAAGAAUUUCUUUUGGGAUGACCCAUAUUUGUUCAAGUAUUGUGCAGACCAAAUUGUUAGACGAUGUAUCCCAGAAAGUGAAAUUCAGAAUAUCCUUUCAUUCUGCCAUGAACAAGCUUGUGGAGGCCAUUUAAGUGCUAAGAAAACGACGACUAAAGUUUUACAAUGUGGUUUUUUAUUGGCCAACUAUAUUUCGAGAUGCUUACACUUUCUGUUCUUCAUGUGAUAGGUGUCAACGAAUGGGGAGCAUUACAUGAAGGAACAUGAUGCCACUAAAUCCAAUUUUAGUGGUUGAGAUUUUUGAUGUAUGGGGUAUCGACUUCAUGGGACCCUUUCCCCCCUUCUUUUGGCCAUCAAUACAUAUUGGUUGGUGUUGACUACGUAUCGAAAUGGGUGGAAGCAAUUCCAUGCGGAACCAAUGAUCACAAAGUGGUGAUAGGAUUUUUGAAAAGCAACAUUGUUUCACGCUUUGGAUUCCCUCGAGCGAUAAUCAGUGAUGGUGGUGCCCACUUUUGUAACAAAGCAUUCAAAGCUCUUUUGACAAAGUAUUCAAUCACACACAAAGUGGCAACCCCGUAUCAUCUGCAAACCAGUGGCCAAGUUGAGAUCUCCAAUCGAGAAAUAAUGCACAUAUUAUAAAAGACGGUGAGGCCAGACAGAAAAGAUUGGUCAUUAAGACUUGAUGAUGCAUUAUGGGCAUAUAGAACGGCUUUCAAGACCCUGAUUGGGAUGUCACCCUACAGGCUAGUGUAUGGAAAAGCUUGUCACCUACCUGUGGAACUCGAGCAUCGUGCAUAUUGGGCCAUCAAGAAAUUCAACUUUGACAUGCAACAAGCCAGCUCAGAAAGAAGAUUACAACUGGCAGAACUUGAAGAAAUUCGCAAUGACGCAUACGAAAAUGCCAAGAUUUACAAGCAACGAAUGAAAGUCUUUCGUGACAAGCACAUUAUGAGAAAAUCGUUCACUCCAGGUCAGAAAGUGCUUUUAUUCAAUUCUCGCUUGUAACUAUUUCCAGGUAAGUUACGCUCUCGAUGGUCUGGUCCCUUUAUUGUUCAUACUGUUUUUCCACAUGGGGCAAUUGAAAUUAAGGACCCAAAAAACGGUGUCACGAUUAAAGUUAAUGGUCAAAGAUUAAAGCCAUAUCUAGAAUACCAACCACAUGGAGAAGACACCGAAAUAAAUUUGAGUGACCUACCAGAUUUGAAUUGAUUUUUAUUCUUCUUUUCGUUGAUUUGAUUUUUCUUUCUUUCUUUUUAUUAUGCUUUUGCUAAUUGAAAUUAUUUUUGCAUAAGUGUGUUUGUUUAACUAUUAAGUUUUCUCUUAUCAUUUUUCAUCAUGAGUACCAUACUUAGACCGUUCCUCCUGAACAUUCUUAAACCACUUCAACGUGUCAAAACUCAUCUCAAAAGGCAGAUUCAAUUUUGUAAAACACAAUGCAUUUGGGCUCUACAACUACCAGAGUUAGUAGCCUAUGUUGAGAAUCUAGAAAGCCAACUCCGAGAUAUUGAGAGAAGUGUUUACGACAUCCAGUUGGAGCUUGAGGUAAAUUCAAUAAGAGGACGAUUUUAAUUUUCUUUGUGUGUUUUAAUUUGUUUUUCUGUUUGUGUGCUUUAGUUUGUUACCCCGGUGAAGUGGCGGAUAACGGUACUCCGUGACAAUCAAGUCGGUUACUUCAGUUUCCCAUAAUAACUGACAUUCUGAGGCGAAAGUAUGGACAGAAACGAGAUUCUAGCGAAGCUUCACAAGCGAUUCCCUUCACUUCCUCAUAAUGCCCUCCUUACGAUCUAUAAAGCUCGGUCCGAACGCAUGCGAUUACUCAUGAGGAAUAACAUACCUGCUGAUAUCCGUUGGUUAAUCGAGGCAAAAGUACGAUUGGCAGGUGAGUUACCUCCUAAAUUUAUUGUAUACAUGCCUGGUUGUGGUAAAGGAAAUUAUGCAAGAAAACGACGAGCUCGAAGAAUUUUUGUUGCUUGUCAUAAGUGUGCCAGAAUGAGUUGCGAUAGAAACCCAUGUUCUUUAGGAAUGGUGUCUGAUAACAGGGAAGAUAAGAUUCAAUUCAUUAGGGAUAGCUUGAAUAAGGAGUCAUUGGAUGAUAUCCUUUUGUCUCUUGAAACGCAUCCCAGUGGAUAUGUGCAAGGAGCGAUUCUUCAGUUAUGGUCAUUAUUCCAGAAAGAGCAUGCACGAUAUAGUCUCGGGAAUCUGACUAUAAACGACCCAGUUUGCCAGUUUAUAAGAAAACUGGAUGGGAAGCCUAUCCUCGACCCAUAGAGGGCGUUCAAGCCGUUUCUGGACGUAAAACCAGAGGAAGAUGUGAGCCACAGUCGCAACUACGUGUAAAUAUCAUUUUACUUUACUGUUGUUUUAUUUCACUGUUGUUUUAUCGUUUGCAUUAUUGUCUUUAAUAAUUUUAUUACUGUUUGCUUUGUCCUUUUUACUGUUUCCUUUUUGACUCGCGAGCCACGUGCUUUACGCGUUAUUUGACACUGACAUGUUACCUCAUUCACAGCUGUGAUCUACUGUCACCAAGAUUCUUAAAUGUGAUUUAUCUUUUGUCAAGCACUCACAAAUUAUUUUUGAGAAGUAUCACAAUGGCAGCUACUCCCAAUAGACAAUUCAAGAACAUUUGUGUGCUUUCUAGAUUUACCUAUGGCAAACAUAAAGAGUUCGUGGAGGCAGCCAUAGAUCUUGGUCGAAGCAUAGCAGCGAGAAAAUUACACUUGGUGUAUGGAGGAGGUAACCGAGGGUUAUCAAAAAUGGUCUCAGAAACAGCUUUUAUUAGAGGCAGCCAAGUGUUAGGCAUCAUCCUAAGAGUCCUAAAACCAUUGGGCAGUUCGUCUGACUCAUCAACUGGAGAAGAGUUAGUCGUCUCAGGUAUGCAAGAAAGAAUAAUUGAAAUGCUUAAUCAUGCUGAUGCUUUUAUUUUCCUUCCAGGAGAUCUUGCAACACUAGAGGCACUUAUUACACUAGCAUCUUGGGCCCAUCUGCACAUCCACCAGAAACCCAUUGGUUUGUUAAAUGUCAAUAACUUUUAUGAUGGCUUUAUCGCAUUUCUUAACCAUGCAAUAAAAAACUAUUUCAUUCCUUCUAAUGUGAAAAAACUCUUUAUUUGUGCUCACACUGCUAAUGAGCUACUUGAUAUGUUACAAGCUUAUAAACCGGAGCCAGACCCCUGGACCUUUGUGUUGGAGCGACCAAAUAGUAACAGUAGCCGCAGUAAGAAGUAAAAAUUAGAUUUAACUCUCCGCCUGUAAAUAUUUUCUUCUGUGUUGCACCACCUAGGUGAUGUCUUCUAAACUCUACUUCUUUCCUUUAAAACAUUGAGGACAAUGUUUCGUUCUGGUUGGGGGGAGGGAAUAGUCGACAAUUGUGGAAUCUUGGUUAAGUUUUUACUGAUUUUUUGUUGUAGAAACUAACUGUUGCUAACGUUUUGUGUUGAAGAUGACUGAAUAUGGAGUGUAGUGCCUCUAGAAACGCAUCUUCUUAGUUUAAAAAAAAAAUUCUUUUUCUAAUUAAUUUUUCUACAUAAUUUUCACAUUUCUGCAUGCAUAUUUUCCUUUCAUGUUUAGAAUAGGUUGGGGGGUAGAAUGUUGUUUAAAAAAAAAAUUGUGUUAUUUGUUUUAACAUUGGAUGACAUGAUUAAUUUCAAAUUUUAGUAUUUGUAUUAUCUUUGGUCUUAAGUGAUGUUACGCUAUGUUUGCUACUUUACAUGUUGAUGUCGGAGACAAAUAUGAGUUGCUUGAAGAAAUGAACAUGUCAUAAUAAGUACCAAGUGAGUUUUUGAGCCUAUUAUUUUUCUUGGAGAGUAACCCUUUUGCCCAUUCUUUAUACAACUUAGCAGUUUAUUAUUGUAUACACGAUCUCUAGAUUUCUUUUGAGUUAAUCCUUAAAAAAAAAAUUGUAAAAAAAAAAUAGUAAUAAUAAAAAUUUGUUAAAAAAAAAGAAAAAGAAAAAGAAGAAAAAGAAAAAGAAGAAAAAGAAAAAAAAAGUGUGUUGCUACAUUGGGAGGCCCAUCUAACUAGUAGAUAUGGAUAAUUGUUUAGAGCCCUAAAAGACGAUGGAAAUGCCAUCUUUGAUCCGUUUGAGCCUUUCUAGUCAUCCUUUUUAUUAAAUAUCCAUAGUUACCCCUUUUGAGCCUUUAAAAAAAAAAAACAUUUUCUUUGUCAACUUAUCAUCUUGACCCACUCCGAUUUGGAGUAUUACCCGAUGUCUUAUAAAUUCCAUCACCUAUUUAUGUUUGAGAAAAUGUAAAUAAUUAUGUUGUUCAGUGAAGUUAUGCCAAAUAAAAGCCAAAAACAAAAAAAAAACAAAAGUUGUUGUUUCAAAAGAGUAAAAAUAACAACAAUAGGUGAAAUACACCUUGCAACUUCAAAAAAAAAAAAAAAUUUCUCUACAUUUUUCUCAAACAUACACUUUGUUUCCUUAUUUCCUUUCUUUGUUAGCCAUAUCCCUAGCCUACGUUACGUCCUAAUAAAAGUCCUUCUUGAUUUUAGGGAACUAUAGUUUGAAGUAGAAGCUAGUUAUGUGGGCUAAAAAGAUGUAGUGAUGCAUAAUAAUAAUAAAAAUAAAAAAGAUAAAUAAAGUGGGUUGACUAGCAUUUUUGUUUGACUUGAGAUCGUAUUAUUUCUAAGCUGAGGGCAUAUUUAUUUCAUCUUGGGGAGAGCAUGUGAUAUCACUUCUUUAUUAUUUUCUCUCUCAAUUACCAUUCAUUGGAGUGACUAUUUUUAUUGGGUUUAAUUUAUUUGUGAGAGUGUUAUUACUUCCAGUGAGAUUUUGGGGUUUGACAUGUCAUUCUUGAAAGUAGCUAUAACAAAGUCUACUGGGCUAAUUCAUGUGGAUGGUUGAUGUGGGUGUGAUGUUGCUUUAGACUGGAGAUAAUGCUUAUACUUUUAUUUGAUUGCUAUCAUUAAUCUGAUUAAAUAAACACGAGUGUUUCAACAAAAAAAAAAUCAUUUUGAAUUUGAAUUUUGUUUUCGCUUUAUUUGCUAGGGACUAGCAAUAAGCUGGUUAGGGGGUGUGUUGAGUAUUAGAAAAUGCAUAUUUAUAAAGGAGAAAACCAUCAUUUUACAUUUCAAGUCUUACUAACAACUCUUACUUUUAUGUAUUUAACCUUCUUGUGAUGUAAUUACGUGUGUGUUAUUUUAAUUAAGUAUUUUAUGUAUUUUAGGGGCAUUAUAAUCAUUUCACAAUAAAGGAGAGAUCAGCCGGCAAAACGGACAUCACUUUUGAACUCAGGACGGUCGAAAACCUUAGGAGGAGCAUAAAAGGAAAAAUGGCACUAUUCACAUGUACGGUACUAUUCACGUAUACGGUACUGUAUAUGUUACUGUUCAUGACACUGUUCACAUAGACGGAUCGAUGACAUGGCAUUGACCGAUGAUGUGGCAUUGACUGAUGAGGUGUCACGAUCCUGUUGGACUAAAAUUCUUAUGUACUGUUGAUGGUGACGUGGCAGCAUAUCAGUGGACGAAAAAUCUCGCGUACGGUGCAUGCAUCACACAGGAUUAUUUUCAACCAAACUAUGUUACUGUUCAUCCAGGUCAAACCGUGUGUACUGUUCAUCCGUGUGGUCAAACCGUGGACUGUUGACUGAUGACGUGGCGCAAUCCUGAGCGUCCAAACUAUUUUUAAUCCGAUGGCCAUGAUUUACUCCAUGUAUCUAUAAAAGGGGGCCUCCCCCCUAAUUUGAUAGCUCUGAAUCCAUUUUUGGGAUCCAUUUUCUAUAAUUCCUUCUCCAUCUUGUAUUUUCGUCGUAUUUUAAUAAAUUCCCAUUUUGCCCCUAGUUCAAUUAUGUGUGGCUAAUUUUCUUUCAAGCUUGGGUUGAAGGUGAAGUCUCAACAUGUGUCAUGGGCUUUAUUUGGUAAAUUUAUUUUCUCUUCCCCUCUAGUUUUUGUGGAUGUUUUGACUUCUCGUCGACAAAUAAUACUAAUCUUGUCUAAUACCGCCUUGGUUUCACCGGCCCUCUAGUACAAGGUUAUUAUUAUUUGGCACGAUAAGCCCUUAGCACCAUAUUGAUUAGAGCGUGGUUCAUGAGGUGUGGAUUCCCCCCUCAUGAUUUAAUUGGCAUUAAUACGGAUUAUUUAGCCCAUGAUGCAUGUUGAUACUGAUCCAGAUAUCCAAGUACGUCAUUUCAAUAGAUUUCGCUUCAAUUUAUUCUCGCCAUUGCAAUUCCAAUUUUAGAAUUUAUUAUCGCCAUCUCAAUUCCAAUUUUAGGAUAAUUUAAAUCACUUCCACCACAAUUUCAACCACCCAUUUACAAAAUUAAUUCUACAUAUAAUUAAAAUCCACCUCCUCGUGGGAUCGACACUCAUCACCAUUGAUCUAUACUACAAUAGAUUCGUGCGCUUGCGAGUACAUUAAAAUUUGCACAACACUUACAACUGAGAAUACAACCUUCAUUGAGCCUUAAACUUAUUCUUGUUUCAUUUAUUCACACUUUGAGAUUUCAUUUGUAAUCUUAUAUAUUGUGUGAGUGAAAAUUUAUUUGUAAUAUUCUUUACUUUGAGUCAUUGUAAGUGUUGGGAUAGACUUGAAUUAAGAGAUUGGGGAUAAUCUCUUAGUGUGAAGGUUUAUUGACACAUUUAAAGUCAAUUGUAAGUGUUCUUGAAGCCUUGGAGGCUUGAUUAGUGGAAUCCUCAAGCCCGACGAGCUUGGAUGCGUGGACGUGGGCAGGGUUGGCCGAACCACGUAAAAAUCUCUGUGUUUGAUUUUCUCUUCCCUUAUCUUUUUUAAUUUUGUGCUUUGAUUGAUUUUAUUAUUAUUGUGUGGUUUUGUUUGUUUAAAGUUUUAGAAACCCAAUUCACCCCCCCUCUUGGGUUGCCUAACUAGUAUUUCAAACAAAACAAAAACUUGCAAACAUAACAUAAAACUAGUAAAUCAACACUAACUAUAUAUAUAUAUAUAUAUAUAUUGGAAAUGAAACAUAAGACUUGUAAAAAGAAUGUAAAAUAUAUAAAUUACUAUAAAAUAGUAAAUUGAUGUAUUAUUGGUAAAUAAAAUGAAAACUUAUAAAUAUAACGUAAAACAAGUAAAUCAACAUUAAAUGUAAAAUAAAACAUAUAGUUUGUACAUUAUGCCUAAAACUUAUGAAUAAAAGGCAAAAUAAGUAAAUUAAUAUAAGAGUUACUGCAAAAAAAAUAAAAUCACAAUUGUAAAAUAAAACUCGUUAUAAUGUUUAUUAUCUUAUAUAUUUAUUGAUUUUUUAAUUUAAAUUGAAUAAUGAUAGUUUUGCAAUUAUGUAAUACAUGUGUUGUUUUAUUAAGUAUGAAAUUUAUUAGGGGUGUUUGCGGAUCAAAUUUUACGGAUUUGACAUCAAUCCAUAUCUUAUCCAUGAUUUUAUAGAUUAUAAAUUUUCAAUCCAAUCCAAUUCACGAAUUGGUGAAAUUUAAUUCAAAUUCAAUCAAUAGGUCUGCAGAUUAGGUAUGGAUUUGACCCAAUCUAUAUUUAAUCCCCUAUUUUGCGGAUUGGUUUGCAGAUUGAAAAUUUUUAAUUCUGUCCAAUCCACGAACUAACUAAAUAAAAAAUCAAUAUAAAAAUAAUUUUACUACUGAUCAAAUUUAAAAUUAAAUAAGAUUAAAAUAUAUUUAUCGUUUAAAUAAAGCUAGAAAAAAAUUUAAACUUUCAAAAUAUAACACACCAAAAAGAAAAUAAAAAUCAUUUGUUUAGAUCAGUACAUGAAAAAUAACUGUUUAGGAAACUAUAUUUGUUUGUUUAAUUAUUUUUUAUUUUAUAUAUUAUCGGAUAAGAUAUAAUAUAGUGUUAAUGUAAUUAUAUUUCAACUUAUUUAUUUACUAGUAAGUACUAAUGCUAUAUUUAUAAGUUUUAUUUUUUAAUUAAAUAAAUACUUUUAUUUUUUUACUGAUUCACAUAUUUUUGCGGAUUUACAGAAGUAAAUUCAUAUCCAAUCCACCAAUUGCGGAUUAUCAAAUUUUCAAUUCAAUCCAAUUUAAUCCAUCAAUCUACAGAUCGGAUUUUUACCUAUCGGACAAAUUGAGUGGAUCAUAUUGGAUUCUGAACACCCCCAAAAUUUAUGAUCAAAAUCGGAUUUUGAAAAAAAUUAUUAUUUUAAUAUUUUUCAUAGUUGUUGUAAAAUGAGGUUAUUUUGCAUCUUUCUACACUUCCUCUAGAACAAUCCUAAAUGGUCUUCAAAUACAAGUAAAAAGUUUGAAAUAACAUAAAGUAUGUAUAAUACUCCAAAUUAGAUCUAAUUUUAUUGAUAAAUCAUAUGUAUGUCUAAUAAUAUAAGAAUAUUUUUUUAUUUUGUUUUUACUUGAUCCACAGAAGAUAAAUAAUUGCGUUUAAUUAACAUGUGUAAUAAAUGGAUAUCGUUAUAGAAGAUGGGGAAAAAAAGUACAAUAAUGCUACAUAUCCCAAAUAUUAAUCCCAAAACUCAUCCCAAGUGAUGUGGUAGCUGACAUGGCAUCCAACUUAUAAAUUUAUUCUAAAUUAAAAUAGACCCCUCUAAAAUAUUUUAUUUUAAAGUAAAUCCCUUUUACAACUAAAAGUCUUUUGCUCUAUCGUUUUUGGCCUGGCUGCAAACUGAACGAACAGAGACGAAUAGAGAGAGUAAGUUCAGGGAGAGCAAAGUUUUCGGUUUCUUCUCACUCAUGACAAGUUCGUUCUUUUACCAAACUAUUUUACUAGCACUCAACAAUAUCAUGUAUUUAUUGAUUCCUUUUUGUUUAUUUUUUUAUUAUUUAUCAUGUAUUUACAUUAUUUGUUUGUGAUUGAGAUAGCAUAUUUGGGUCAAAAGAAUAAGAGGACUGAUGGCGGUGUAUAGAUCUGGUAAAAGAUGGUUGUAUUCGAUGGUAUCAUCUCAUCGCUUUCCAAUCUGCUUGGUUAGUCUGUUGCCUUUUGUAUUAUUGCUUUUGUUUUCUAAUUGAUUUUGAUUUUCCUUCCUAAAUACAAAUAAUAAGAAUAAAGAUUUCAUUUUUCGGUUGCUAGAUUUUGUAUUGAAUAAUUUUCUUCCUCUUUAUCAAGUUACUAAAAAGUUUUUAAUUUUUGUGUUUUACACAUAUUACACUUAAAACGUCUUUACUUUUAUUGCAUUAUGCUCUUGUUCAUUUAUUUUGUGUUAAAUAAUCAUGUGUAUUGUAUAAUUUCUCCACUUUUUUUUUUAUUUAAUGCUAUAAUUUAAUCUAGGUCAUGUUGAAGAUCACUUUUUUUAUUUUGUUUCACCCUGAUUGCUCCAGUGGUUCAGCUUGCGUGUUUUGGAGAAAACAUUGUCCAGUUAUUGGCAUUAGUUUUUAAUGCCAAAUUGCAGUUCAUAGAGUAGACAGUGAGGAGGUUGCACAAGCUGAAGUGCUCUUUGUGCUAGAAUGGGCAAGAAAGCAGAGUUAUAUGACAGAAAGUUAAUAGAUUUCGUCCAGUGAUUAUUCAUAUUCAAUAGUUAGUAGCAAUUAACAUAGGGAAGAAAAUAAAUUAACAUUGUAAUUUAUUUCAAUGAAACCCAAGAGAAAGGUUUCUUCUGUAAACUCAAUAUGUACUGAAAAUUAAUCUACACUUAAUUAGCUUUGCCAUUCGAAGAGAAAUUUUUCAGCAAUAUUCAUUCGCAUUAUUAUAAAAAAUUGAAGAUGUACUUCAGUCCUAACUAAAAUGUUCACUCUUUUUUUUUUUCUUUUAAAGGAAAAUUCAUUAACUAUAAGAACAUAACAUCACAAAGACAUAACAUCUGGAUUGUAUUGUUACUAUAAAAUUGCAAUAGCUCAACCUAUAAUCAUCCAUGCAAUUAAAAAUCCAUAAUUCAUCAUAAAUUUCAGAGCAAAAACUGAACCGUGAAAGUAAUUUAACAAUAAUCUAACAUUAUUGUUUGAUAACAUAAUGUUUUCAAAUAAUUCUUGUACUCCAUCUUUUUAUGUUUGGCUUCUUGCUAGAUACUUCAAUCUCUUUACAACUCUCGAGUGACCUGCAUACGUUACAAAGGAUUAGUUAAAAAGAAAAAGCUAAAGAUUUGUAACUAUGAGAAAAGAUAUUAUUUAUUUAUCUAUGUAGUACCCUAAAUAUAAAAAAAAUGACAUCAACCUAAUGACAAUAAGAAUAACAUACUCCUUAUAAUUAUAUACCAAGCAAAAAGAAUAAAAACACAUUACCUGCAUUGGAUUAUCAGAAGUAACCAUUGCAUGAGUGGUGUUGUUCUCCAAUCCAUAUCUUUGUGUUUCACUACUUAUCAUUUGAGAUCCCUUGAAUAAAAUAAUAUGUAGGAAUUAUAAGUAAUGUAUAAUAAAAUAUUUGAUAAGCAUUUUGGAUAAAAUUUAUUAAUUUCAUACCUUGGUCGUUUUCUUUUGCUUUUUUCUCUGAAUAAUUUGCUUGACCUUAGACUGCCUUCGUUUGUAAGGUGGACGACCUUUACUUCUAACUGCUAGUGGAGAAAGAAUUUUACCAUUAUGACUGCCACGAACCUCCCCAUAUUUUGUUGUGCCAUGAGCUGUAUUACUUCCACGUUGACUAAUUUCACCCCCACCUCCAUUUAGCAUUAGUUUUGCUUUCAAAUAAUCUAAUACCUCCAACACCAUAUUGCAAUUAUUCUCAUUAUUAGUCGCUAGUUCAGCUACAUCAUAAAAAAAGUUGCACAUCUUAUCAAAUCUAAGUCCUUCAGGUUUUAUGCUCCAAUUGUCAUUACUUACUUUCACCUCAGUGUGACAUCUUUUUAUAUCCUUUCUCCAUCGCCUCAAAAUAUACUGUUCUGGAAUAGAAAAUAUUUCUUUAUGAAUUAGCACUGCAAUGAUGUGUCGACAUAAUAUUCCCUUAAACUCAAAUAGUCGACACUUACAAUUAAUCUCACAAUUAACCUCAUUAAAAGAAACUUCAAAAGGGUCACGACGAUGAUUCUCUCCAAUUUUAACAUCUUCAACUACUACAAACUUUGAAGUUAAAAUAUUUGUUUGACAUGAAAAUAUCUCACAAAAGAUUUUUCCUUUUGACUCUUGCUGAAAUUCUCUGAAUUUUUCCAUUGUAUAAGUAUCUCGGAAUUGCUGCUCCAUGGCAUCAUGAGUAACACAAGGGAUAUUAGAAUUCAAAUCAUUAAAAUCAGCAUGAUUUUCUUUUUCCACCUUGUCCCGUAGUGCAUUUCCAUAUUGUUCAACAAAUUAUUUUAGAGGAGUUUUUGAAUUUACAUACCCAUCAAAGAAUGCAUGCAUACUCUCACUGUGUUGUGUUGUAGACAUUCCUGCCCAAAAUAUAUCCUUCACAUAUGUUGGAACCCAAUAUUGCCUCUCAUCAUACAAGUUUUGCAACCAUUCAUUGUUAUUAAGAUUAUAUUUUUCAAUGAACACCAUCCAACGUUCAUCAAAAUCAGAAGGUAUUAAAGAAUCAUAAACAAUAUUCUGCAUAGUCAACUUGAUCACUUCAUAUUUCUUGUAACCUUUCAAUUUUUCUGGAAGUUUUUUCAUUAUAUGCCACAAACACCACCUAUGUCGCGCAUGCGGAAAGACAACUUCAAUCGCCUUUUGCAUGGCCUUAUCUUGAUAAGUGAUUAUGGCAUUUGGAGCACAACCAGACAUACAUUUAAGCCAAGAUCGAAAAAGCCAUACAUAUGUGUCAAUGUCCUCGUUAGAAAUCAAACCACAUCCUAAUAAUGUUGAUUGUCCAUGAUGAUUGACCCCAACAAAAGCAGCAAAUGGUAUAUCAUAUUUAUUUGUUAGAUAGGUUGAGUCAAAUGUAAUAACAUCACCAAAUUCUUUAUUCACUGCUCUACUUCUUGCAUCAGCCCAAAAUAAAAAUUUCAACCGAGCAUCUUCGUCUAAAUCCACCAUAUAAAAAAAAUUGGAGUUUCCAUUUUGCAUUUUUAAGAAAUAAUCAAGAACUGCAGAAGCAUCACCAUCCCCAAGCCGUAAGCGCCUUACUUUGUGUAAAUGAUUCCUACAAUCUUUUUCUAGGAAAGUUAAAUUCUCAUGUCCUCCUGCUUCAACCACCAAAGAAUUAAAGCUUUUAUUCGGUCUUAUUCCUGCUUGAUCAUUCAAAUCCAACUUUCUUUGAACAAACAACUUCAUUACCCUGUUGGUUUUCAGAAAACGAGCCUUACUUGGUGUGUUUAACUCAUGAUUAUGCUCAUAUGUAAUGGAUUUGACCUCCCACUUUCUGUCCAAGCAUGUUGUUGCCCUUACUUUAGCCUUACAAUUUGUUUUGGAUGUUGGUUGUAAUUUAAAAGGAUGGUUCGAUAAAGAUUUUUCCUUGCUGCUGCGUGAACAUGAAAAUGUCACAUAUUUUAACUCUCCAUCGUCUCCUUUGCUAGAGGUUCUUUUAAUAAUUUCGAAUCCCAUUAUCUUCGCAUACAUCUUGUAGAACUCAAACAAAUCUUGAGUUGUAUCAAAAACCAGGCCAAUUUUUGGCUCAAUAAUUUCUUCUGCAUUUGGUUCAUUACUUAUAUCGUUCUCGUCAUCAACCUGAUUUAAAUAAAGUAAAAAUAUCCAACUAAUUAAAAUCAUCAUCAAUUAAUACAAAUUAGAAACAUAUUAAUACAAGGUAUAAAAAAAUAAGAAUAAAAAUUAAAAAUUUCACCUCAUCAGUAAUGAUUUCUAGGGAGUUUUCUAUUUCUUUUGACUCCAAAUCCGUCAUCUCAACUGAAGGUUUUGUUCUUCCUAAAGUUCUUGUCUCUGUUCAUUCAGUUUGCAGCCAAGCAAUUCAAAUUCCAUCAAUUCAUUUUUUCUUUUCAAGAAGUGCAGAUUGUUGAGUGCUAAUAAAAUAGUUUGGUAGGAAUUACAAACCUGUCAUGAGUGAGAAGACUUUGUUCUCCCUGAACUUUCUCUCUAAUUUGCAGCCAAGCCAAAAUACGAUAGGACAAACCUGUUCAAUUUGCAGCCAGACCAAAUUUGCAGCCAGGUCGAAAACGAUAGGGCAAAAGACUUUUAGUUGUAAAAGGGAUUUACUUUAAAAUAAAGUAUUUUAGAGGGGUCUAUUUUAAUUUAGAAUAAAUUUAUAAGUUUGAUGCCAUAUCAGCUGCCACAUCACUUGGGAUGAGUUUUGAGAUUAAUAUUUGAGAUAUGUAGCAUUAUUGAAAAAAGUAUACAAAUUUCCUAUAAUAAAUCUAGAAUUUAUGGUAACUAAUUCAAUAAAACUUAUUCCACUCCUACCCCCAACACUCCCCCACCUCCCUCAAAUUCGAAUAGCUCAUCUUGACCCUCGCCCACCACAAACGCUACCAGUCCAUGUGGAAGACCAUCGAACUCAUGAAACCCUACAACCUCUCCGUCUCUCCUCAAACUCUAAUACUGUUGAGGUUUUUAAUAAGUGUACCGCUUUCAAUUGUCAGCAAUGUGUUCUUUUGUAUAAUUCAUUGCUGUUUGCUUUGUGUGAAGUUGUCAAGGAAGCUCAUGUUUGCAUGAUUACCAGCAAAGCAGAGGAUCACAGCAGCACCCACAUGCAGUUACGAAUAGAUGACAUGGCAUGCCAGCUAGAGCCUGGUGGUUAUGUAAUUAGUUGUGCAUAUGUUAAUUAGCUAAAGCUGUUAUAGUUAGUUAAGAGAAUAAGUGAAUUAGUUACAGCUAAUUACAUCGAUUAGUGCUGAGCUUCAGCUUAGUAUAAAUAGCAACAUCUUUGUACAUAUGAAUAAGUUUUUUUUUUAUGAAUGAAAUUUAGUUUCCAGAAAUAUCCAGAUCUAGUUCUUAACUUUCUCAGCUGCCAAACAUUAUUCUCGUUCUUCUUCUUGGUAUCAGAGCUAGUAACAAUGGCUUCAGUCCAUCUAGCUUCUUCUUCUUCUCAAGCGCCAAUUAAUCAAACAACUGUCAAUUCAACAAAUGUGACAUUCACUUUCAAUACACCUAUUAAGCUAGAUCAAUCCGAUUAUCUGAUUUGGAGAUCUCAAGUUCUUGCCUCAAUUCGUGGCAACAGACUUGAGAAAUUCAUCAAUGAGUCAACCACUCCACCUCCUUCACACAUUGCUCAACGAAUUGAAGAUGAACUGAGAUCUGUAGAAAAUCCAGAAUUCACAACCUGGAGGUCACAAGAUCAUGUGCUUCUUGGCUGGUUACUUUCUUCAAUGAGUGAAGGUAUCAUCAGUCUAGUCUUCAAUCUAGAGACUUCUCGAGAGGUAUGAAAAGCUAUAGAAGUUCAAUUUGGAUCUCAAUCUAAAUCUAGGCUUCUGCACUUGCGAUAUAUGAUGAACUCAACUAGAAAGGAUGAUCUGAAAAUUACUGAUUAUUUCAUUAAGAUGAAAAGUAUUGCUGAUAAUAUGGCUGCUGCUGGUAGUGCAUUAAGUGAUGAUGAUCUGAUCUUGCAUGUACUCUCUGGUUUAGGUCCAGACUAUAACUCUGUUGCUACCUAUAUUACUGGACAAGUAGGAGUAGGAAAAAUGAAUGUAAAUGAAGCUUAUGCUAUGCUCCUAACUCAAGAAGCUAGGAUUGAACAACAAACUCAUAUGCUAGCUAAUACUGAUGUGAAACAAAACUUUGAGGCUAAUCUUACUUACAACAGAGGUUACAAAAAGGGAAAUAUGUCUGGAGGAAGUGGUUUUGGUGGAGGUUUUGGAUAUAAUCAUGGUUAUGGUAACAAUGGAAACAAUAACAGUAAUGGUUACAAGGGAGGUUAUAAUGGAGGCUCUGGAUUUAAUGCUAAUAGUGGAAGUGCCUAUGGCACUAAUUAUCAAUUCAAGGCUUAUCAAGGAGAUAAUAAAAAAGGUGGAGGAGGAGGCAACUGGAAUCCAAAUACUGGAAAUAGUGGAUUUAACAAUAGCAGAUCAUCUGGAAACACUAAGCCUCAAUGGAAUGUCUCUAAGCCAACCUGUCAGAUUUGUCUCAGAACAGGCCACACUGCCAAUAUUUGCUGGAAGCUUGAAGAAUUUAUUGCAUCUGGAUCUUACAGACCACCACCAAACAGAAAUCCAAAGUCUGCAUAUUUGGCAAAUAUGGAGGGACCUGCUGAUGCUAACUGGUAUUUGGAUAGUGGUGCAACACACCAUCUGACAAAUGAUAUCAAUAACAUGCAUGUUUCUGAAGCUUUUACAGGUAUAUCUAAACUUGUUGUUGGCAAUGGUGCUGGAUUGAGUAUAACACAUGUUGGUAGUGCUGCAUUGAAAUCACAUAACUCCCAUAAUACCUCCUUAACUCUUAAGCUAAAUGAUAUCCUUUUAGUGCCACAAAUUACAAAAAACCUUAUUAGCAUCUCUAAACUUACUAAUGAUAAUGAUGUUGUGAUUGAGUUUACUAAUAAUCUCUGUUUUGUGAAGGACAAGAUGAGGAGUUUGAUCAUACUGCAGGGCAAAGCUGAAAAAGGUUUAUACAAAUUGCUAUUAGUUUCAUCUAAUAAGCCAGUUCCCUCUGUUCAUCAAGUCUCUUCUGAAUCUAGUCAAAGCUUUGUUGCUGAGUCAAUAAUACCAACCAAUCCUCUUUCAAUGUUUUCAGUUGUCAAUUCUACUCUUUCAAAUAAUGCUUCUGAUCUGCAUACUGCAGCAACUCCUUGUAAAAACUCUGAGUGUUUGUUAAGUACCUCUGUAUUGCAUCAAAGAUUGGGACAUCCAUCUUCUAAGAUUUUGAGCCAUGUAAUCAAAGCAUGUUCAUCUUUCAAACUGGAUAAUAAGACUAAAACCUUUGAUUUUUGUGAUGCUUGUCAAAUAGGAAAAGUGCACAAACUUCAUUUUCCAGCUACUGUUAUCAAAACAAAGUCUCCCCUGGAUAUAUUGCAUACUGAUUUAUGGGGACCAGCCCCUGUGGUUUCAUCACAAGGCUACAGAUAUUAUGUGAGCUUUGUUGAUGAUUUCAUAAGAUUUACUUGGAUUUUUCCUUUGAAAACCAAAAGCGAAACACUGUCAGUCUUCAAAGUUUUCAAAAACCAAAUAGAGAAACAACUUGACAGACCUAUCAAAUGUCUUCAAUCAGACUGGGGGGGAGAAUUUCGAUCAUUUGUUAAUUUUCUUCAAACAGAGGGCAUCCAAUUCAGACAUUCAUGUCCAUACACUCACAACCAAAAUGGCAUUGUAGAGAGAAAACAUAGGCAUAUCACUGAACUUGGUCUCACUCUUCUUACACAAGCCAACCUACCUAUUAAAUUCUGGUGGGAUUCCUUUCAUACAGCCACAUACCUUAUCAACGGAUUACCUACUCCAGUUCUAUCAAUGAAAUCUCCUUAUGAGACUAUCUUUCAUCUCACUCCAGAUUACAAAUUCUUAAGAACAUUUGGAUGUUCAUGCUUUCCCUUUCUCAGAGACUAUAUCAACACAAGUUUCACUCUCAUACAUCCAAAUGUGUUUUCUUGGGGUAUAGUUCUGUGCAUAAGGGUUAUAAGUGUCUCCAUCCCUCUGGAAAAAUCUACAUAGCAAGUCAUGUUAUUUUUUAUGAGACUUCAUUUCCAUAUUCCUCCAUUUUCAUUUCAUCUUCUCCAUCCAAGUCUUCUAGAUCUCAAUCCAAUCUUCUUCAGCAGUAUACUAUACCUAUUUCUAAUAGCAAUUUGAACACCUUUGAAGCUACUACUGUAGGUAAUGAUCAAUAUUCUGAUCACCUUGAUAUUAUAUCUUCACCACUUUCUCACAACACAUCAUCUCAACCCUCACCACCUGCUACUUUAUUCCAGCAAACCAUACCCUCUUCACCAACUCAACCUGACAUGUCACACUCUCUGAUUCACCCAGCACAAUCAUCUCAACCUAAUCCAAUUCCUUCUACACACAAAAUGAUAACCAGAGCAAAAGCUGGAAUAUUCAAACCAAAGGCCUACUUAACAGAUCACAAUAGCCUGGAACCAUCCACUGUUUCAGAAGCAUUAUCUGAUCCCAAAUGGAAAGCAGCAAUGCAGUCUGAGUAUGAUGCUUUGAUUAAAAAAAAAACUUGGACUCUGGUGCCUAUGUGCUCAUCUUAUAAACCAGUUGGGUGCAAAUGGGUGUUCAGAACCAAGUAUAACACAGAUGGCUCAGUUUCCAAAUAUAAAGCCAAGUUGGCAGCCAAGGGAUUCCAUCAAACUGCAGGUAUAGAUUAUUCAGAAACAUUUAGCCCUGUAGUGAAGUCUGCAACAGUAAGAUUAAUCUUUAGUCUAGCUGUCAUGAAAACUUGGAAUAUCAGACAAAUUGAUGUGAAUAAUGCCUUCUUAAAUGGGGAUUUGUCAGAGGAUGUGUAUAUGAUUCAGCCUGAGGGUUUUAUGUCCAAAGAAGGCUACAUAUGCAAGCUUACCAAGGCUCUAUAUGGUUUGAAACAAGCUCCAAGAGCUUGGUAUGAUAAACUGAAAAGCUGUCUUACUACCUGGAAUUUUUGCAAUUCUAAAGCUGAUACAUCUCUUUUUGUUAAGCAUGAUGAUAAAGGCAUUAUUAUUAUAUUGAUCUAUGUUGAUGAUAUUCUGGUGACUGGUCCUGACUCAGCAUUACUUGAAGAGUUUAUUAGUAAUCUCAGUAAGGUUUUUUCCCUCAAGGAUCUGGGAUUGGUGGCCUAUUUUCUUGGAGUAGAAGUGUGUUAUACAGCUCAAGGAAUGCAUCUGUCACAGACUAAGUAUAUCAAGGAUCUGAUAAGCAAAGCUUCAAUGCAAAACUGCAAAGGGUCAGAUACACCUUUCAGCACUGGCUUCAAACUAGAGAAAAAUAUUCAAGGUCCUCUAGGGCAGGAAUUCGAAGAGCCAGCUCUUUAUAGGAGCAUUGUUGGAGGGCUUCAAUAUUUGAUCCUUACCAGGCCUGAUAUUGCAUAUUCUGUACACAAACUCAGCCAAUAUCUUAGUAAUCCUACACUCCAGCACUGGCUAGCAUGCAAGAAGGUUCUCAGGUAUCUUCAAGCUACAGCCACUCAUGGUUUAUAUAUUCAAAAAGAGGGAACUCUUGGACUUGCAGGUCUAACUGGAUACUCUGAUGCUGACUGGGCAUGUGAUGUUGAUGAUCGAAAAUCUAUUGGAGCCUACUGUAUUUACUUGGGUAAUAAUCUGAUUUCCUGGUCAUAAAAAAAACAAGCUAUUGUAGCUAAGUCAAGCACUGAAAGUGAAUACAGAGCACUCUCUUCAGCAAGUUCAGAACUUUCAUGGCUGCAAUCUCUGCUGUCAGAACUUAACAUUGUCCAAUUACCAACUCCAAUCCUUUGGUGUGACAAUCAGAGUGCAUGAGAGUUAGCUAGAAAUCCUAUUCUUCACUCUAAAUCAAAACACAUUGAGUUGGAUGUCCAUUACAUUAGAGAUAAAGUGCUUGGAAAAGAAUUAGAAGUGAGGUACAUUCCUACUGAAGAACAAGUUGCUGAUGUCCUUACCAAAGCUCUGUCAUUUCCCAAGUUCAACUAUUUUCGAUCCAAGCUCAAUGUCAUCAACAGACCAUUGAGCUUGAGGGGGGACGUCAAGGAAGCUCAUGUUUGCAAGAUUACCAGCAAAGCAGAGGAUCACAGCAGCACCCACAUGCAGUUACGAAUAGAUGACAUGGCAUGCCAGCUAGAGCCUGGUGGUUAUGUAAUUAGUUGUGCAUAUGUUAAUUAGCUAAAGCUGUUAUAAUUAGUUAAGAGAAUAAGUGAAUUAGUUACAGCUAAUUACAUCGAUUAGUGCUGAGCUUCAGCUUAGUAUAAAUAGCAACAUCUUUGUACAUAUGAAUAAGUUUUUUUUUUAUGAAUGAAAUUUAGUUUUCAGAAAUAUCCAGAUCUAGUUCUUAACUUUCUCAGCUGCCAAACAUUAUUCUCGUUCUUCUUCUGAAGUCAAGUUGUUUUAUGGUGCUUAUGGUUUGAUUAGGAGGAUGAUUAGAAAAGGGUUUGUCCCUGACAAGUGGACGUACGCGAUUCUUGUUAAUGCUUGGUGUUCUUCUGGGAAAAUGAGCGAGGCACAAGAGUUUUUGCAGGAGAUGAGUGAUAAAGGGUUCAACCCGCCUGUUCGAGGUCGUGAUUUGUUGGUUCAAGGGUUGUUGAAUGCCGGUUAUUUAGAGUCUGCUAAACAGAUGGUUAAUAAAAUGAUUAAACAAGGGUCUGAUCCGGAUUUGGAAACCUUUAAUUUGUUGAUUGAGACGAUAUGUAAAUCCGGGGAGGUUGAGUUUUGUGUUGAGAUGUAUUAUAGUGUAUGUAAGUUAGGUUCGUGCGCUGAUGUGAGUACGUAUAAGAUUUUGAUUCCAGCAGUUUCAAAGGCGGGUAUGAUUGAUGAGGCUUUUAGAUUGCUGCAUAAUUUGGUUGAGGAUGGUCACAAGCCAUUCCCAAGCUUGUAUGCUCCUAUUAUUAAAGGGGCGUUUAGGAGGGGCCAGUUUGAUGAUGCAUUUUGUUUCUUUAGUGAGAUCAAGAUUAAGGGGCAUCCUCCAAAUAGGCCGGUUUAUACAACGUUGAUAACAAUGUGUGGGCGCGGGGGAAGAUUUGUUGAGGCGGCAAAUUAUUUGAUGGAAAUGACUGAGAUGGGGUUGACUCCAAUUUCCAGGUGCUUUGAUUUGGUUACUGAUGGGCUGAAGAAAUGUGGGAAGCAUGAUUUGGCUGAGAAGAUAGAGCAGUUAGAGGUAUCUCUUCGGUCUGUUUGAUGCAUGUCAAUUAGCAGUUGAAGACGAUUCUUUAAAAGAAUUGCAUGAAUCGAAAAGAAUGCUUUUAGAUUCUCCGCGUUUCCACUCAAGAAUGAUGUGAGUUCUUCAUUAUGAGAAGUUAGCUACUUGUUGAAUUUCAGGUUCCCAUUUGUUUUUGGCACGUCAGUAUUGUUAAUAAAUUCUUGUUAAUAUGUUUGUCAAGUUGUUCAAUUUAUUUAGUAUUACAGCAUCCCGUAGAUUGUUGCCUUUUUUCCAUGAAAUAUUAGUUCAAUUUAUUUAGUACUUUAGUCUCAAUGAAGCAUGUUGGGGAAUUAAUGUAGAAAUAGGGGUCUUGGUUGUUUUUUCAAUUAUGUGGAUGAAGCUUUGACUUAGGAACCACUACUGUAGUCUAAAGAAUAUCGUUUUCUUCUAUAUCGAUGUGAUUAACUGGGUGAUUUUUGUCAAAGGUGUUUGAAAGUUUUCUGUUGCUGAAAUCUUUCGGUUUAUUUGUUGCAUGAAGCAUGUUGGCGAAUCAAUGUAGAAACAGGAAUCUUGAUUCUUUCUUUAAUUAUGUGGAUGAAGCUUUGAUCUAGGAACUUCUUCUCUAGUCUUAAUAAUAUUAUCUUCUUCUAUAUGGUUAUUAUUAACUGGGUGAUCUUUGUCAAAGGUGUCUGAAAGUUUUCUGUUUCUGAAAUCUUUCGGUUUUAUUUGUUGCAGAUGACAACCUCUAUUUAUUCCUAUGCCCAAACAUGAAACAACUUCGGGUAGUUAGGAAAAAUAUUUUUGUGAGACUAAAAUCCAUAAAUAUAUGGAGCAUCACCUCUGUAUUUGGAGAGCCGUGAGAGAUCAACUAGUCAGAGGUUAAAAGGGUUUGGGAUCCUGUUACAAUGUAUUUAGGUCUUGUUUGGGAAAUUGUGCAGUUUCAACUUGGUUAUUUAGCUUUGCUUCUUCGGUUAUCUGCUACUCUGUGUACGUGGGUUGCUUAUUUAUAAGCAUUUCUCAUUGCUUCAUUUCUAAUAUAGAAUGAACCCAAAAUUAUGUAUGAUAGAACCAAUGUUACAAAGAUAGUUCUGGCCUUUUUUGGAGAGGUGGUGCCAAUUUUAGUUCUUAUUUUAUUUGCUUACAAUGAUUUUUGGACUUCUGUUUUAUGGGAGAAAUCCACAAAGGCAGUCUUUUGAAACAGCAAUUGCAUACUCCUGGCGUGAAUGCAGUGACGUCUCUUCAGUAUUUUCACAUCUUUUUAUGCCAUAACCGAGAAAGAGCUUACUGGACCGAAGACCAUGGUGUCGCUCAAAUAUUGUCUUAGAAUUCCUACUAUUGACUUGUAUAUAAACCCACUUUUGGCUGGUGAAGAGUUAAAAGGAGAAUGUACUAGACUCGCAUAUAAAUUAUAAAUUAUAAGCUUUGUCGGAAUCUACGUUCUUUUGGCUUUUGGUCGUUUUCCACCCCAGCACGCCGUUAUUUAUUUUUAAGAAACAAUGGUCACUGUAAUUGUUGUCUUUUCUGGCUUUGUCUAGUGUUUUUCAGAGUAAUAAAUAGUUUGAUUGAUGGACUGUUGGACUUGGUAUUGGAAUUUGGAUUGACGCGGGAUUAGGAUUCUCUCGUGACGCAAAGGCUGUUGGCUCGGAGAAAUGAUUACUUUGAACAUUUUUCGCAUGCAUGCAUUCUAUGAUUUUUCAUUUGCUUGACUUUGUUGUUCAUCCAAAUGAAAUCAAAUACUCAUUUGGUAUGAUAGAAUCAAUGGGCAAUCAUUUUUAUGUUAAGCUUAAAAAAUAGGUUAUCUGUUUCUGUGCUUUGUGCUUUCAACUACCGAUGAUGAACCGCCUACUACUUCAUAACAAUGUAUGUUAUACUGACAAUAUUUUCCGUGGCUCCUUUCAUUUAUUUAUUUAUUUAUUAAAAUUGAUAUUUUUUUUAUCUUUUCGUUUUCGACAAGGAAGGUAAUUGAGAUGUUUAACGACGGGAUGAUGUUUUCCUUUAAAAGAAUAAAUAAAUAAAUAAAAGACAAAAUUUUAUGCCAUGGGGACAAAAUGCCACAUGAGGAGAAAUGCACGCCACUAAAUUUGGGAUAAUAAUUUAAUUUGAAUUGACAUCUAAAACAGUUGUAGGCUAACCAAUAUUUCUACAAAAAAAAAAAAAAAGUUCAGAGUUAUUGGUAGCGUUUUGUCUUUAAUUUUCUGAACUCUGCGCAGUUGGUGUAAUAGUCUUUGUUGCUCUUCUCUUUGCGGCUAAGGAGCCUAGAGAGAUGGAGUGAAGCUGAGCACGAACUAUGAUUUGGUACUCUCACUCCUUAAAAGAGAUCAGGUGUUCAAAUCUCGUUCUCGUAUGAAGUCACCACUUGGGCCAGCACUUUACCCUUUACGGACCGAUCCGGUGCGAGCGAAGAUUAGUCUGGGUUGUGGUACAAACUUAAAAGUGCCUCCAUAAUUGAGACCCACUCAGGACCACCUUGUAGUUCAAAAAAAAAAAAAAAUACGACUACAAUCUAUAUCUCAUGGUCCCAAAACAUCCUACCAAUCAAUGCAAUUAUCAAAAAUGAGAUUCACACCACAUUCAGCACUACAAAUAGCACCGAACGGUGCGUUUUGAGGUAACUAUAAAUCACCACUGAAUCGACAAUUGCAACAUACACUGUUCACAACACGCUCUUUCGCUCUCUCCAUCACACACCGCAAAUCUCACCAAGCCACCAAUAUCACCACGCUCCGUUCUUCCUCGGCAGGCUUCGUUCUUACCGUCGGCUCUCGCUCUCUCUCUCCCCUUCAAAUCCAGCAGCGUGGGUCACUUUCUCUCUCUCCCCUCCAAGUCCAGCAAACAUGGGCACACUCUCUCUCCCUUCCAAGUCCACUAGUCGUGGGUCACUCUCUCUUCCCACUAAAUCUAGCAACCGCAGGUCACUCUCUCUGUCUCCCCUCCAAAAUCCAGCAGCGUGGGUCACACUCUCUCUCCCCCUCCAAACCCAACGGCCGUGAGUCACUCUCUCCCUCCUUCAAAUCCAGCAGCCAGGGUCACUCUUUUUUCCUCCGAAAUCCACAGCAGCCGUGGGUCACAGCUGCCAUUGUGUCGUUGUCGACAGCUGUCGUAAUCGACUUCUGAAGGUAAUUUGCUUCCUUAGAAUAUCCUUAUUUUAAUAAUUUACUAGUUAGAAACUUAAAGUCCAACCAGGUAUUUUCCUAUACUAAUUUUUUAUGCACCAGUGUAAAUAGCUAUCUCAAUUCUGUAUUCUGAGUAAAAUGCUGGAUCUAAGAUAUUAUUUGCUUUUGUGGUGAAAAUUUGGCUGCCAGAAGAAGCAACAAUCAUUAAACUUAAUGAGCCAAUGUCAUUGACUUUUGCUCUGAGAUACAUGAAUUCAUUCACAAGGGCUACACCAUUGUUGAAUACUGUUACUACCAGCCUGUCUUCAGAACUGCCUGUUGUGGUCGAGUAAAAGAUUGCUGAGAUGGGUUAUAUUAGAUUCUACUUGGCUCCCAAUACAGAAGAAGAUGAGGAUGAGACCAAGCCUCUAGCUUAAGUGUCAUUUGGCACAUAGGCUAUGGCAUUUUUUUGAAUCAAAUUACUCCUAUAUUUUAAGUUUGCUUUUAGAAUAUUUCUCGUAAAUUUUCAUGUUGAAAAACCAAGCAUUUAGUUCAGUAGAUUGAUAAAAAUUCAUUUCUUGUGCUUGCCUUUUUUAUCUUAGUACUGUUCUACAUGUAAUUGAUUCAUUUGGCUUUGUUGCUUUGAAAUGUAGGCUUUAAUUGAGUUGAAAUUUUCAGAAAUUUAUCAAAAAUGAACCAUAAACAAAAACUUCAGAUUGUUUGCUUAUUAUAACAAUGGCAAAAUUAUAGAAGAUAGCAUUAUAUUGGGUGACAAAAUGUUCUUAUGGAUGAUCCUGAUUAAACUGUGUAUUUCACAAUGUAAUUACUUGUUGAUCAAUUUAAUUGAAUUGAUUAACACAUUGGUUUGAGUUUUAAUACUACUGCUCAGUUUUUGGGUUAAUCGAAGAUUGCAAUUUUGCAGGAACUGGUAAAUUGGACACGAUAACAAAAAACUCUCACGUAUUACCGAAAUGAUAGCUGUGAUACUUCAGCCCUUAUGAAUAGUACACAAUGGUUGCAAGCAAAUUAAUUAAUUCAUAACUUGUAAAUAAAUAAACCCAAAAAAAAAAUUAAAUGAUGGAUAAUAUGAAGGAAUCAAAUCCAGAUUUUUCCUGCAACAAACUUCCCAGAAACAAAAUUUGGUGAUAUUCCUCAAACUGAGAACACAACCUAGUGCUAUUUCCUUUGUUUGAGGUUUCUUUGUUUUUCAACAUUGAUCUAGCUAUCUUGUUGCUUUUGUUAAUGUGGACAAAACAAAUUAAUAGUGUUUAAAUUAAUUCCUACAUAUGUAUUGGCGAAAAUCAUUUGCUCUGUUUCUUGGCUUCAUUGUAGAGGACGACCCCAAUUAUGGUGAGAGUCCAGCCAGACAUCGCAGUUAUAGAUACCGGAUUUCUGAAUAUAUGAAUUGAUACAACCACUGCAAUAUCUCCUUUUGCAGUUCCAAGAACCUGAAAGCCAAACGCACUUGGUAUGUCUUAAAAUGAUGUACUUGAUUGAACUAAAUUCACAAAAAUAUUACUUAAAGAGUUAAGGCAUUGGCGUUCUUAGUGACCAAAAAAUUGGUCAAAAUGACAAAAUAUGCAAGGGAUUGAAGAUCAGAUACCAUAAGAACUCCACAUCUUGUUUAGCAAGUGCAAUUGUGAUUCCAACUACAACGUUUUCCAUUAUUAGUACAGCAGGAAGAAGGGACAUAGCAGCUACUGGAGCCAUGUCCAUGAGAAGGUUCAUAGAAUUAAACGUUUCUUUGAGACAUCAACCAAAGUACACAAUAGGUAACAAAAGUACAAGUGAAAAAUGUUCAGAUUUCAAGUGGGUAAGCUCAAAGAAAUCUGAUAUACUUUAGAGGAGAGCAAAAUCCUUUGUAGGACUGUCUGAAGUGCCCAAGCUGGGAUGUCUGGCUAUAAGUCUUACCCCACUGGCAAUAAUAACGCCAGUAACAACAGGAAUAAAGGUCACAUAAGUAAGCCAGCCCUCCCUCUUGAGGGUCAUCAAAUGAGCAAAAACCGCUGUGAAAAACGGCGUUGUAGCCCACACAGCCUGAUUAAACAACACUGGGAGAGUGAAGCUGCUAGUCAAAUUUUUGAGACAGCUGAGAGAGUGAGGUGUCAUGAGAGAUGCAAUUGACGGAGAAGAGAGAGAGGAAGCCGAUGGUGAGAAUGGUGUGGAAGAGUGGAGCAUGGUGAGAUUGGUGGCUUGGUGAGAUUUGUGGUGCGAGGGAGAGAGGGACAGAGCGUGUGUGUUAUGAACGGUGCGUGUGUGUUGUAAUUGUCAAUCCACAGUGACAAUUUAUACUUACCUUAAAACACGCUGUACGGCGCCAUCUGUGGUGCUAAAUGUUGUGUGAAUAUCGUUAUUGAUGUAAUUAUAGUUACGAAGCCUAAAAAAUUAUUGCUUUUGCUUAGUUACGGCUGGUUGUAAGUUAUUCUCUAUACAAAAAUAUGCAAAAAGUAGUUACAGGACGGUGGACCCACUUAAUUUUUAUAUGGACGGUAAGUAACACAAAUUAUAAUUUAGCAAAACUCAAAAAUUAUAGGAAAGAAAGAAUUUUUUUUUUUUUUUUUUUACCUAAAUGAUUAGAAUACAUUUACUCAUAAUUACCAAAGCAGAAAUUAAGUGAUAAUUAAGGGCUGGUGAAACAUUUAAUUUCAAACCACUAAAUUUGAGAGCUACAACAAUAAGAGAAGUUAAGUAACAAUUAAGUGCUUAUAAACGAUAACUUUUACUAUAGGUAAAGGACUUAUGUAUUCAAUAACUAACCAAGAGCUCAAGGUCAUCUCAUAUGAAUAACGCUGUUGUGUGAGAGGGAUUAUAAUUGCGUGAGAAAUGACCCCUGAUGAAUUUGGACAACCAGUAGAAAUUAGAAUUUAAAUUUUUUUUAUUUUUAAGUUUUUCCAAUAUUUCAAUGUUAUUCUCAGACAUUUAAUUAAACUUAAAUAAAUCUUAAGAACAUAUAAAAACAUGUUUUUGUAAUAGGCCUAAAACGAAACUUUAGAAAAUACAUUUUUAUGUUAAUUUCUUUUAAUUAUUUAUCUGUUACAUACAAAUAUGAUAUGAAUGUGAGAUAAACUCUUUCAUAAAUUUUGUGUUUGACAAGACCAAACCAAAACUUUCACGAAAUAAAUAAUUAAUUAGUUAAUCCAAAACUACUCUGGUUAAUGUGUUACAUGUAGAAUGUGUUUGAAUAAAUUAAUUUAUAAUAAUUUUAAACAAAAUAAAUUUAGUCUAUUUAUAUUUCACUCGUCAAUGGGAGUUCUUUUCACUCUUCGGCUUCUAGACUCUUGCAAUUUAGGGUUAUCACUAUUACUACUACUACUACUACUACUACUAUUAUUAUUAUUAUUAUUAUUAUUAUUAUUAUUAUUAUUAUUAUUGUUCUUGGUCAUAAUUUUAAAAUUUGUUGGGAAAUCUAUGGAAUUAUAUAUCAAACAUCUAAAUUAAUAAUAUGUAUGAAAUAAAUUGCAUCCCACACAAAUAUAAAUAAUAAUUUUACUUGAAUUAAACACACAAAUCCUAUAUUAUAAUAUUAGGCGUAAGAAAACUUACACACUCGACCAUUUUAUUAUAAUUUGGACUUACUGAAGUAUACUAUUCACUCAGAUUUAUCAACCAUAUAUAAGUCACUUUAUUAAACCAUGAUUAUUGUAAAAUAAAAAAAUUAUUGUCUUUCAAUUGUAAAUGGACGAACUGUUUAUACUCGACCUUUAUAUAAUUGUAUAAAUAUUAACCUUUGUAUAACUCAAAAUUAUAGUUUAUUCUAUCAAUCUUAAUAAAUUGGAAGUAGAUGAUUUUGAUUUGCAAAUGUUUUCGCUUCCAUAUUUGUAACUAUUUUGAUUUUAAAAAUUCAAUAAACAAAUAAAGUUGACCGAAGUAUUCUCUAAAUGCCGACCAUUUUAAUUAACAAAACUUAAAAACUUUUAAGGAGAAUUGGGCCAGCAGUAAAUCCUUGAUUAUAUGUAAACUGAUAACCUUCAAAAACCAUUUAAAUUGGCUUUCUUAACCCAAAAGUAUUCUAAUCCAAUGUUUGCUAUAUGAUUUCGAACCAAGUUCGAUUUAUUCAAUUCAUAAUUAAAUGACGAAGAGAAUAUUUUAAUGAGUUCAAAUAGUUUUACUUUAUUAAUAACUUAGUAGAAACCUAAUGAAAGUGAGAAUAUUGGAAUCUUUGACUCUCUUUGUAUUUGAGGUAUUUUUGCUUUUUUAUUUAUUGUUUUAGAUUUCAAUGCUAUAUUUAUUUGGUUUAUUAAAAAAAGAAAAUGCUCCUUCAAAACAUUUCAUAAAUUCUCUGCGAGUUACAUGAGAACUACGACAUUCAUUAUUUUUAUAUAUGCAGAUACAAGUUUUUUUUUUUUUUUGAAUGAUAUAUGCAGAUACAAGUUGAUCGUUAUUACAUUUUCCAUAUAUAUAUAUAUAUAUAUAGUUGUUUUCUGGUUAAGCCUUUAAAAUCAUGCGGUUUUAAAGUUUUCCUGGAUUAUCCCGCACUUUAAAAUUUCAGAUUGGAAUAUUUCUCUCUCUCUAUAUAUGUGUGUGUGUAUGUGUAUUUGAAGUUUUUUGGUCCGAAAUUUUAAAAUACAGGAAAGUUGGAGAAAGAUAUUAAAUCCCACGGUCUAAGAGCAUUAUGAAAUUAUACCCUCAAACAAUACAAUUUAAGAGAUUUCUCAAACUUUCCUAUACUUUAAAAUCCUUGAUUGGAACACACACACACACACACAUAUAUAUAUAUAUAUAGUAACUAAACUAUGUCUCCAGGCAACUAGUUAGCCUUGAACUUUGCUUGAGGAGCUUUCACUACAUAUGGAUCAAGUUGGAAUGCCCUAGCGAAAGCAUAAGGAUCAAUUGGUGGAGUAGAUCCGAAGAUUGCAUCUGCAAUUGUAAUAACACCAGGAUUCUAGUUGCUCAAAGCAGCAGUGGCAAACAGCACUGCUUGGUCCAAUAUUCGCUUGGAAAUGAAUGAGCCCAAUUGGAAACACAAACACGUCUCCUUUGUUCAGGGCUCUGGCGAAGAGCGUGUUAUUUAGCUGGUUUGAUGUCACAAAACCAACAUAGAGAGUGCCCUCCAGGACUACUAGGAUUUCUCUAGCACAAGGGUGAGUGUGAGGUAUGUUUGGCCGCCGUUUGCCACGUAGUCGAUACGAACUACGGAUAUGCCGAGUAGUUCUGAGCCCUCGAAUCUGUUCUAUAUUUACAGUCGUGACUGUUGAGCCAACUUGCUUUGUUGUGCUUUUAGGGAUAUUGUGCCCUGAAAAUCAAUCAAAACUACUUGUUAAAAAGAUUCUGUUUCGUUUUUAACUUUUUUUGUGUCUUUUACUAUUUUACCCCCAUAAUUAGACUUUUGAUACACAAAGGUCAACAAUUAAUCAAUAAAAGGAAAAAAUUAAUCAUAAGUCUGGUUUUCAUGGUAAAAUAAAAAAAUAGACAAAAAAUUAGAAAGUUCCUGUACUCAUUUUAAUGCCAAAGAGUAGUAAUGAGUUUUGAAACAUAAGGAGAGAAAUAAUAGAUCUACUUGAACAAUAGGAGGAUUUUGAUCAUUUUCCCACUUAUAUACAGAAAAACGAUACACAUCACAUGUCUUGAACUUGAAAUCAUUGAUGUCAACACAACCAAGAGGACAGAAGCUACAAGAAAUUGAACUCCUUUCAUGUUGAUUACUCUAGGUAUGUGUCAAUAGGGCAUAAGUAGCCUUUCAUAGUCGGAUUGAAUUAUAAAGAUGCGAAGACUUACCAAGUUUAUUGGUUCUUUUUUUUGUCAUGCUUUAUAAAUGAAGAUUAGUGAGUUCUCCAUGAGACUAUCCUUAGAUAUUUAUUUUUUUAAUUUGAUAAUGUUCAACGGAUAAUUUUUUAAUUCUGUAUUUGUUGUAAGUGCUUAUUUUUCGUACAUCUAAUCUUCAUAUGUCGGCUGCUGCUAGUGUAUAUCGACUAGACUGACACCACUACUAGAAAUUGUUUAUGAUCAAUGUAAAUAAAAAAGUGGUGUUUUGUUAAUAUUGGGGACUGUGGUCGUUCCGUUCAAAUAAUCUUCUAAACUUAAAAUGUCGUUUGAUGAACCAUAUAUAUGUCACAUAGAUUUACUCAUUUAUAAUAUUUUAUAUAGCACACAGUACAUGGAACAAGAAUGUGUGGAUAGUCUAUCUCGAAUGAUCUAUCUCUAUGUCAUAAAUUAAUCUUCAAUCUGAAAAUGUACAUAUGCACUCCUAAGAUAUUAAAAAACGUUUCAACAUAUUUUCAUACUUAUAUGAUCAUAUCAUUUUUUUUUCCUUCCAAGUGGGAAAAUAUUUCAUGGUCUUGGAUAGACAUCCACCCUCUUUGUGGUGUGCAUGAGUCUAUUAUUUUUAGCAAUCUAGGGAAGGAUGAUGGAUGAGGAGAAAAAGAUUAUUUAUGAAUUGACUUCUGUAAUACUGAUAUAGUCACAAAUUUAAAGAAGUAACGUUACCCAAACAAAGUCUGUACCUCAACAAACAUGAGACCAUUUAAUUCAAAUCUACCACAUGAUUAUGUGAAAUGAUAGUUAAUAAUUCAAAUAUUAUAAAUAUACUAGAUGAUUUUAAAUGUCAUGUCAAUUUAUCUCUAACUACAUAAGUAAAAUAUUAUUGUUUGAUGAGAUAUGUUGAUAUAUAUAUAAUUUUCUACCUACUCAUAGUUUACGUUCCUCGACAAAGUGUUCGGAUCUUUCUUUUUUUAAUUUUUUUUUUUUUUUGUGGCAAAAUUGUGAAAACAAAAUAAAAGAGAUGUUCAUGGUCAAAAAUUCUUUCAGCAAGGAUAAUCUGGUCAUCAGCAUCAGCUGUUUAAUAGAGAAGGUUAUAAAAAACCAAAAGCAAAGUUUUUGAAAACUAGAUAGGUUGUACAGGGAUAUUGACAGGGCUUGAAAGUAUGUUAAUGCUUCUUUUUCUUUUCUUCUCGUUAUAAGCACACAACGACAUAAUUAAUUGAUUGAUGAAAAAUCGAUGCUUUAAAGCGACUGAAGCUUUAGUAGUCCCAGCAAAAAAUUUAAACAAAGUCAGUACAUCAAAUUUUCAUUGAUUGCACCUUUUUUUGGCCAAAAUAACUCCAACAAGUAAGAACCCUCUCAGUCAAAAUUGUAAAUCACUGUAAUAAAAAAUUUUAAAGUCCUAUGUUAUAUUCUCCGUACAAGAAAUUUUAAAAUACAUUAAAGGAAAUUCAACUAAUUGACAUGUGUAUAAUAUGUAUGUUAAAUUUUAUAUAAUUACACUUGUAUAGUAAUUUUUCAAAAUAAAUUUACAUAUGGCAUAAUUUCAUUUAUUUGUUGUAUGAUUGAUAUAAUAUUUUAAAAGUACUUUAAAUUUUCUCUCUCCAUAGCAGCUUUUUUUUCUCGUAUUAUAUGUUUACGUAAGAGAAAUCUGAACUUUUUUUUUUUUGCUCUUUUUAAACAGUUUUAGUUUAAAUAAAAGUAUUGAAUUUUUAAUUCGAAUUCAUGACUAGUUUGAGUGCUUUUGGCUAGGGGUGGGCACGGUUCGGUUCGGAUCGAAAUUAAGUAGAACCGAUUUAAUCGGUUAUUUUAUAAAAAGAACCGAAUAAGAACCGAACUCAAUAAGAACCGAACUCAAAUGGAUCUUUUCGGAUCGGUUCGGUUUUUUCGGUUCUGAGCCUAUUAGGCCUAUUUUGAAUUUUUAAAUUUUUAGCCCAUUGGGCCUCAUAAAUGUAAUAAUUUUUUUCAACAAUUAGUUCAUCCUAAUUUCAUUACAAAUAUUAACAAUAAAUACAAAGUAUUCAAAGCACAUUUUAUCACUAAUAUCUUACUAACUACUAAUAAGGUACUCACAAAAUAUAAAAUAUUAAAAUUUCAAAAUACAUAACCAAACUCCAAUACUCCAUCUAUAUAAACAUAAUCAUAAUGUUGUAAAGACAAAUAAAAAUAACAACAAUUACAACUUACAACACAAAAUAAAAAGAAAAUUUAGAAACAAACGCCAACAACAUUCUCCCAUCUUCAUCAAUAUCAACAUUUUAGGCAUUUUCCAACUCAAUAUUUGGAUCUAUAAAAAAAAUUUAACACAUGUCGAUUUGAAUAAAAUCUAAAAUUAAUUUGGUUUUUCGGUUCGGUUUUUCGGUUCAGCUGAGUGAACCAAAUACCGAACCGAUAUUUCGGUUUUUUUACAAAUGAUAUAUUUCAGUUUUUUAAAAAAUAAAAACCGAUCCGAAUUAGAAAAAACCGCCAGUUUGGUUCGGUAUUUUUAAGACCGCGGUUUUUUUGCCCACCCCUACUUUUGGCAAGAAAGUUUGUUAUGCAUAGCGCACACUAACGGAAGUUAGUUACGGCAGUUGCUGCUUUGACUUUUGGUUGACCUAAGCUGUUAUAUAGGCUGAUAAGCAUAGUAGGUUGUAGUUAAUUCAUUUCUCUGAGUUAUAAAACACUUGAUGACUCAUCAGAAAUCUGAUUGUAAUCUCUUUAAAUAUGAACCCUUUACUCUUAAUGAAAAAGAGCUUGAAGAUGGCUUACUGUGCAUAAACAUUGGUGGUUAGUGUUGAUAAUUUACGUGUGUGCUUUGCAUUAUGCUUGCUAGUUGUGUUUGUCUUGAUUAUUGGGGCCAAUUUUGGUUGCUAGUUGUGUUUGUCUCAAUUAUUGGGGUAAAUUUUGGUUGUGUUAGGAAAUUGAUGGGUGAAACAGACACAUAACUAAAAUGAAAUUGAGAAACAAUGAUCACAUAGGGACACUAAGAUUUACAUGAUUCAACUUUUAGCCUACAUCCAUGGUGUUGUGCAAAUUUUAUUGUACUCGCAAGCGCAAAAAUUUAUUGUAGUAUAAAUUUAUAGUGACGAGUGUCGAUCCCAUAAGGAGGUAGAUUUAAUCAUAUGUAGGGUUAAUUUUCCAAGUUCAUAUGUGUAUUGCUUAGAAGUUAUUUCUUUAUCUUAAGAUUUAAAAUAAAAUGACAAGAAUGAAUUAAAGAUGAAACUAUACAAAUGAAGUGCUUAAGUUUUUAGAUUCACACUCAACACUUCACUAUGGACUUACUAUUCUUUUUUUAGUUCCAAUUAAUAUAUGAGGGAUAUUUCCACUCCUCAUAAGCCUCAUUCUAAUAAAUAUAGUAUCAAGCACUCAUUCUUACUACUUACUAGAACGAAACCCUUAUUUAUAGGCUUCACGUUCCCUCUUCCUCUAUUUUUUUUUUUUUUUUUAAUAAAAGACUUAGUGGAUGUUGAAAGUUACACUAAUAAUAUGCUACUUACUCAUAUCUCCCAGUUACUCAACAAAUUAUGCCAAAAGUCAGAAUGUUGCAUGAUAACCACAUGCAAUUACUUGCUACAUGCAUGCAUAUGUUCGACAUUAUGUGUCUUUGCUCUUAUCAAGCGACAUCAGCAGGUCAUCUAUCAAUUGAUCUUGGGGCUUAAUAUAAUCUGUUUCACAUCAGAUUUUGCAUAACAAAAGUAACGAAGAGAUUAAUUAGAAUAAAUAAAUAUAUAUGUGUGUGUAUGUACCGACAAAAUAUAUGUGUAAGGAGAGGCAUGGGAAAGGCUUGGCUGCUAAAUAAAAACAACAAUAAAUUAUGUUUAUUACAUGGCUACAAUCAGCCUGGAGAGAGGUUCAUCAGAGACCUCUUUUAUUACAUUAAGAUAUGAUAAUCUGGAGUUAAAACAAUAAAGCCACUAGUGAAGAGGCCAUUUAUAUUAAAGCUCAUUAAUUCCUUCUCCUAAUCGCCAUUAAUGAACUUAUGCUGAAGAUCUUUCACUGUCUUCGGGUCCAACUGGAAUGCCUUGGCAAGAAAAUCGGGAUUGAUUGGAGGAUUAGCUCCAAAGACCGCGUCGGCUAUGGUAAUUUCACCGGGGAACUGGCUGUUUAGAGCAGAAUAGGCAACUGCAUUUGUUUUUCCAACGUUGAAUUGGAAGUGAAUCAAACCUUUUGGAAACACAAAAGCAUCUCCCUUAUUCAGAACUUUUGCGAUGAGUUUGUUAUUUAGCUGGUCUGAUGUCACAAAACCGACAUGAAGAGUUCCUUCCAGGACCAGCAGGAUUUCACUGGCACGGGGGUGAAUAUGAGGUGGCCUUUGGCCGUAUGGCGCAUAGUCAAUGCGGAAUGCUGAUAUGCCAAGGGUGUUGAGGCCUGGAAUUUGCUCAACAUUUGCAUCUGUUUCAUCAACACCAAGUCGAUUUGCUGUGUUUCCAGGCUUGUCUAGCCCUGAGAAGAAGAAAUCAUCUGCUCUCGCAAGCUUGGGGUCCUUGCAGAACUUCCCAUUCACAAACACUACAAGAACACACACACAUACACACACAAAGGGGGAAAAAAAGAAUAAUUAAGUAGCAGCACAAAUUAUAUUGAAAUUUAUAUGUUUCGUUAGUUCAGCUUACGUACCACCAUCCUUCGGGUCCUCGAUGGCUACACAGAUAUCUUGUAGAGGGCUAGGGUCAGAGGCAGAGGCCAAAGAAGAAGCCAAAGCCAAGAGAGCAAAACCUAUAAGAAAUUGAAUUGCCUUCAUGGUGAUUAAUUAACAGGAUGUACCUAUCUCAAACUUUAAUCAAGUGUUGUGAUUUGAGAAUAUUGCGAGGCAAACUAGACUAUUUAUAGAACGGAGUCCGUGAACGAGUUUGCGUGUUCAAUUAAUUAGUCCUCGAAGCCGGUCAAGAUUACUGAGUUCUCAUUGGUUAUCUUUGUAAUGUUUCUCAGCCUUCAUUUUCAUUUUUGUUUUCAAAAUUUACACAUCUUAAAUAUAAAUUGUAAAACGUACAAAACAAAGUCUGGCUGACAGUGAUAAAACCCAGACAGGUUAGACACGUUUCCGCCAAUCUUCAAAGCGAACCAUAAAAUACGAUAAGAAACAAUAUUUUAACGCGUUUUCCAAAGCUUAAUUUAAAUAUAAUUUUUUCAUUGGAAAGAAACGAGUCGAAGAAUUUAUGAAAAUGGGUGAGAAAGAAAUUCAUGUCUCUAGCAACAGACUAACAGUUCGGAGUCAUGUUCUAUAGAUGUCGAUGUUACCGGACUUGAUUGGUUUGUUGUUGGACUUAAUGAAGAAGCAUUAUUAGCCUUUUUUUUUUCUUUUUCAUAGCAAUUUUCGUAGCUGCUUUAACCAUUUUUAGUUCUAUCAAUGCUUUACCGAGUCAAUGAUGCACAUGUUUUUUUCAUUACAUGUUAAAGUCACAAAUCAUCUGCUUCAAGAAAAAACGUGAAGACUAUGAUCAGGAGGAACCAAAAGUCUUCUAUCUUAUUUUCAGUGGUCACGUUAAUUAGAAGCUGGAGUCGGCACGUUUUGUUAGAGAUAGUGAAAUCCUUUUACAGUGUCAAUUGAUAUAUAUCAUUUCAACUUUAAAAGUUAAUUUUAAUAUUUAAUAAUUUUUUUAAAAAUCGCUUUUAGUAAAAUCAUGUAGAUCUUGAAAAGUAAAAAAAGAUUAGUUUUUUAAAAUUUGAUUUCGAUGAUCACUUUUAUACUUAAUACAAUUUCAUAUAUAUCCUUAUGUAUAAGAAAAAUCCAAAAUCAUCCUCAUUAAUUAGAAAAUAAAAUUAUUAAUUUGAAAGAGAUUAUUUGUAUUACCAAUUAUAUUGAGAUAACAAGAUAAAAAUAAAAUUAAUAAUGUAAAUAUUUAUUUUAGUUAUCAAUUUUUAUAAAUACACACCUAAAAAUAUUUUAUUUACAUGUUUAUAAAUUUGUAAAUAAAUUUUAUCCAACAAAUGUUCACUUUAAUCAUUUAUAUUCUUACAACAUUUUAACAGUAAGAUUUACCAAAUACAUACGACUACUUUUAAAACCCACACACUUUUAAAAAUAAAUUUUACUGAACGUUUAAUUGGUUCUCUAUUAUAGCUGAUUAUUUCUACAGUAUGACUAACAGUAAUUAUUUUACAAGUUAUAACAUUAUUAAACUAGCCCAUAGUGACUCAAUUGAUUAAAACUAAGUCAAUUAAAUCACUAAGUUAGGAAAACAAACCGCCCUUUAGUAAAUUUCUUAAUGUAAAUAUUAGUAAAUUAUGAUGGAAAUAAAAAUAAUAAUCUCUUCCUUUGUUCACCUUUUAAUUAAAAUCCGUUUCAUUAGCUAUUUGAAUAACAAACUGAAUUGAUCACGAAAUAAUAAUCUCUUUUUCCAAUCAUACGAGCGGCUUUUUAAGAUCAUUUGUAAGGACAUUAAUUAUGUAUUUUUAAUGGGUUCAUAUGUUAAUUAUAUUGUAUACCGUUUGUCAACCAAACUGGCAAUCAUUUUAUUGGUUAAAAUUCAUUCAUAUCAGUAUUUAAGAUACGCAUCACUUUCUAGCAACAAUGCGUCAAUGUUAUAUAUGUUCCCGUUCAAACUUUCCACUUGCUGCCUCACCCAUGUAAGUUAUGAAAAAGUUGCUGAGAAAAUGAAAAAAUAAUCCAUGGCCAUGGAAAUAAUAAAACGCCGCCAGCCGUUUAGUAUAAUUCUAGGAGCGAUUUAUCAUUUCUUUUUCCUUUUUGCUUUUUAUUUCAACAAUUUAUUAUUGACUAGUGUAUUGCAGGCUUGCAUCAAUGAAGUGUUUGGAUCAUUUAUCCCCUUUUUUUCAAAUAUAAUUCAGAUAUAAUUCUAGAUUAUGCUGGUAGAAACAUCGUCUCAAAGAUUCUAUUGGGUCAUCAAUAGCUGUAUAUGAGUAUAUCUUGAAGAGGGCUACUUUUUCUAGGAUAUGCUGCUAGAAAAUUUUGCAGCACGUAACUACUACGAGUUAGUCUUUUUUGUUUAAUUAAGACUCUAAUCUCCCUUUCUAGAAUGCAAGAUAAAAAAUAAAGCUAGAAACGUUAUAUCAAAAUAAUGAAUAGUUACUAAUUUUUGUCAUAUAUAAUUCUAGACAUUCUAGUCACACAUUUUACCAUUUAGUCCAUAAUUUUUCAAAGUACAUAUUAUAUUUCUAAUAUUAUACUUUUAUGUUCAAAUUACUCUGUUGAGUUAUACAUGCGGCUUUUUAACAUAUUACCCGCUGUGGGUUUGGAUUUGAUAAUGGCAAACCCGCUGCAGGUGCUGCCUAUUGCUAUCUCUAGCCGUGUACUUUUUUUUCCUUUUAACUACAUUGAUGGAAAGCUGAAUUUUGACUUUUUAUAUUCUGACGAUCCUUCCUUGUACUUCAGUAUGAAGGAAUACGAAGAGAGGGCUGUAUCUUUGGCAUUGGAUCGGCAAAAGCUCCAGGCCCUCACCAAUAAACUUAAAUCAGUACGCUUGACAUGUCCUCUAUUUGACACAGCACGAUGGAUGAGUUGAAACUAAUGUUUGCGAUUGUUUUGCAGUUCUUGGCCCACUUUGUGAAAGAAGUGACUUACAAAUGGAUGCUUUUUUUUUUUGGAAAUUGCAAGUCAAGAAUCUGGAGAGGUCAUAUAUCAAAAUGUGGAGUCUCCAUUGCUCUGGGCAGAAGCCCCAACACUUCAAAGUAACUGAGAAUGACUUGGACUUCCCUUGCGAUAGAUAGGUAUAUGGGAAGGGAAACGGGAUUGUAGAUAAAAGCAAAUAGGAAUAGUAGAACGAUGAUUAUUAUUGUAUUUAGAAGAAGAAAUUGUUUCACCUUAUUCAAAUGACGCCAUGGCUGAUUUUGUGAUGUCAGUGCUGAUAAUGGAUUGUAGUCUGUGUACAAAUGUACUUUUCUAUUUAUAAGGAUUUGUGAAAAACGUUGGAGAUUAGAAAAGAAAAUAAAUAGAUUCUUCCUCAAGCCAUCAGUUCUGUUCUAUUAGAGUUGGGACCAGUGGCACCUCCCUAAUCUCAUCAUCAAAUUCCUUCUUCAGUUAUAUUUAUUUUAUCUGUGAAAAUGUCUUUUUUUUUUUCCUUUUUUUUAAGAACACUUUUAAUUUUUAUUUUAUUUUUUUAGUUAAAAGUAGUAUUGUGUUAUUAAUUUUUAUUUCUUUUGUAAUCUUAUUAUUAUCUUAUGCACAAGAUAAAAGAUUUUUUAGGUGACGAGUUUUUCAAUAUUAAUUAUUUAAUUAAAUUAUACAUAUGUUAAAUUAUAAUUUAAAAAUAAAUUUAAGUACAAAAAUAUUUAAUCGAUAACAAAUCUGAAAAUAAUAAUAGAUUAUUUCAAAUUUUGUAUGGUUUAUUUUAGUUAGAUAAGAAGUAACCGGUACAAAAUUAAAAAAAAAAAAAAAGAUUGAUUAUAAUUGUAAGUAAUUUUUUUUUUAAAAAAGAUAGAUUAUCAAUAUAAGUGAUUUAUUGAAAAGAAAAAUUUGUGUAUGAUUAAUUUUAUUUGAAGCAGGGUUUUUGAAGGAUAAUGAAGGGGUCCCAAACACUGUGGAGUUGUUGGCUCUUCCGCUGUCAAAGUCACGUAUGCUUGGAAGCUUUUAACCACCGCUGUCAAAAGUCACGUAUACUGCAAUUGGAUCAUGGAUUUUUCAUUUAAUAAGAUAACCACCGGCGGCAACUCUGAUAUACAAAAACAUGUAUUUCAGAUUACGGAAUCUAUCCAAACAUAUAGCAUGCGAGUGCGAUUACCAGCUCGAGCAGUUUUUAUUGCGGAAUUCUUUCAAACACAUAGCACGCAUGUGAAGUUCCCACAUUGGACCUUCCAAGAUGUUAGUUUCUCUAUUCAGAAACCGAACUCAAUGCCUCAUCCCCUCCUUCAAAACCAUGACCACCGCAGCCGGGGCUAAAACCUCAAAAGACGAUUACUUCGCAGCCGUAAACCACAUCGCCAUCAUAGUCCGUCACGACAUAUAUCCAGAACGCACCCUCAACAGACUCAACCUCACCCUCACCUCAGAGCUCGUCUACCGCGUCCUCCGCGUCUGCCACACUACUUGCCCUUCCAAAUCCCUCCGCUUCUUCACCUGGGCCCGCUCCCAGCCCCAAUACUCUCCCACUUCCCUCGAAUUCGAACAGCUCAUCUGACCCUCGCCCACCACAAACUCUACCAGUCCAUGUGGAAUCUACGUUCUUCUGGCAUUUGAUUGCGUUCCACCCAAGCACGCUGUUAUUUAUUUUUAAGAAAUAAUGGUGUUUGUAAUUAUUGUCUUUUCUGGCUUUAUCUAGAGUUUAUCUGAGAAAUAAACAGUCAUAAAUAGUUUUGGUUGAUGGACUCUUGGACUUGGUAUUGGAAUUUGGAUUGAAGCAGAGGCGGUUGGCUCGGAGAAAUGAUUACUUUGAACAUUUUUUGCAUGCAUGUAUUUUAUGAUUUUUCAUUUGCUUCUAACCUUGUUGUUCAUUCAAAUGAAAUCAAAUACUCAUUUGGUAUGAUAGAAUCAGUGGGCAAUCAUUUUUAUUUUAGCUUAAAAACCAGGUUAUCUUUGCAUAGCUAUAGUUUUAUAGUUUCUGUUUCUGUGCUUUAUGCUUUCAAAUACUGAUGAUGAACCGAGUGUUUAGCCCAGAGCAAGCUUUCGGGUUUAAGGACAUUAAUUUGCAGCUGAUUCAGCGGUUACACAUACAAUGAUAAAAAUGUGUACCCAAACGCACAGUUUAUGAGCAUGUCUCUCACUGUAUACACGAUUGAGAGUGGGUCCGCCUCCUACUUUAUAACAAUUUAUGUUAUACUGACAAUAUUUUCCGCAGUGAUCGCAUGUUUGAAGUUUUGCUUCUCGAAAUGGCUCCUUUCAUUUUUUUCUUUAUUAAAAUAGACAAUUUUCGUUUUUCGUUUUCGACAAGGAAGGUAACUGAUACGUUUAACGAAGGGAUGAUGUUUUCCUUCAAAAAAUAGUUCAGAGUUAUCGGUAGCGUCUUGUCUUUAAUUUUCUGAACUCCGUGCAGUUGGUGUAAUAGUUUUUGCUGUUCUUCUCUUUGCGGCUAGUGCCUAGAGAGAUGGAGAGAAGCUGAAUGUGAACUAGGAAGGUGGAAAUGUUGUACAUUAACAUACGUAAUCAACUACGACUAUAAAUCCUUUUCAUGGACCCAAAACAUCAUAUCAAUCAAUGCCAUUAUAGUUAUCAAAACUAAAAAAUUAUGGCUUUUGAUAAGUUACAGCUUGUUGUAAGUUUUUGUCCUUACAAAAACAUACAAAAAAUAGUAAUAUGACAGUGAGCACACUUAAUUUUUGUAUGGGCUGUAAAUUACGCUAACUUAGUGUAACUAAAUGUAUUAUAAGAAAGACAAAAUUUAUUGAUUUUUUUCUUAACUAAGUGAUUAGAAUACAUUUACUCAUAAUUAUCGAAGCAGAAAUUAAGUGAUAAUCAAGGGCUUGUAAAACACUUAAUUUCAAACCUCUAAAUUUGAGAACUAUAACAAUAAGAGAAGUUAAGUAACAAUUAAGUGCUUAUAAAACGAUAACUUUUAUUAUAGGUAAAGGAGAUAUGUAUUCAAUAACUAACCACAGGCUGAAGCUCAUCUCAUAUGAAUACUAUUGUGCGAUAGAGAUUACAAUUGUAUGACAAAUGACCCUUGAUAAAUUUAGACAACUAGUAGAAAUUAGAAUUUAAAUUUUUUAUUUUUAAGUUUUUCCAAUAUUCCAAUGUUAAACAUUUAAUUAAAAUUAAAUAAAUCUUAAGGAUAUAUAAAAUCAUGUUUUUAUAAUAGGCCUAAAACGAAACUUUAGAAAAUACAUUUUUUAUGUUAAUAUCUCUUAUAUAUUUAUCUGUUACAUACAAAUAUGAUAUGAAUGAGUGAUAAACUCUUUCAUAAAUUAUAUAUUUGACAAGACCAAACCAAAACUUCCACAAAAUAAAUAAUUAAUUAGUUAAUCCAAAACUACCUCGGUUAAUCUGUUAAAUGUUGAAUGUGUUUGAAUAAAGUAAUUUAUAACAAUUUUAAACAAAAUAAAUUUGGUCUAUUCUAUAUUUCAGUCGUCAAUGAGAGUUCUUUUCACCCUUCAACUACUGGACUCUCGCAAUUUAGAGUUAUCAUUUUUAUUAUUAUUGUUAUUGGUCAUAAUUUUAAAAUUUGUUGGGAAAUCUGCGGAAUUAUAUAUUAAACAUCUAAAUUAAUAAUAUGUAUGAAAUAAAUGGCAUCCCACACAAAUAUAAACAAUAAUUUUACUUGAAUUAAACACCCAAAUCCUAUAUUAUAAUAUUAUGCAUAAUUAAACUUACACACUAGACCAUUUUAUUAUAAUUUGGACUUGUGAAGUAUAUUAUUCACUCAGAUUUAUCAACCGUAGGUCACUUUAUCAAACCAUGAUUAUUGUAGAAUUAAAAAAGUUACUGCUUGUCAACUGUAAAUGGACGAACUGUUUAUACUCACCCUUUAUAUAAUUGUGUAAUUAAUUAAUCUUUGUAUAACUCAAAAUUAUUGUUUACUCUAUCAAUCUUAAUGAAUUGAAAGUAGAUGGUUUUAAUUUGCAAAUGUUUUUGCUUCUAUAUUUGUAACUAUUUUUAUUUAAAAAAAUUCAUUAAACAAAUAAAGUUGACCAAAGCAUUCUCCAAAUGCCGACCGUUUUAAUUGACAAAGCUUAAAAACUUUUAAGGAAAUUGGGGCAGAAUAAAUCCUUGAUUAUGUGUAAACUGAUAACCUUCAAAAACCAUUUAAAUUGCCUUUCUAAAGUAUUCUAAUCGAAUAUUUGCUAUAUGAUUUCGAACCAAGUUCGAUUUGUUCAAUUCAUGAUUAAAUGGCAAAGAUAAUAUUUUAAGGAGUUGAAAUAGUUCCACUUUAUUAAUAACUUGGUACAAACCUAAUAAAAAUGAGGAUAUUGGAGUCUCUCGCUCCCCUUGUAUUUGAGAGUAUUUUCGCUUAUUUAUUUAUUAUUUUAGAUUUCUAUGCUGCGUUUAUCUAGUUUAUUAAAAAAAAAGGAAGAUCCUCCUUCGAAAAAUUUCACAAAUUCCAUGCGAGUUAAGUAAGAACUACGCCAUUCAUUAUUUUUAUAUAUGCGGAUACAAGUUGAUCAUAUAUAUAUAUAGAGAGUAACUAAACUAUGUCUUCAGGCAACUAGUUAGCCCCGAACUUUGCUUGAAGAGCUUUCACUACAUAAGGAUCAAGUUGGAAUGCCCUGGCGAGAGCAUAAGGAUCAAUUGGUGGAUCUGAUCCGAAGACUACAUCUGCAAUUGUAAUAACACCAGGAUUCUGGCUACUCAAAGCAGCGAUGGCAAACAGCGUUGGUUGGUCGAAUAUUCACUUGGAAAUGAAUGAGCCCAUUUGGAAACACAAACACAUCUCCUUUGUUCAGGGCUCUGGUGAAGUGUGUUCUUUAGCUGGUUUGAUGUCACAAAACCAACAUAGAGAGUGCCCUCUAGGAUUACUAGGAUUUCUGGGGCACAAUGAUGAGAGUGAUGUGGGUUUGGCCGCUGUUUGCCGCGUAGUCGAUACGAACUAUAGAUAUGCCGAGUAGUGUUGUGCCCUGGAAUCUGUUCUACAUUUGCAGUUGUGACUGUUGAGCUAACUUGAUUCGCUACGCUUUUAGGGAUAUUGUGCCCUGAAAAUUAAUCAAAACUACUUGUUAAAAAGAUUCCGUUUCGUUUUGAAUUUUUUUGUGCCUUUUACUAUUUUAUCCCUAUAAUUAGACUUAUGAUACAUAAAAUGUCAACAAUUAAUCAAUAAGAGAAAAAAAUUAGUCAUAAGUCUGAUUUUAAUGGUAAAAUAAAAAAUAGACAAAAAAGUACAAAGUUUACGUAAUCAUUUUAAUGCCAAAGAGUUUUAAUGAGUUUUGAAACGUAAGGAGAAAAAUAAUAAAUCUACUAGAACAAUAGGAAGAUUUUGAUCAUUUUCCCACUGAUAUAAAGAAAAACGAUACACACCACACGUCUUGAUCUUGAAAUCGUUGAUGGCGACACAAAAAUCCUGAAGACGGCUAGGGUCAGAGGCAAUGGCCAAUGAACAAGCCAAAACCAAGAGAACAGAAGCUACAGGAAAUUGAACUCCUUUCAUGUUGAUUAGCCACAUGCAAUUAGGGAUGGCAAAAAUUCCUACGGGGACAGGUACCCUCGGGGAUUUUCCCCAUUCAGGGAGGGUAUGGGAAUAAUUUCAUACCCAAUUUCUUAUUCGAGGAAGGGACGGAGAAAUUUUUUUACCAAUUUCUUAUUCGGGGAGGGGACAUGGAUGAGGUGGAAUCCUCAUCCCCUACCCAUUUUCCCAUUUUAAUUUUUAAUUUUAUUAUUAUUUUUUAAAAUUACUAGUAAAUAAAUUAUAAAAUUUGAAUUAUAAAAUUAUAAAUAUUGGUAAAAAUAACAAAUAUCAAAAUAUUUAUAUUAUUAAACUUUUAGGCUUAAUUAACUAAUUAAAGUUCUAAAUUUUUAUUUAGGACAUUAAAAAAACCGGGUAAAUUCUAUUAGCCCAAAAAUUUUGUUUUAAUUUUAAUAUUCAUUAAAUGUUUUAAACUUAAAUAUAUUUUUUAUUUAUUUUUAGAUGUUAUAAUUGCCCACAGCGAAUCACAAUUUUAAUAUCUAAUUUAAUCUAAUAUUUGCUCUUGAUUUGCUCCGACUUAACUAUUGUGUUGUAGAAGGAAUAGUCCACAUUUAUAAAGUGCCAUGCCACCAUUGAAAAAGUUAAUUUUGAAUCUAAAUUCGAUUUUAUUUGUAACAAUUUUGUAUUAGACUAUUAAUUUAUUCAUGAUAGUUUGUAAAAGAAGUUUGUAUCCCUUACAUGCUGCGUUACUUACAAAUUUAAUGUAUGUGACUUUUGUAAUGGAUAUUAAUGUAAGAUAUAUUUCAAAUUUUACUUUUAUUUUAAUUUUUUAUUUUAAUAUGAUUAACUCAAAAUCAAAAACAAAAAAUGUAUUAGUUAUUCGGGGAUCGAGGACCCUUGGGGAUCCCCUAUUAUUAUUCGGGGAGGGGAUGUAGAUUCUCUCAAGUAAUUCUGACGGGGACGGGGACAUACGCAAAAUAUCAGGGAUGGGUACGGGGAGAUUGGUCCCCUCCCCUCCCCUCCCCAUUGCCAUCCCUACAUGCAAUUGCUUGCUACAUGCAUGCAAAUGUUCAACAUUAUGUGUGAUUGCUCUUAUCAAGCGACAUCAACUAGUCAUCUACCAAUUGAUCUUGGGGCUCAAUAGAAUCUGUUUCACAUCAGAUUUUGCAUAACAAAAAGUAAUGAAGAGAUUAAUUAAUAUAUGUGUGUGUGUGUGUGUGUGUACGGAAAAAAUAUAUGUAUAAGGAGAGGCAUGGGAAAGGCUUAGCUGCUAAAUAAAACAAACCAUAAAUUAUGUUUAUUACAUGGCUACAAUCAGCCUGAAGAGAGGUUCAUGAGAGAGCUUUUUUUUUACAUUAAUUAAGAUAUGAUAAUCUAGAGCUAAAACAAUAAAGCCACUAGUGAAGAGGCCAUUUAUAUUAAAGCUCAUUAAUUCCUUCUCCUAAUCGCCAUUAAUGAACUUAUGCUGAAGAUCUUUCACUGUCUUCGGGUCCAACUGGAAUGCCUUGGCAAGAAAAUCGGGAUUGAUUGGAGGAUUAGCUCCAAAGACCGCGUCGGCUAUGGUAAUUUCACCGGGGAACUGGCUGUUUAGAGCAGAAUAGGCAACUGCAUUUGUUUUUCCAACGUUGAAUUGGAAGUGAAUCAAACCUUUUGGAAACACAAAAGCAUCUCCCUUAUUCAGAACUUUUGCGAUGAGUUUGUUAUUUAGCUGGUCUGAUGUCACAAAACCGACAUGAAGAGUUCCUUCCAGGACCAGCAGGAUUUCACUGGCACGGGGGUGAAUAUGAGGUGGCCUUUGGCCGUAUGGCGCAUAGUCAAUGCGGAAUGCUGAUAUGCCAAGGGUGUUGAGGCCUGGAAUUUGCUCAACAUUUGCAUCUGUUUCAUCAACACCAAGUCGAUUUGCUGUGUUUCCAGGCUUGUCUAGCCCUGAGAAGAAGAAAUCAUCUGCUCUCGCAAGCUUGGGGUCCUUGCAGAACUUCCCAUUCACAAACACUACAAGAACACACACACAUACACACACAAAGGGGGAAAAAAAGAAUAAUUAAGUAGCAGCACAAAUUAUAUUGAAAUUUAUAUGUUUCGUUAGUUCAGCUUACGUACCACCAUCCUUCGGGUCCUCGAUGGCUACACAGAUAUCUUGUAGAGGGCUAGGGUCAGAGGCAGAGGCCAAAGAAGAAGCCAAAGCCAAGAGAGCAAAACCUAUAAGAAAUUGAAUUGCCUUCAUGGUGAUUAAUUAACAGGACGUACUUAUCUCAAACUUUAAUCAAGUGUUGGGAUUUGAGAAUAUAGCGAGGGAACCUAGCCUAUUUAUAGAACGGAAUCCAUGAACGAGUCUGUGAGUUCAAUUUCUUAGUCCUCGAAGCAGGAGAAGACUAACAGAGUCCUCAUUGGUUAUCUUUCUUAGGGCCUGUUCGGUAAUUUUUUCCUCUCAUCUUAAAAUAUAAUUUUUUCCUCUCAUCUUCUUCCUCUCUCUCUCUCCCUCGUCGUCAAAUCUUAUCUCUAAGUGUCUCAUCUUCUCCCUUUCUCUCCCUUACCAAGUUAUACACGUUACUGCUUUUUCCUUUUUUCUCGAUCAUUUUUUCAAUUGACAUUGUGCUUUCCUUCAAUUUACUCAACUCAUUGGAAAGAAACGAGUUGAAGAAUGUAUGAAAAUGGGUGAGAAGGAAAUUCACGUCUUUGGCAACAGACUAACAGUUGAGAGUCAUGUUCUGUAGAUAUCGAUGUUUCCGGACCUGAUUGGUUUGUCGUUGGACUUAAUGGAGAAGCAAGAUUAGGCUUUUUUUUUUUUUCUUUUCAUAGCAACUUUCGUAGCUUCUUUAACCAUUUUUAGUUCUAUUAAUGCUUUACAAGUCAAUGAUGCACGUGUUUUUUUCAUUACGUGUUAAAGUCACAAAUCAUCUGCUUCAAGAGAAAACAGACUAGGAUCAGAAAGGAACCAAAAGUCUUCCAUCUUAUUUUCUGUGGUCACGUUAAUUAGAAGCUGGAGUCGGCACUUUUUGUUAGAGAUAUCCUUCUACAAUCUCAAUUGAUAUAAUAUCAUUUCAACUUUAAUGGCUGCCCGAGGUUUACCGACCGGCUAGCUCAUUAUUUUUUUGAUAAAAAUUAGUUACCUUCGUUUGUUAUAUAAUCAGGGGGAUAUUGGAAUAAAAGAGAAUGGAAAAUGCUAAGUAUCAAGAAGAAUGAGAGAAAGCUGAGAGAAUGAAGCAUGUGCUGAGAGAAGAGAGAGAGAGAAAAAGUUGACAGAAGAGAGAGAGAUGAAGCAAAACAGCAACCUGAAUUGUAGUUUCUCUCAGCUUUCUCUCGUUCUUCUAGCCAUCUAGCAGCACUCAAAGAGAAUAAUUCUUUUUGACGCUUUAAUUAUGCAGUGAGUGCUACUAUAUGACUAGAAGAACGAGACAAAGCUGAGAGAAACUACAAUCUAGGUUGCCGUUUUGCUUCAUCUCUCUUUUUUGUCAGCUUUUUUUCUCUCUCUCUUCUCUCAGUACAUGCUUCAUUCUCUCAACUCUCUCUCAUUCUUCUUGAUACUUAGCAUUUUCCUUAUGUAAUUGAUCCCCUGCAUUGGGACUGUACCGUUAUAUAUUAUUUGCUGUUUGUUUUUUAUUUAAGAUCUGAAUAAGUUUAAAUUGGUAUGAAUUUUAAAUAAAUUUAAAUGCAUGAAUUUGAAUAACGUAUUUAUUUAUUUUUUGUCACAAACUUUGAGAAUAAAUAUUAAGUUAUUUUUAACUUCAAAAAUCUAAAAUCAAAACCUUUACAUUUGUGUCCUUACAAUUUUAAAUGUUAAAUAUAUAAUGAACAUCUCAAAGAAUAUAAAUAAGAUAGUAUUUUAUCAUAAUAUAUUUAUAUUUUGUAUGAAUUUUAAAUAAAUUUAAAUGCAUGAAUUUGAAUAACGUAUUUAUUUAUUUUUUGCCAGAAACUUUGAGAAUAAAUAUUAACUUUUAACUUAAAAAAUCUAAAAAUCAAAACCUUUACAUUUGUGUCUUUACAAUUUUAAAUGUUAAAUAUAUAAUGAACAUCUCAAAAAAUAUAAAUAAGAUAGUAUUUUAUCAUAACAUAAAUGGUGCUAAGUGAAUGCAACCUAUUAAUAUUCUAAAUUAGAAUUAUAUUAAUAAAAUUUUGUGAAGAUAAAUAAUUCUAGUUUGAAGAAAAUAAAAAGAUAAAAAUAAUGAUAAUUUACUACUAUAUUAGUAAGCUUUAUUUAGGUAAGGAGGAAAAUAAAUUAAUUAGAUAAAGGUAUUGCAGAGAAUAUUUUUCAAUGAUGUGAUUCAAAAUUUUCAGAUUAAGUAAAAAGCUAAACAAAAUAAUUAGCUUAAAAACUUAAUGACUUAUCAAUCACUAAAUUUUUUUAUUAAAUUGAAAAAAUUAACAGAGUUAUGGUCCAUUUAGGAUUUAUUUCGGGAGGUGCUUUUGAAAAGUUUAAAAGGUAAUUUUGAUGUUUGACAAAUUUUUUAAAAAAUCACUUUUAGCAAAAUCACCAUAUCAUACAACAAAUUUUUAAAAAUAGAGAAAGAGUAGUUUUUUAAAAUUGGAUUUCGAGAAUCUCUUUUAUACUUAAUACAAUUUCAUAUAUAUUCUUAUAUAUAGGAAAAAAUCCAAAACCAUCCUUAUAAAUUAGAAAAUAAAAUUAUUAAUUUUAAAGAGAUUAUUAUUAUUACCAAUUCUAUUGAGAUAACAAAAUAAAAAAUAAAAUUAAAAAUAUAAAACAUUUAUUUUAGUUAUCAAUUAUUAUUUAUACACAACUAAAAAUAUUUUAUUUAUAUGUUUAUAAAUGUGUAAAUAAUUUUUAUUCAACAAUAUGUUCAAUUUAAUUAUUUACAUUGUUAAAACAUUUUAACAGUAAGAUUUACUAAACAUUUAAUUGAUUCUCUAUACAGCUGAUUAUUUUUACAGUAUAGCUAACAACAAUUAUUUUAAAAUUUAUAACAUUAUCAAACUGACCCUUAGUGACUUAAUUGACUAAAAUUAAGUCAAUUAAAUCAUUAAGUUAGGAAAACAAACUGCCCUUUAGUAAAUUUCUUAAUGCAAAUAUUAUUAAACUAUAAUGUAAUUAAAAAUAAUAAUCUCUUCCUCUAUUCACUUUUUUAAUUACAAUUAGUUUCAGUAGCUAUUUUGAAUGACAAACUGAAUUGAUCGCGAUAUAAUAAUCUCUUCUUUCAAUCAUAUGGGCAGGUUUGAGUCACUGAGGUAGCUGUGGGAAUUUGUUUUCGUUGAUUUCUGCACUGGGCUUUUUAGGAUUAUUUGUAAAGGCAUUAAUUAAGUAUUUUUAAUGGGUUUAUAUGUAAAUUAGAUUGUAUGUAAUAUUAAAGGUUUGUCAACCAAACUGGCAACCAUUAAUUAAGUUAAAAUCCAUUCGUGUCAGUAUUUAAGAUACGUGUCACAUUCUGGCAACAAUCUUAAUAUGUGUUUCCAUUCGAACUUUCCACUGGCUGCUUGACCCAUCUAAGUUAUGAAAAGUUUCUGAGAAAAUGAAAAAAUAAUCCAUGGCCGUGGAAAUAAUAGAACGCCGCCAGCUGUAUUGUAUGAUUCUAUGAGCGAUUUAUCAUUUCUUUUUUCUUUUUAUUUCGACAAUUUAUUACUGACUACUGUAUUGCAGGCUUGUAGCCAUUAAGUGUUUGGAUAAUUUAUCCCAUUAUUUUCAAAUAUAAUCCAGAUAUAAUUCUAGAUUAUGCUGGUAGAAACAUCGUCUCAAAGAUUCUAUUGGGUCAUCAAUAGCUGUAUAUAUCUUGAAGGGGACUAAUUUUUCUAGGAUAUGCUGGUGGAAAAUUUUGCACCACGUAACUACUAUGAAUGAGUCUUUGUUGCUUAAUUAAGACUCUAAUCUCUCUUUCUAGACUGCAAGAUAAGUUUAAGCUAGAAACAUUAUAUCAAGGUGUACACAUUUUCAUCAAAUAUAAUUGUAGACUUUCUGGUCACACAUUUUACCAUUUAGUCCAUAAUUUUUCAAAAUACCUAUUACGUUUCUAAUAUUAUACUUUUAUGUUUGAAUUAGUCUGUUGAACUAUACAUGUGACUUUUUAACAUAGAAUACCCUACAUACCUUUUAGUAGGGGAUUUAAAAAAAAGAGCGCAUUAUAUUAAACUAAGGUAGCAUUUGUUUUUUUUUUUUUUUCUGAAAUCUAAAUGAAUUUGAAUUUUUCUAAAGUCUGAAUGGGUCUGAUUACGAAAAUUUAAAUAAUAUGUUUAUUUUUCUUUUUUAAAUAUUUGAAUAUAAGUGACAUUUUGUUUGUUUUUAAAAUAAAAACAUCUUAAACUUGGUUAUUUGACAUUUAUGUCCUUGUAAAUUCAAAAAAAAAAAAGAGAAUUAGAUUUUAUAGUUUAGGAAAUAAGUUAUUUUACAGAGAUAUUUUUAGAAUAUAAUAUUUACUUGUCUUUCAGACCUUUUUUCAUACAGAUAAAAGUCACAAAGUUUAUUUUUUCUAUUCAUAUGUAAAUGUCUGAAAAUCAGACAUAAGUUCCAAAAAAACAAACAAGUAUAUUUUAGAAAAGGUCUGAAAUUAAUAAAAUUUCAAACUUCAGACAUUUAACAAACAAUCUCUAAGUGUAUGUUUAAUAUGAUUUAUCUAAUGGUCAUAAGUGCUUAUCUAAUCCCAUAAAUUCCUUUUAAAAUUAUUAUUAUUGUUUGAUUGCAUUUUAAGUAAAGUUUUUAAGGAUUAAAUAAAUUUUUUUGUCUCUACUAACAAAAACUUAAAUUUUAAAAUUUUGAGAGUAUAGAUUAGAGAGACCUUUUAAAAAGUUAAAUCGUCCAAAAUGUUCCAUUAUUUAUUUCACAAUAUUAUGACAUUUCUCUCUCUCUCUCUCUCUCUCUAUAUAUAUAUAUAUAUCUUAAUUUUAAAAAUUUAUCUAUUAAAAUAAUUUUAUAUAAUUUUUAACAAAGAUCUCAUCGACAACCAAACAACUAAAAUUUCUUUAAUAAAAGCUUCACUUAUAAAAAUUUUACUAAUAAAAACUUUAUUUGAAUAAAUUUUAUCAGAAAAAUUAUACCAAACGAAGCUAACAAUAAGAUUAUAAUAGUAAAAGAAUUCAAUAAUUGCACUCUUAAUGUUACCAUUUAAAAAUUAUUAAGUUAAGAAUGAAAUAGGUAAUUUGGGAAACCCAUCUGGAGGGAUUUGCUUAACAUCCUUUAAAAUUUUUUCCCAGCUGGAAGUAAUUGCUGAACAUCCUUUUCAAUUCCCGAGUAUUAUCUAAUCAGCUUAUUUUGUCAUUUUUAGGUGUUUGCAAAGGCUUUUGGCAAGGAUACUGGGUUGGCUUACGUGUAGUGGACUGAUCAUGUUGACUUUGUUCGGUAGCACAUUUUAUUUUACGCGUGUCUAGUUGUAACCAUGUCUCUCACUGUAUACACCAGUGUGAGUGGGUCCGCCUACUAUUUUAUGACAAUUUAUGUUAUACUGACAAUAUUUUUCGUGCUGAUCACAAGUUUGAAGUUUUGCUUCUCUCGAAGAACUGGCUCCUUUCAUUUAUUUAUUUAUUAAAAUUUACAUUUUUUUUCCGUUUCCUUGCAAGAAAGGUAAUUAGAUUAAGUUUAACGGGGCGAUGAUGUUUUCCAUUAAAUAAGUAAAACACAAUUUUAUGCCAGAGUAGAAAUGGCCAAUCAAAACAAGGGUUAUCCAUGUUCGUGCCAUGCCGUCGUGUGCUUAAUUUUUUUUUCUCGUACCUUGCCCAUAUAUGUUGUGUUGUGUCUAAAAAAAAGUUCAAUAAUUUUUUUUAGUUUUUUAAAAGCACGUACUAAGUAAUUGGUAUAUUUUUUUUAAGUUUAUGUUUUUUUUAGGUCUAUACCUUUAUUCAAAUUUAAUAGAAUUGAAAAUUUAAAAGUCAAGUCUAUAUUUUAUAAUAAUAAACUAAUAAUAGUAAGAGAAUGUAAUAUUAAUUUUUAAGUUUGACAUUUUAACAUUAUUUUUUUUAUACUUAACAACAACAACAAUAGUAAAUUUUUCUUAAGGGUUAACUUAAUUGUUAACUUAGACUUACAUAGAGUCAUAGAUCAUAAUUCACAAUAAUAUUAAUGGAUAUUUAUAAAAUCAUAAUAAUUAUAAUUUUAUUUAUUAAAAUCAUGAUAUCAAUUAUAUAUUUAAUAAAUUAUAAAUAUAAAUCAAUUAUAGUACUUUUUAAACUAAGAAUUAAAUGAAUUUAAAAAAUUCAUUUUCAAGUUAUUUGUAAAACUAUAAAAUUUUAAGUUUACUUUCAUUAAAAAAUAAAAUGUGCUUAUUGUGAACUUUUUUAUCGUGCUAUACUUAGUCCAUUUCUAAUCAUGUAGUGCUUUUAAUGCUCACGUGCUUAAAAUUUUAAGUCUGGCCCAGUCCACGUGCGUACUGUGCCAUACCACAUACCCUACCAAAACGUGCUGGUAUUGUGCCGUACUGUACGAAUACAUGUCGUGCCAUGUGUCAUCUAGUCCAUUGGCCAUCUCUACGCCAGAGUGACAAUAUGCCACAUUGAGAAGAAUUGUGUGCCCCUAAAGCUGGAUUAAUAAUUUAAUUUGAAUUGACAUAUAUAACAGUUGUAGGCUAACCAAUAUUUCCACAGAAAAAAGUAGUUCAAAAUUAUUGGUCGCAUCUUGUCAUAAAUGUUUUAACUCUGCGCAGUUGGUGUAAUAGUUUCGGCUGCUAUUCUCUUUACUACUAGAGCCUAGAGAUGGAGUGAAGCAUAUUGGGAAUUAGGAAAAGAGCGUUGCUUCCUUACAAUUAGGCAGGCGCUAAGUUACGGUUAACGUAACUUACGCCCACACACAGCAACAGUACCACUGGUGGGGCCUGGUACUGUUGCUACGUAAGUUACGUUAUGCCGAGUAGUGUUGUGCCCUAGAAUCUGUUCUACAUUUGUAGUUGUGACUGUUGAGCCAACUUGAUUUGCAAUGAUUUUAGGGAUAUUGUGCCCUGAAAAUUAAUCAAAACUACUUGUUAAAAAGAUUCCGUUUCGUUUUGAAUUUUUUUGUGCCUUUUACUAUUUUAUCCCUAUAAUUAGAUUUAUGAUACAUAAAAUGUCAACAAUUAAUCAAUAAGAGAAAAAAAUUAGUCAUAAGUCUGAUUUUAAUGGUAAAAUAAAAAAUAGACAAAAAAGUACAAAGUUUACGUAAUCAUUUUAAUGCCAAAGAGUUUUAAUGAGUUUUGAAACGUAAGGAGAAAAAUAAUAAAUCUACUAGAACAAUAGGAAGAUUUUGAUCAUUUUCCCACUGAUAUAAAGAAAAACGAUACACACCACACGUCUUGAUAUUGAAAUCGUUGAUGGCGACACAAAAAUCCUGAAGACGGCUAGGGUCAGAGGCAAUGGCCAAUGAACAAGCCAAAACCAAGAGAACAGAAGCUACAGGAAAUUGAACUCCUUUCAUGUUGAUUAGCCACAUGCAAUUCCUUGCUACAUGCAUGCAAAUGUUCAACAUUAUGUGUGAUUGCUCUUAUCAAGCGACAUCAACUAGUCAUCUACCAAUUGAUCUUGGGGCUCAAUAGAAUCUGUUUCACAGCAGAUUUUGCAUAACAAAAAGUAAUGAAGAGAUUAAUUAAUAUAUGUGUGUGUGUGUGUGUACGGAAAAAAUAUAUGUAUAAGGAGAGGCAUGGGAAAGGCUUAGCUGCUAAAUAAAAACAACCAUAAAUUAUGUUUAUUAAAUGGCUACAAUCAGCCUGAAGAGAGGUUCAUGAGAGAGCUUUUUUUUUAACAUUAAUUAAGAUAUGAUAAUCUGGAGCUAAAACAAUAAAGCCACUAGUGAAGAGGCCAUUUAUAUUAAAGCUCAUUAAUUCCUUCUCCUAAUCGCCAUUAAUGAACUUAUGCUGAAGAUCUUUCACUGUCUUCGGGUCCAACUGGAACGCCUUGGCAAGAAAAUCGGGAUUGAUUGGAGGAUUGGCUCCAAAGACCGCGUCGGCUAUGGUAAUUUCACCGGGGAACUGGCUGUUUAGAGCAGAAUAGGCAACUGCAUUUGUUUUUCCAAUGUUGAAUUGGAAAUGAAUCAAACCAAUUGGAAACACAAAAGCAUCUCCCUUAUUCAGAACUUUUGAGAUGAGUGUGUUAUUCAGUUGGUCUGAUGUCACAAAACCGACGUGAAGAGUUCCUUCCAGGACCAACAGGAUUUCACUGGCACGGGGGUGAAUAUGAGGUGGCCUUUGGCCAUAUGGCGCAUAGUCAAUACGGAAUGCUGAUAUGCCAAGGGUAUUGAGUCCUGGAAUUUGCUCCACAUUUGCAUCUGUUUCAUCAACACCAAGUCGAUUUGCUGUGUUUCCAGGCUUGCCAAGCCCGGAAAAGAAGAAAUCUUCUGCUCUCGCAAGCUUGGGGUCCUUGCAGAACUUCCCAUUCACAAACACUACAAGAACGCACAACACAUACACACAAAGGGGGGGAAAAAGGAAUAAUUAAGUAGCAGCACAAAUUAUAUUGAAAAUUAUAUCUUUC
rnacentral:lncRNA from 1 species